rnacentral:lncRNA from 1 species
UGAAGUGCAGGUUGAAUUGAAAGUAGCUGUGGAUAAGAAAAGAUUCUUGCUGGUCUUAGAUGAUGUUUGGAACGAGGACUACAGCUUGUGGGUAGACUUAAAAGCUCCGUUCCUGGGUGCUGCACCAAACAGUAAGAUGAUCGUCACCACACGCAAUUCAAAUGUUGCAUCAACAAUGGGACCAAUUGAACAUUACAAUCUCAAGAGUCUGUCAGAUGAUGAUUGCUGGUCCAUUUUCAUAAAGCAUGCAUUUGAAUCUAGAGAUCUUAACGCACAUCAAAUUUCAGAAUCAUUCCGCAAGAAAGUUGUUGCCAAGUGUGGAGGCUUGGCCCUGGCAGCAAAAACACUCGGAGGCCUUCUGCGUACGACGAGGCAUGAUGCGUGGGAUGAUAUAUUAGAGAGCAAAAUAUGGGAUUUACCUCGACAAAGUGGGGUUCUCCCAGUAUUAAGAUUGAGUUACCAUCAUCUUCCUUCUCAUUUGAAAAGAUGUUUUGCUUUUUGUGCCAUCUUUCCAAAAGAUUAUGAAUUCACUGAGAAGGAGCUGACUUUCUUAUGGAUGGCUGGAGGUAUUAUUCGACAGUCAAGAAACAAUGAGCAGCUGGAAGAUUUGGGCAGCAAGUGCUUUGGUGAUCUAGUGUCGAGGUCAAUUUUUCAGCAAACAGCAAGCUCUGAUAGUUCUAAAUUUGUAAUGCAUGACCUUAUUCAUGAUCUUGCUGAAUUGGUCUCUGGAGAAACCAUAUUCAGGUUAGAGGAGGCCAAUACUCUGUCAAGAAGAUUUGAAAGGGUUCGCCAUUCUUCCUAUGCUUGUGGUGGAUGUGAUGGUAAAAAUAUGUUCGUGGUUUUCAAUGAAAUUGAACAUCUACGAACAUUCUUGCCAUUACGCUUACGCAUAAGAGGUGGCUCUAAUACUAGUUACAUAACUCGUACGGUUCUAUCUGAUUUGCUGCCGAAGUUCAAAAUGUUGAGAAUGCUAUCUUUACAAGGAUACCGUAUUGGUGAGUUACCAAUUCCAUUUGAAGAUUUGAGACUACUAAGGUUCCUCAACCUUGCUGACACUGACAUAAGAAGUUUACCUGAGUCAACAUGCAAAUUGCUGAACUUGGAAAUUUUGAUAUUAAGAAAUUGUUCCUAUUUGAUAAAGCUUCCGCAGAAAAUGAGGAAUUUGAUCAAUUUACAUCACCUCGAUAUAAGAGGUGCGAAGUUGCUGAAGGAGAUGCCAUUCGGAAUGAAAGAGUUGAAGAAGCUUCAAACAUUGUCCAAUUUCAUCGUGGGCAAGGGCGAAACUGCAUCUGGUUUGGAAGAUUUAAAAUGUUUAAACUUUCUUGGUAAUGAACUUUGCAUUGCUGGAUUAGAGAAUGUGAAUAAUCCACAGAAUGCAAGAAGAGCCGCAUUAUGCGAGAAGCUCAAUCUUGAAGCAUUGACUCUAGAAUGGGGGUCUCAAUCUGACAGUCCUCGAGAUGCAGUACCAGAAGAGAAUGUACUUGACACUCUACAGCCGCAUAAACGUAUAAAAGAGCUGGCAAUCAGACACUAUGGUGGUGCAAGAUUUCCACUUUGGAUCGGAGAUCCUUCAUUCUACGAGAUGAAGGUCCUUAAAUUGGAGAACUGUGACAAUUGUGUAUCUUUGCCGUCGCUUGGCCUGAUGAGUUCACUUAAGCACCUUGCUGUUAAAGGGCUGAAGAAACUAAAAAGCAUAGAGUCUGAGGUUUAUGGGGAGGGUUUCUCAAUGCCUUUUCCGUCACUGGAGAUUCUAAGUUUCGAGAAUUUGCCAGAAUGGGAGCAUUGGGACACCGAGAUCAAAGGAAAUGCGCCUGUUGAUUUAUUUCCUCGUCUCCAAGAACUUUCCAUUGCAGAAUGUCCCAAACUCUCUGGACAACUGCCUGAGCUCCUGCCUUCCUUGAAGACACUUGUUGUUAGUAAAUGUGAAAAGUUGGUAGUUCCAUUGUCUUGCUAUCCAAUGCUUUGCAGAUUAGAAGUUGAUGAGUGCAAAGAACUAGUCUGCCGGACUCCGAUUGAUUUUAAGUUGAUAAAGUCCAUGACUAUUUCAAAUAGUUCAUUAGACAUGAAUGGACGCAAGGGGAUGUUAUACGAUGGUCCAGCUGGCUCUUCACUGCCAAACCCCAUGACUACUACAAAUGUUUUAGAGUUUGGAAAAUUAUUGAAGCCUGGAUUUCAGAUAUUCGAAACUUUGGUAAUUGGCAAUUCUGAACAGCUCAAGUUAUGGAGGCAGCAUGGGGAUUUUCCGAAAAAAUACAUGGUCACUGACCAUGGGUUCAAGAAACCAGUACGAGGGCUGAAUAUGCUCGCUUCCCCUGAAGAGGUAACAAUUGAAGAAAGUUGCGUACGUCUUGUUUUGAUUCCAGAGAUCAAUUUCCUUCUCAGAAAUCUGCGCUCUCUUAUAAUUAACAACAGCACUGCUUUCAAAUCCUUACCCGAGGAAAUGAUGGAAAACAAUUCACAACUCGAAAGAUUGUAUAUCAGAGAUUGCGACUCUCUAAUAUUCAUCGCAAGACGGAGGCUACCAGCAUCUCUUAAAAGGUUUGAGAUAGGAAAUUGUGAGAAAUUGCAACGUCUGUUCGAUGAUGAAGAGGAUGCUUCUUCUUCUUCUUCUCCUUCAUCCUCGUCUUCCCCAGUGAUGCUGCAACACCUGAGUAUAGAGAACUGCCCAGAGCUCACCAGUUUAUCAUCGGGUGUCCAAUUCCUUGAGGCGCUUGAAGACCUCGUGAUACAGCAGUGUCGAAAGCUGGAGUCAAUACCGGAUGGCCUGCCCAAUCUUAAAUGUUUACAGAGCAUUAAUAUACGGGAAUGUCCAAGUCUUGUUUCCUUAACAGAAAGAGGGCUUCCCAACACCAUUUCAUUUGUUUACAUUUGCAGAUGUGACAAGCUCGAAGCCUUGCCCAAUGAUUUGCACAAACUCAGCUCUCUUCGAGAAUUAUUCAUACAGCUCUGUCCAAAUCUUGUAUCGUUUCCAGAAGAAGGUUUUCCUACCAAUCUAACAACACUUGUAAUUGGAGAUUUCAAAAUGUAUAAGACACUCGUCCAGUGGGGGUUGCACAGGCUUACCUCUCUUAAACGCCUCUGGAUUGCUGUACGUGAUGAUGAAGCAGAGUGUUUUCCAGACGAGGAGAUAGGAAUGACGCUGCCCACCUCUCUCACUGAUCUGCACCUUUUUGAUUUCGAAAAAUUGAUAUCUCUGUCUGCGACGGGUUUUCAGAGUCUCACCUCUCUUCAGAGUUUGUGGAUCGGGAAUUGCCCGAAUCUCACAUCAUUUCCAGAGGUGGGCCUUCCAUCCUCACUUUUGGGCUUAGACAUUAGAUAUUGUCCAAAGCUUAAAACAGCGUGCAAAAGAGAUGAAGGAAAAGAGUGGUCCAAAAUUGCUCACAUCCCUCACGUUGAGAUAGACGGUAAAUUCAUAUACGAUCCAGAAGCAGAGGAGUAGGUUCUACUAUUAAGGUCAGUUGAUUUGUAUUAUCCGCUAUAACAAGCUCCUCCUUUUUUAUUUUUUUUAAAAAUAAUAAUUUUGCAGUCACUCACGUGAUUCCGUUUUCACAAGUCAGAUUGUAUGUUGAGGCUAUUUGCCUUUUAAUCGCAGAUUAAAUUAUAACACUUAUCUUAAAAUUUAAUACCAUACACAGAUAGACGAUUUUUUAAUCCAAAGUUUUUUUUAUUCACUUCAGUUAGCAUUUUUUUUUUCCCCAAAUCAUGCAAGCCGAGAGUUUCAAUCAAGAAUUGGAGGAUGUGAAUGGGAUUUUUGUGAAAGAGUAACAUAAUGGAUGAACGAACAUUUCAUAUGUGAUCUCAAAGUCAACAGAAUUUUAUUCACUCGUUGACUUUUCAACUGCUGUGGUUAUUUAUGGGUGAAAGAUAAGGGCAAUUACAAAAAAUUUGCAAAAUUUGUCAAUUUCUUAGAUGGUAGAAAUUGGAGUAUAAUAUUUUGGAGCAAGCAUACUUGAAAUUUCUGUCUUCAAUAUUUUGAUGCUUUCUUAUCCCAUGCACAAAAGUACUAGAAAAAACUAAUAACAACUAACCGAAAAUCCCAGGCGUCAUAUUCCUUUUUACCGCGUUUUAAAAUGCACAACAAUGAUAUUCUUACAAAUUUGCAAAAUUUGUCAAUUUCUUAGAUUUCAGAUAUUUUAAUGCUUUUUUUAAUUUUUGAUCUAGUAAAAAUACAUAGCCUUCACCGGCAGGAUUCUAGUCUUGGCUUUCACCUCUCUAACUCAUCUGUUCCCAUUGGGAUUCCAGAAGCUAGAAAAAUGUGUAGUUUUCAGAUAAGGAGGCUUGUCAGUUCUCUAGUAAGAAUCCAAUGAUUUGCUUUUGAACGUCCAUCUAAUUUGUGGAUCCUUGCAUCAGAAUUUGAUCAAUCCAAAAGGAAUUGCUUUUAGACAGAAGAAGAAUAGCAGCACCUAGCCUACCCGCAAACCUGAAACUAUUAGAUUGAGGUAAAAAAAUCAUUGACCCUCACAUGUUAACUUCUUCUAGUUACUUUCGUUGGGAAAAAAAAAAACAUUUAAGGAAUUUGCAAUUUGUUGUUAGUUAUGGUAUCUGAUGUUCUUUUCUGCUUUAGCAUUUGUAGAAUCUACUGUAUUAUGUGUUGGCAGUUGCCGUAUCUGAGGUAACUUGCCUUUAUUUGUUUGCUUCUGACUUAAGGACACCAACAUUUGCCAGAGAUUUAGAGAAUCAUCUCAAAACACUUAGCAAACUUGACAAACUUCAAGAUGCACUUGCCCCCACGCCUUAUUCUCAACAACGCAAAACUUGUGAGUACACCUAUGCCUGCAAUUAUUGUGAAGUGUUCGCAAUUCUGAUGCAGAGAAAUGGUUUCUUGAUGCAAAGUAUUAAACUGUUAAGAUUUAUCCUGCAGGCUUGUUAGAUGCUGGAUACGCGAAAAGCCAACAACAUCAAGAACUGCAACUCCAAGACCAGCUUUGCGUUAAUUCAGUCAGCUGUAAUAAUGAUGCAAAUGACACUAUAUCAAGCUGGACUUAGAGACUAGUCAGAUAAAUCAUCCAUUUCAUCAACGGUUAAUGUCAUGAUGGUGGCUAUCAGAGGAAACAAAAGAUGUGUCGGAAUCUAUACAAACAUUGAGAAGCAUGAGAGGAGCUUUGAUUUUGAGUAGGGUCAAUGAACUCAUAUUGGUAAGUGGUAAUUAAAGAAACUUUGUAAGCUUAGUAGAGUUUCAGUAUUUUCUGUUUGGAGUAUAGUUGAUAAGUUGACUCUGUUUAAGAAGCCCGAUUAUAGUAGCUGACUGUAUUAACCUUUUUUUUUUUUUUUUUGGGUCUGCUGUUGUUUUUGGUUUCGAUUAUUUUUUCAACAUUGGGUUGAUCUGUUGAAGAACAAGCUUGGGUUUGAUUAUGCUUUAACUACAAGGAAGAGCCAGACUUGGAUGCAGGCGUUAAGCUUUUAAUGGGUAAGAACAAAUGAAUGCUUUAACUAUGUUUCUCACUUAUUAAAAUGCACGGAUUGAAGGCAUCUGGGUUGAUCCUGACAAUGUGAUGGAAAUACUUCUCUGUUUUCAUAUAACAGGACAAAUAGAGAUCUCUGAUCAUGCCUGAAUUUUUGUUGCAUUGAAAUUUCUACCAUUAUCAAACAUAGAAUGAACUAGGGAUACAUUAGCUUAAGACUAAAUUUUGAGAAGGAAGUUUGUACUUGCAGCCUAUAAAAUCAUGUCCAUGUUGUACGUUUCUUUGGGAAAUGAAAGAUUCUGUGUGUUCUUUUAUUUCAAGUUCACUGAAAUCACAUUUGUUUUCUCAGCUGCUUUCCAGAAGGUAACAACAUCAAUUUCAAAAAUGCUGGGGCAAGAUGUAUCAUGCAGUGCGACUCAACUUGAGAAUUCCUGGCCACAUUACCCGUAUGUCUAAUGAUCGCACAGUACAACCUUGAGAAGCUUGUAAUGAGUACACAACUGGGUGCAAGUAGUUUUGAAAUGAAUUUGCCUCAAAUGAUUUCUUGCCGGUGAUUAAUAUAACCUCUAUUCCAAAAUUCUUGGAACUGGUCAUACUAGCAAUGAAGGAUUGCAUACAUUGAAGACAUAGCUGAAGGCCUUGCGAGAGCUCUGUCAGCCCUUGUACCGGAAAACAGCUGGUCGUAGUCGCUUGUGAAUGAUAUGAUUAAUAGAUACUGCAAAAAUGAAUUGUGCCAUACAUUUUCAGCGCUCUGUGAAGAUGUCUUGGUCAUUUGUUUGAUGCUUGUUUGAUUUAUGUUGUAUUCAGCCAUAAAUCAGAGAUUCAGAACUUGGGUAUGUUUCUGGUUUCCAAAUCAAAAAAUUGCCUUGUGAUGUUAGUGUUCACUGUUUUCACAGGAGAUCAGGUUCCUUGUUAAUGAAUCAAGAAGAAGGCAAGCGCAUCCAUGUCCAAGUUCAAAUGUGUCUCCUCUAUUUUCUAUUACCCACUCAUUUAUUUUGAUUUCUUCAUUGUAAUUGAAUUAGUUUUUUAUUCCAAAUUAGUCAAAACCUCGUAGAGUCAUUAAGUUCUUUUAGCAUUUAAAGACAGAACUACGAACCAAAUGAUUUAAGUUCUUCGUUGUAAUUGAAUUUGCUUUCCCAUCUUUAAAGAUAUUAUGUUCUUUUUCACUUUUUCGAUUUGGUUAGUGGUGAUUUCUUAAAGACUCAAUCCAUUUGCGUUAAUACAUUUUUCUUUUGCCUUGAUUUCUGUUUCUUGGGGAGUUUAUACAUAUUCUUAUUUUAUGCUACACAUGCCAUAUACAGAUUCUUAUUUUAUGCUUCACAUGCCACAUGAAAGGUCAAAGCCUUGUGUGUGAUUAGAAUUUACUGGCAUCAUAGUAACUUUAAACCAUUGUGACGUUUUAGUAAUAACAGUCUGAGCUCUCCCUGAAGGAUUCAAAGCAUUUUAUUUUAUAUUAUACUCCUUUAUAUGGUUUGGCUGGUCUCUUUUAAGGCAAUUCCUGUUUAAAGUAAUCAAAAUUUUGAUUUCGAAGUGUCUUUCAACACUACCGCUAGUUCUUUAAGAAAAGUAAAUCGAUUUUGAGUCUUCUGUAUCAUCUGAUUGAAAUACAUGAAAGCACUCUUAGCUGCAAAAGUACACUUGGAGUUAUAAUAGCAUUCUGAAAUCUCCUUGAAGGAUUCAAAAGCUCUUUAUUUGCUAGUCUUUGCUUGCAAUAAACUCCUUUAAUAUACAUUGGUUGAUCUUCUUUAAAGCAAUUACCAUAAGUUCUUUAAAUAAUAAAACGAUUUUGAGUCUUCUGUAUCAUCUUGUUGAAAUACAUGAAAGCACUCUUGGCUGCAAAAAUGCACUUGGGGUUAUAUAUAAAGUCUUCAACAGAAUUUUAUUUCCCCCUUUAUCCUCAUGGUGGUUUUUUUAGUUGUUUUUUAAGAAAUCGCUUGAAGGUUCUCUUUAAAAAUAAUUUUAACAUAAGCAUUCUUUAGAAGCACUUUAGAUGUCUGGCAUUUAGAAAAUUUUGUUCCUGUGUUCACAUAAUAUAAUAUAUAUAUAGAAAGCUGACUGUAGAAUAGAGGAGAACGAGUUGGUGUUGGUCUGAACUCUGAUCUUUGAACCUCAUGUGACUCCACUACUUUUUACUUGUUCUGUACAAGGUCUUUUAGCUUUUCAAAAAGUUUUAGCUUUAUGGAUAAAAUACUGUUAAUUGUAAUCUAUAAAUAAUGAAAGGAAUUAAUAAAAUAUUAGGUAAAUUUUAUUUUCUAAAGUGUUAUGAGUUCUAAAACGGCUGUAUGUAUAUAAAUUUAUUUACACAUAUAUUUAUAAAUAUGAUUAUAUAAUAAUAUUUUAUGUGUACAUAUCAUAAUUGAUAACUAAAAUAAAUAUUUUUAUUUUAUUAAUGGUUUUUUCGUCUCAAUGUAGUUGGUAAUAAUAAUCUCUUUAGAUGUAACGAUUUUAUUUCCUAACUGAAUAAGGAAAAUUUUAGAUUUUUAUAAUAAAUGUUAAAUAUAUUUAGAAUUACAUUAAGUAUGAAAUAAUCCUCAAAAUUAGAUUUUGAAAAGUUAUUCUUUUCUUGCUUUUAAAAAUAUGUCAUAUGAUGAGAUGAUUUUACUAAAAGUGAUUUUUUUAAAAAAAAUUACUAAACAUCAAAAUUAACUCUUAACUUUUUAAAAUCAUUUCUAAUCUUCUCAUCCUAAGUUCUUUAUUGUUUUGUACAAAAUCCAAGGUUUUGACUUUUAUAAAAUGCCCACUCAAAAAUAAAUUAUUUUCUAAUUAAGAUUUGUUGUUAAUGUAUAACUCGAAGUAAUAUUAGAUAUUUGUAAUUUUAUUUCAAAAAUUUUAUUCAAAUGAUAUGGCAAGCAAUGAACAAUAGUUGAUAGCAAUUUGUUUUUUUUUUUAACAAUGUUCAAAUCAAUCAGUUGCAUUAUCUCACCAUUUUUAUGAUGUCAUGUUAUUUUAAAUGAUUUUUUUAAUUUUUAUAUAAAGCAUACGACGUGUUAACAUCAUUUGCAUAACUUGACCUUUUUUUUUUCCUACAAAUAGUAAGUCAAAUUUACUCACCCUAUUUGUACCUAAAAUCUACCUAAAACUCAUGCAUCACUGUAAAGCAAAUCCAAAGAUUGCGGUACGUUUUUCUUGGUAAGAAAUCAAUAAUUAGGUCAAGUACCGCUACUAAGCGUGCUCAAUUAAUUCUAAAAUACGGUGAUCAAACUCAUACUUCACGCAAGAGGAUAAGGGCUAAACCUCAAUUAGGCAUUAUUCAUCCAAAAUUCAUUGACUGGGCAUUCUUUGCAAGUGGUAGCAUGGGACAGCUAAGAUAAUUAGCAAAUGAUAUGGACCAUACGCACCCGUAUGUUUGUGACAUGUGAAUCUUGGCAUUAAAGGAAAGGUAAUGUGUUAAAAUUUAAUAGAGCCCAACUCUUCAUUGAAUGAUUAUCAGAUCCAACGAGCAUCCUUUGAUGGGAUUAUUUUAAGUCAAUUAUUGGUGGAUUGGGGCCCACUUGACUCUACCAAAUCGGGCUCCACCAUAUCACCUAUUAACGACCACCUGUCCUUAUCAUAAAUAGCAAAUGUCACUUGUUUUAUUUUGUAUUUUACCAAAAGCAAAGUCACUACGAGCACUAAUGAAAGUGACCCCAAUUUUGGGGGUCAUGAACUUGGGAUUAUUAUGGACACAAGAGACAAGCGCAAUGUUUCUCAUUUCUCACUAGAUAAGAUUUAAGUUAUCAACCCAAUAUUAAUAAAUUCUGCUUGAAAAGUAAAGUUUGAAGCUUCAUUUUGCGAAUAUUCAAUGGUUAACAUUUAAGGGUGCGUUUGGGAUUGAGGUUGGGCAGCUGUAGCUUAAAAGCUACAGUACUAAAGUGUUUGGUAAACACUAGCUACUGUAGCUUUUAAGCUAUGUUGAUAUAAUUUUUCACUUGUAUAAUAUAAAAUUUAUUAUAUCUUUAAUAAUUUUGAUAAAAUUAUUAUUUAAAAUUUAUAUUUACUAUAUAUUAUUAACUUUUAUUUCAUAAUUACAGCUUUUUUUUCACAGCAGCUGUAGCUUAAAAGCUACAGCACCUCAAUCCCAAACACACCCUAAGUAAUUAACCUGAUAUUAAUCCAAUUAAACUUUUUAUGUAAUCCAAGUCAAACAUAUAUUGAUAAACCUAAAUUAAUCUAAUUGGACAUAUUAUUUCAACUUGAAAAGGUGAAUCUAUCAUUUUUCAAUUAAUUUUGAAUCAAGCUAUGUAAAAUAUAAGCUUAUUAAGGACAUAUUUGAAAAAUUCAAAUUGAAUUAUUUGACAAUUACAUUUCAACUAAGUUGUACUGCUAAUUAACUUCCUCAACUUAAAAUGUAUUUUUCUCAAUUAAUUCGUAACAAAGAAUGUUAGAUGUUUUGUUCGAAUAAUAACAUUCAACAUCCUUAUUCUUUAUGAUUAUUGCAUAAAAAAUAUAUUUUAUCCAUUUACGUCACAUAUGUUCCUAAAUUGUAUAAGAAAAUCACUAAAUUUACUCUUGUAAGUUACUAUAUCAAUGAACAUGAAAUUAACUAAUCAUUAAAGUCUCGGAAUGACAUCAUGAGGGGGAUUCAGUUACAUUUAUUGAUAGGAUUAUAUAUAUACCUUCUCAAAUAUUAGUAAGAGCAAUUAAACAGAUGCAGCAAUUAAAAAUAUGGAAUUACUUAUCUCGUCAAUAACUAACGAUAUUUUUUAUCUAUGCUCGAUAGGCGUCUGAGCUAUAUUAUAAAUUGUAAUAUUUGUAGAUUGUAACAAUUAUUAAAAAAAAAAAAAAAAGCUCCCUAAGACUAAAUGACAAAAGGACUGUUUUGAAAUAGAUAGAUAAAAUAUGCCCUUAUUUGAGAAAAGGUAAAACACUAGGGAUCUAAAUGUUAUUAUAAUCCCAUGCACAAAAAUACCAGAAAAAACUAAUAACAACUAACCGAAAAUCCCAGGCGUCAUAUUCCUUUUUACCGCGUUUUAAAAUGCAACAAUGAUAUCACUACUACAAAAAUGACAUUUACUGACACUUUGUUUCUGACACUUAGUAAAAAGUGUCAGAAAUGGUGUACAUUUGGACCAUUUUCCUCCUUUAACAAGUAUGUAUCAUAAAUCAUUGAUACUAAGGUGUCAGUAGCUUAAAACUCAGUGAUUAUUGAUACUAAAGCAUCAGUGAUAAAAAAAUAAUAGUAUUAAUUUUGUUUUAAUUUGAACUCGAACUCAAGAUCUCUAAACUUAAAAUUUGUAAGUUUAGAGUGCAAACCAUUGAUGCAAGUGUUUUUAAAUUUUCAAUUUGAUUAAUUUUUUUAUUUAAUUAAAUUUUAUACAAUUACUUUGUGGACAAUAAUAAUAAUAAUAAUAGUUUUGAGAAUAAUAUUUUUUAUUUUGCCACAUGUCAGCUUGUAAUUCGUUGUUAAUAAUAAUAAUUUUACUUGACCACGUGUCGACUUAUAGUUUGUUGUUUUAUUAAAUUACAAUGCGAACAACUACACUAUAUAAUUUUUCAAAGUAUAAAAUGAAAAUAAGAAACCCUAAAUCUAACCUAAUCAAACACACCACUUCUUAAGUUGCUGCCGCCGCUCCCCUGCUCCUUGACUUUCACUGCUGCCGGCCGCUGCUCCUCGACUUUCACUGCUGUCGGCUGUCGUUCCUUGACGUCACUGCCGCCUUUGCUCUGCUGUUGCCAAGCUUCAGCCACCGACGACUAGCUAGCCACCUUUCAGUACGUCGCUGCUACCACUUUUAUGCCGUCACAUCAACUUCAGCUCAGCCAGCCACCGUUCCUUUACCGCCGAGAUCAAGAACCAUUUCUUUCUCUUCUCUCUUUUGGUACAGGUAUGAAAAUAUUGCAGAGGAGUUAAUCUGUUAAUUACCUUUCUGUACGUCGCUGCUGUCAUUCGUGUACGUCAUUGCUGCUACUCAUCUUGGUCACUGCUGCCGCUCCUCUGCCGCCACGACAAGCUUCAGCCUUUUUGACAAAACAUUUCACUUGGAAUUAUAAGCAAACCCUUUUGAGACCAUAAAAAACUAAGCCAAUUUCUUUGGUUUCAAGGCCUUGUUUUUUCACUUUGAAAUCGGAUCAUACAAUGACAAGCCAAUUGAAAACUUCUGUUCAAGAUUUCAUUGUUAAAUUCAGCUUUAUUUUUAUUAUUUGUGUUCCUUUCAUUUUCUUUCCCUUUUUUUGAUUUUUAAUUCAAUUUGGGAUUUGACAGAUAUAUUUUUUAAUUUUUAUAAAAAUUUAUCUUAUUUGCAGGAUGCUAAGGGACAGGAUGUUGAUCUUAGCAUCUACAAGGGAAAGGUUCUUUUGAUUGUCAAUCUUGCAUCACAAUGGUGUGCCUCAGCUCCUUUCAUUUUUAAUUUUUUUUCCAUAAUGAUUUAUUGAUUAUUGUUGAUGCUUCCAUUUAAUUAAUGCUAAUACGUGUUAUCUAUCUAUCGGGAGUCUAAAUUUUAUAGAAUUAUAUCAUACUCGGAAGUAUGCAUGCUCCCAAUACAAAUAAGUGUUUAUAAGAGAGGAUUUCACCCAAAAUCUUUAAUUCUUGCAAAAUGCUAGUGGCUCCGUUUGCACAAGUUUAGUUUUCAUCCAUGUUCGUUCCUUUACCAUAGCGGUUCCUUUACCACUGAGGUCAGACACCAUUUCUUUCUCUUCUCUGUUUUGGCACAGGUAUGAAAAUACUACAGAGAAGUUUCUCUAUUAAUUACCUUUUAUGAAAAUAAUAUAUAUAUAUUAUUCACAUGUUUAAUUGAGAACAUCUAAUAAUAUAGUAAUAAUAUAGUGGGCAAACUAUAGGAAGGUUGUUAGUAGACAAUUCUAAUUUUAGCUUUACUUUGCAAAUGAAAGAUUAGAAAUAUUCCGUCGAACCCAUUUUACUAUAUUGGAGGUUUGGGCUAAUCUUGUAUAGAUUUUUGCUCAGAAGAAGGAUGGUUCUCCAAGGGCGGUGGGUUGGUUUUUCUAUAGACUAUUCCCCUAUUUUCCCAUUUUGCUUUUCUUUGAGGAAACCUGGUCCAUUUUUUUUGUGUUUUCUUUCUUCAAUCAAAUAUGUAUUUCUCAAUCUCCUCUCAAAAAAUACCUAUCUCAUUUUAUUAUAUGUUUAUGAAUUACUAAUUGUAUUUUGUUAGUAUUCCAUGUUCGAAGAAGAAUAUUAGAUUGAAGAAAGAAGAAUAUUAGAUUGAAGAAAGAAGAAGUUGUUCCUUUGCUAAUCGUUUGAAACCCAGGUUUGCACUGAAUCUGAUUUUUAUCUUUAACUUUUUUACUUGACCCAUACUUGAAUCAAAUUUUUGCUCCACUUUCCUUUCUUUCGUCAAUUUAAUUAUCAAUCCACUUCAAACCUAAAAAGAUUUAGUAAUUGGGAAACCCUUUUUUUUUUAAAGAAUUGCAAAGUACUGUAAUUGGAAACUGGGUUCAUGUCUUAAAAAGUAACCUGAUUUGUAAUGUUUGGCUUAUAGUGGCCUUCUAUUUCUGUUUUUCAUCUCGGCUUGGUUAAUUUCUUUACUAGUCGUUUAAAUUUUGUUAAUUUUUAUUUUUCCUCUUUAAGCUCAUUAAAUAUCUUUUUUUUUUCAAUUUAUGGCUUUCGGUCCAACUGAUCAUCGUUGAAUGUGGGCACUAUAAAUGUUAUAGUGCUUGUUAACUUAAUGUAUUUGAUCAUAUAUUAUAGUAUUGUUUACUUUAAAUUUAGACAAUGAAAUAGAUUACAAAAAAAAUAACUUAUGCUUGUCAAGUUGUAGACACCAUCGUUCAUGUCAUCAUUACUGAAUAUUGAUGUACUUAUUAAGUGUUCUCUUUAAUACUUGAUAGAAUACUUUUGGUGAAGCAAUUUUGGUAUCAUGAUUGCAGGCUGUAAUUAACUUGGGAACGUGUAGAUUCUACAAUUUCUUUUUCUGAUUCCUUAACUUGCUUCUUUUAAUCCUACUCUUCUAUGUUGAAGUAAUUUAUGAAUAUUUUUGCUUCAAAAUAACUAAGAUAUAUUUUUCACAGUAUACUAAUUGAUUUUAUGCAUUUGUAGGUGGGAAAAAAAUGAAGCCGUGGAUGGAUAUUGAGUGACCUUGUGCUUUUUUUUUUUUUUUUUUGGGUUGGAAACUUAAUUGAGUAGUAGUUAGCACUUGUUGUUUAGAGAUUGUUGAAAAUUUAAUUUGAUACUUAUGUUAAGUCUUUUACAUAUAGUGAUGUAGUUGAAUUGUGUGAAUUUAUGUGAUGUAUUUGAGAUGUUUAUUAUAUGAAUUGUGUUGCAAGAUAUUUAAUAAUAAAUAUAUUUCGUGUUUUCUUUUGGUUGUACAACAAACACGAAAAAUAUAAUUAAAAUAAAAAUAUACUAUUAACCAAAAGCAGUAUAACAUUACUAAAUACUGACACUACAUAUUUAAAAUAACAAUAAGAAUUUUUUAUAUUAUCGAGUCAGUUUCUGAUACUAUAGUCACAUAAAUUACUGACAUGUAAAUAGUAUCAUUAAAUACCAACAUCAUCGUGUCAUUAUUUUAGUGAUACUAUAGUGAAACAAAUUACUGACACAAAAAUUACUGACACCAAAAAUUAGUGUCAGUGUGUUCUGGCUUGAGCAACACUGACACAAUUAACAAGUGUCAAUAAAAGUAAUUACUGACGCUAAAUUAGUGUCAGUAAAACUCAUUUUUCUAGUAGUGUAUUCUCACAAAAGUUGGUACAAAGGUUUGUACAACCAGGGCCUCUUUGUAAAUUAUUUCAAAGUUUUGUGUUAUUUUUUAAAUUUAUGAAUUUUGUUAAUUUUGAUUGAUUGGAGCAUUUCUCCUUCCAUCUCUUCUACAUCUAUCUUUAAAUUUCUUUAAAAUUUUGACUAUAUCUUUAUAGAGUUCUAAAUGAUUAUCUUUUUCAUAAAAAUCUAUACUUAAAUUAAUCCCUGAAUUUAUAAUCAUUUGUCUUCUUUGAGUCAUAGACCAAAUUUUUUCUUCUAACAUAUCUAUAUAUACUCCUAAGCUAUCUUUGCAGCUUAGAUACAUUCUAUCAAAGCUUUCGCAUAUAAAUUGUAAUUUGAGAUCUGCAUCUUGAAUCAACAUGUCUAUAUUAUCCAUUGUUUUACGCUCGAUUUUGAGUUCUAUUAUUAGUCUUGCACAUGUCUUGGAUUAUUUCGAGGGUAGUUAAAAUUGAUUCUAUUAAUGCUAUCCUGUUUUCUUCUUCAAAAGAAUCAAAUAUUUCUGAAUCAUUAAUUUCUUUUAUUUCUUCAUACAAGCGUUUGUUUGUCGCUAAUCUUGUUUUAAUCAAGGAAACUGUAUAAGCAGCUUGAUAUUCUUGACAAAAGUCUAAAUGAUCUAUUGCAUCUAGAAAUUUAUUAAUAGAUCUUUCCAUUUUUAAGAAAUUGAGUUACUCUUAUCACUUCCAAUCUUUUAACAUCUCAGAAAACAAACAAGGCCCAACAUGCUUCCGUUUGUAGCUAAAAUAAAAGAAGAGUUCAUAUCACUAACCAGUGUAAUAUCUCUCGGAAUUCUGAGAUAGACUCACUAAUUGCCUCUAACCAUAGAGAGGUCCAUGGUUAGCACCACUAUAGCUCCACAUAUCAUACAAAAUCACUUCAACGACUGUUCCAUAUGGCCCAAAGCAACACACAGCAGACUGGCCUAAUAGGAUAUGUUUAAGUGAUUUUCUUGCAGUUGUCUCUGGAAGAGUGCUUAGUAAUAGAAAAUCUUCUUCGUUUAGUACAAGUAUUGGCAUGUAAGGUUCUUGGUUAAUUUUUAAAAGAUGUAUAAGAUAUCUAGAAGAUGAUAAUUUCACUCAAAAGAGUUUUAUUUAUUCCAUCAUUGAAAUUGUUUACAGAGGAAGGUUACAGAGAAUACAGAGGUAAUUGAAGGUUAGACAUCUGAUAUAUUUCCUUUCUUACAUGCUUUCAUUUAUAUAUCUCUCUAGAGAUAAGAUUAUUUCUUUUACAUAACACAUGUUCGAUCCUUGUGGUGGAAUCUCAAUUUCCUUUUGAUAAGGUGACCCCUUCUUUAUCAUUGAAGCUAGUAGUUGUCUUCUUUUCAUGUUGGCAGACAUGAAAUAUCUGGUUCUGGUGAGCUUUUUCUUUUUUGGAAUCUGUCUUUUUGAAUUAUUGAUACUUUUUGGAUAGCACCUUUUAUCUUUUUCAGUGGUCCUCGUCACGUGCCAAUUAUCAGAUCUUCAUCUAUAGACAUGUCUUCCCCACUAGAAUCUCUUUUUUUGAUCCUUCGUAGUAGUAGCCACAUGAUGAUUGAUGCUUUAGCACCUUAUAUAUCUCGUGGUGUGUUAGCAAGGUGGAUUCCACGAGAUUUUCGAAUAUGCCCUUUUUCUUUUCUAAUAUGUUAUCCUCAUCUUUAUCAAAUUCACAUUUACAAUAUAAUUCUUUGAAGCUACAUGUAUAUUCUUCUAAAUAACAUAUAUUACAUAUUUCAAGCCUUGUUAGCUUCAUUAAAUUUUCUAUCUGUUUUCUUUUUAUUUCUUGUUGAAAAUCAAUUUCCUAAUCUUCUCCCAAGAAUUUUUUUCUUAUUUCAUUUUUGAAUCUAUUUAAAACCUGAUCAACACUUUCGUUUCGAUUAUUAUUUUCUCCAUACAAUAUUCUAUUUUUAUGGUUAUCAUUUAAUCCCAUAAACCAAUGAGAAACAAUUCCUAUAAACGAAAUUUUAAGGAAUUCUAUACUAUUAUCCCUAUCAAUUUUGUGAAAUGCAAAAGCCAUUUUCAUAGAUUUAACCCAAGCGGUAAUCGUUUUAUCUCUAUCUUUGAUACAGUCUAAAUCUAACCAUACACCAUCAUGGUUGAUUGGUCUUUCUCUAUAUUCUCCUGGAGUUUUAUAAUCUUUUUUAGGCUUGUUAAUCCUAAAAUAUUGACCUUGUAAUCUUUCCUGAGUUGGUAUUUCUUCCCUAACAUAGGAAGCUCCAUUACUAGUUUCUCCUUGUUAAAAACCAUUUGGCUUUGAUUCAUUCAUUUUUAGAUGUUCUAUUCUAUUUUCAAUAUCCUGCAAAUUAAUGACUAUAUCACCUUCUUCUUCGGAUUCAGAUUCUUUAUUAGAUAUCUCUUGAUUAGGUAAUUCUAUGUUUUCACUUAGCAUUCUUAGACUUAUUAAUUUUUUGUCUUUGUUUAUUUUGUUAAAUAUCGGUUUAGAUAUUGUUAUCAUUUCUUUAUCUUUAAGUUCAUUAUAGUAAAUUAUGGUAUCUUGUAAAAUUUUGUUUUGUUUAUUGAUCUUCUGUACUUCAAUCCUUUUGUAAUUUUCCAUUUAUGCUUAUAGCGAAUUUAUUACCAAGUUGUUCAACAAUUUUUUCAAAUUUUUGUAGUUGGAUUUCAAUCUUGUUUGAAUUUAUUUUCAAUUGAACUUUUGUUCAUAAUAUUAAAGAUUUCUUGUUUUAAUCUAUCUUGAUCUUCAAUAUUAAAGUCUUUUAUUAAUAGCUUAACAAAAUCAAAUUCUUCACUCAUUCGCUCUCCUAUCAUUUUGACUUGUCUUAUAUUUUCAGCAUCAAAGCUUUUAAUCUCAAGUAUCUCAUUUAUACUUUCUAUAUCAUCUAUGGUUAAAUUAGGGUUUCCUAAUUUAUUUAAUAAAUAUAAUGAAAUCCAAUUUAAUUGAUUAUUUCCCCACAUAUCGGAAUCAUUUACUAAAUCAAAUGGUUGAAAUCUUCCAUAAGUAAAUCCUCUAUGCCUAUAGCUAGAAGGUGGUAAUAUGUUGGUUUCAAUAUUUUGAGAAAUUAACAAUGGUUUUGGUAAUUUAUUCAUAGUACCAUCUGCAUAAUAUCUCAUUAUAUUCUAAUAAGUAUUUAUGACAUAUAAUAUUUCUUAUAUCCUUAGGGAUAUUGUUUUAUGUUAAUCCUUUAUGUAUAUAGCAAAGUUUAUACAUAAUUAAAUCUUUAUAUCCUAUUAGCAUGUUGCUAGAAGGAUAAUAUUUACUUCUGAUUCUUUUAUUUUUCCAAUUGUAUUCACCUCGUUGUUUAACAUUUAAAAAUCCGUUGUAAUCUAUUAUAAGAUCAUCUACAUAAUCUUCAAUAGAGUUAAUAUUCCAUUGUUUCCAUGAAAAAUUAUUUCUAUAUACUUCUCUCCUGAUCCUAAAGAGAAGAAUAGGAUCAAUAUUUAAAUUUCUAAUUUUUAUUAUGAUGAGUUCUCCAAUUUUAAAUUCAUGAACUCUAACUAAAUAAAACUGUAUUAAUUGUUUAUCAUCCAAUAUAUUAACUUCUGAAUAAUAAUAUUGUUUAUGUUUUGUUAUAUUAUCUUUAAUUGUAUUUCUAUCUAUCAUUAAAUUAUAUCUUCCAUUAUUAAUGGAAUAAAUAACUGUUUCGUCUAUUUUUAUAUUUUAAACCAAAAACUUGGCUCUAAUACCGUUUUGCAGAAAUCAACUAAACCCAAAAUCCAAAUGAAUUCAAAUAGGGAUGUAUAUGAUUAAUUGUUAAGAUUUUAUCUAAAUUUUGUAAUUAUAAUUUUUCAAAACUCACAGUUUUGUGCAAUCAUUUGUGUAAUCCGUUGUGAGAAUGUCUUUUUCCUUGCAUCUAAGGCAACAAAGUGGAAAACGCGUACCAACGACUCACAUAACAAUAUAACAUCUGUCCCGGAUGGAGCCGGUUGUUCAUGUCAGCAACCUACUUUGAAACGACACGUGGACCGCAAUUUGUUCUUGUUCUCAACGUUGCUAUGAAAGAAAGCAUUUUUUUCCCCUUUUCUUCUUCAUUUUUUAAAGAAAUAUUUUACUAUAUAUUUAAAAAAAAAAAUCGUUGCAAUCUGAAGAUAUUAAAUUGUGGAUCUUGUAUUGUGUGAUAAGUCCGGCAUGCAAUUUUGGGCCAGCAUACCGCGCGCAUGGGAGCAUUCACAAAGAAUCUCUCGUCACUAUCGAAAACUUUUAAUAGUCAAUACAAAUGCUUCCGUUUCAUCCCAUAAACAGAUAAAAUUCACAUCUGUACACAUCUACUUUUCUUUGCUAGAUAGAGUUCCUCUGCAUUUCCCAAUUGCCUAAAGAGAAGGGGAAAAGAAAAAGAGGGCCAAAAAAUGCCUGAAAUGGUAAGGAACAAGCAAGUGAUAUUGAAGGACUAUGUGUCUGGUUUCCCAAAAGAAACAGACAUGUACAUGACCGAAAGUUCCAUAGAAUUGAAGGUGCCAAAAGGUUCAAAUGGGGUUCUUUUAAAGAACUUGUUUGGGAGAAAUACGUCGACGAGACCAGGCAUGGUGAGCAUAUAUCUGAUGGCAGAGUUCUGCGAACCGGUGUGUUCCGUAAAAGCCUGGUGCACGGGGGAACAGGAGCAGAAGUAUCCUGCUCGUCCACGAGCACGUCAUCCGCGAGGCCAAUUUCCUGUAAGAGGCAUAAGGUCAUUCCGGCUAGAGGUCGAGAGGCGAGGAGACCCGGUCGACGGCAGUUGGCAAGACAUGCUCCCCAGCCCGAGAAUCUAGGCACGACAGCCACGCUUUCCCCAGAACCGUGGCGUAACACGCAAGAUCUCACAGAACCACGACAGCCACGCUUUCCCCAGAACCGUGGCGUAACACGCAAGAUCUCACAGAACCACGACAGCCACGCUUUCCCCAGAACCGUGGCGUAACACGCAAGAUCUCACAGAACCACGACAGCCACGCUUUCCCCAGAACCGUGGCGUAACACGCAAGAUCUCACAGAACCACGACAACCACGCUUUCCCCAGAACCGUGGCGUAACACGCAAGAUCUCACAGAACCACGACAGCCACGCUUUCCCCAGAACCGUGGCGUAACACGCAAGAUCCCACGUUUGCCCAUAACGCAGCAGUCAGAGUCCCAUACCGUCUCGGAAAAAGCGGAAAACUGGGAUUCAGGGGAAGCCUAUAAAAAGGUAGCCAACGAAGGUAAAAGGGUUGGCAUUUUUGAGAUUAUAAAAGAAAUGAAAAAAGAAGAGAAAACGACGAGAAAGCCAUAAGAUCUGUGGCAAGUGUCCCCCGAACCUUCAUAUCUGACUUGAGCGUCGGAGGGUUUGCGCCGGGAAAACAACCGGCGUACUCUGACUUGUCUGUGUGCGCAGGAACCUCUGGAGAAGAAGCCUCACGUGGAGACCUCCUGGUCGUGAAGAAGUUGAUCGGACAGAGAUCCUGGUCGUAGAACGAGGAGAACCAGAAUCCCGCAUCAACAUUUUGGCGCCGUCUGUGGGGAGUGGAGCAAAAAGCUUCUGUUGAUAGCAAGAAGAGGGGUGAAGCAAGUGAAAAGCAAUGGAGACAGGAGGAAGUAGUGCACAAGGGGGUGAUAGGAUUAACGAUUCCGUGACGCUGAGGGAGAUAGUCAGUGAAGCACGGGAAAAAGUCAUGUUCGACCGGAUGGAACGGAUAGAAAAGCAGAUGGAGACCUUGACAACCAUCCUGCAUGAGCUGCGGAGCGAGCGAAGUAUAAUCCAAGAGGGAAGGGUGAGAGGCGGUGGAGUGGCACCAGGUCCCGAUAGUGCGGGGAGAAGUCAAACCACCGGGAGAUUUGGUGGUGAGAGAGGUAACGUACCUCUGCGGGGAGAAUUUCAUAGAGAAAGAGAGCAGUCCCCGGCAAGACAGACUGGCGACGAGGACGACGGGGUGGUGAAUGCAGAGGAAACAGAGUUGAGGCAACACUUGCAUGAUGUAGAGCAAGAGCGGGAUUAAGUCGCAGCACGUGACCCUGGUCGUGCAGUGCAGCUGGAGGAGGAAGUGCGCAGACUAGCGCAGAUAAUCGACGACAUGCAAGGAAGGAACAGAGCCCCUGGUUGGAGGAUAAUGCUGGAUGGAGAAUCACCGCUCGCAGCAGAGAUCAUGAGGGCAGUUAUUCCGAGAGAUUUCCGCCUCCCAGACCUCAGAUACUCGGGAAGAACUGAUCCGUUGGUGCACAUAGAGCGCUUCAACGACAUAACUAGGGUACAAGGAUUAUCUCAAUCCCAAAGGUGCAGAGUGUUCCCACUAUCCCUUGAGGGACGUGCACGAGAAUGGUACAGGAAACUUCCUCGGGGCAGCAUUAAAACCUUCGAGCAGAUGUGCUAGGAAUUCGCGGAGCAGUUUAGUGGGGCAAUGGCGCCGGAAGAUGACAUGAUGGAGCUGAAAAGCAUGAAACAGGGGGAGCAAGAAACCCUUCGGGAAUUCAUCAAGAGGUUUCAUCGGGCUGUCCUCGACUUGGGAGCCUUCAACCACCCUCAGGCGUUAAGGGGAUUGAAAGAAGGGGUGAAGAUAGGAAGGCUGUGGUACAAUUUGAGAAGCCCAGCUAUUCAAACGUAUGCAGCCGCAUACGAACAGGCUAAGAGAGACAUCGAGAUUGAAGAGGAGAAGGCUGCACGGAUUAAGACAGACCAGUUAGAAGGGCUGGGGAGGAAAGAGAAGAAAGCAUUACCGGGGAAUGGGCCGAUCAGGAGGAGGGACCACCAGGCCUCCGGUAGUGGAGCAGGAGGUCGGGUAGCCGCUUACCAGCCUCAUCAAAGGCCACCACAGUAUCAGCGCAGCAGGGCGCAACCUCCUCGUUCCCCAGCUAGGGAGCCUUGGAAAAGGCAUGAGUCGGCAUCUGGUGGUCUCCAACAACACCCCCACGGUAUCAGAGCGAGCAGACCAGAAGUACUUCCACCGCCCCCAACUCAGAGCGGGGCAAACAGGGAAAGAGCAGUGCACCUGAUCGACCAGAACCCGGACUAUGGGCGGUACACUUCCUUGAAGAUGUCCCUGGAUGAGGUGUACGAGGCCAUAAAGGAUCGAGGGCUGCUACACCUCCCUACACCAAUAACAAAGCUACCUAACAGGAGGGAUAGAGGACGUUAUUGUAAGUUCCAUGGCACCCAUGGCCAUACCACAGCAGAGUGUAGAGAUCUCAAGACCCAGGUCGAAGAUUUGGUGAGAAAUCGGUACCUGGACGAGUUUAUGGAUGGGACUUUCCCGAUGGGGGCCACAACAGGUGAAGGGGAGCAGAGUGGCGGAAACGUGAGGCGCGAGCAGCCCGCAGUAAGGGUGAUAGCUGGGGGCCCGACAUUGGCCGGAGAUUCCAACAGAUCGAGAAAAAAUUAUGCUAGGUACGCCAUGACCAGUAAAGAGGUACUCCUCAACACCCCAGCAGCCAAACGAGCAAGGGUCAGGCAAGUGCCAAUCAUGUGGACGGAUGAGGAUGAGGAAGGGAUUCUAUACCCCCAUGAGGAUGCUUUAGUCAUCAAGGCUACUGUCGCUAGCAAGAAGUUUGACCGGAUACUGAUUGAUACAGGGAGCUCAGUUGAUGUGUUAUUUAAGUCAACCCUGGAAGAGAUGGGAAUAGCCGACCGGAAGUUGGAAUAUACCAAUACCUCCUUGAAGGGGUUCGGAGGAGGGAAGCUGGUCCCUCUGGGCGUGGUCGAGCUGCCUAUCACAAUUGGGAGCUCCCCGACAGAAAGAACAAUGAUACUGGACUUUGUCGUAGUGGAUGAGGAAGGUCCUUACCAGAUGAUCCUAGGUCGGCCAUUUUUAAGGAUGAGCAAAGCGGUGUUGUCCAAUCAUUAUCUGGCUCUGAAGUACCGGGUGAACGGGGUAGUAGGAGUGGUACGAGGAGACCAGAGGAUCGCAAGAAGCUGCUACUCCUCGGCAGCAAGGGAAGCAAUGCAGAUAACAUCCCUCGAUACCCGAGUGGAAAACAAGAAGGGCAGACAAGAACCUGUAGAGGAUCUGGAAACAGUAAGCCUGGGACCAGAGAACCCGGGAAAGAUGAUCAGAAUCGGGUCGAGACUUAAGGGAGAGCAAAAGCAGGAGUUGGUGAAAUGCUUACAGGCUCAUGCUGAUGUGUUUGCUUGGACACAUGAAGACAUGCCAGGGAUUGACCCUGAGGUAGCAUGUCAUAAGCUGGCAAUAAAGAAAGGUGCUCGGGCAGUAAGGCAGAAGAGGAGGUGUUUCAACCAGGAGAGGUAUGAGGCUAUAAAUGGCGAGGUGGAGAAGCUCUUGAGAGCAGGGUUCAUUCGGGAAGUCAGUUACCCUGAGUGGAUAUCGAAUGUGGUGUUGGUAAAGAAGGCAAACGGCAAGUGGAGGAUGUGUGUGGAUUUCACAGACCUCAAUAAGGCGUGCCCAAAAGACAGCUUCCCUUUACCAAAGAUCGAUCAGCUAGUAGAUUCAACGGCUGGACAUGGUCUGCUUAGCUUCAUGGACGCGUUCUCGGGAUACAACCAGAUCCCCAUGUACGAGCAGGAUGAGGAGAGCACGGCUUUCAUCACUAACCAAGGUUUGUUCUGUUACAGGGUAAUGCCAUUCGGUCUCAAAAAUGCCGGGGCCACCUAUCAAAGGCUGGUGAACAAAGUCUUUAAGCCGUUGAUUGGGAAAACCAUGGAGGUGUACGUGGAUGACAUGAUCACCAAGUCCAAAAUCCCGGAGGAACAUGUCAGACACCUCGAGGAGACAUUCGAGCUUUUGAGGAAGUAUAAGAUGAAGCUCAACCCGGAGAAGUGUGCUUUUGGGGUCGAGUCGGGGAAAUUCCUUGGAUUCAUGGUGAGCCAUAGGGGGAUUGAAGCAAAUCCCGAGAAAAUCCAGGCGAUUGUGCAAAUGACGUCUCCCCGUAACCUGAAGGAGAUGCAGAGCCUCACGGGGAGGUUGGCGGCGUUGAGCAGAUUCAUAGCCAAGGCUACAGAUAAGUGUCAGCCGUUCUUUCAAGUGAUGAGGAGGGGAAAGAAAACAGAAUGGACCUCAGAAUGCGAGGAAGCCUUCCGGAACUUGAAGCAAUACUUGCAGCAAGCUCCGCUGCUGUCCACACCGAGGGAUGGGGACAAGUUAUAUCUGUAUUUAGCGGUAUCGGCUCGGGCCGUCAGUUCUGUUCUGGUGAGAGAGGAAGAAGGAGUUCAGUAUCCGAUAUAUUACACCAGCAAGGCCCUGCUCGACGCUGAGACCAGAUACCCACCGUUGGAGAAAUGGGCACUUGCCCUUGUGGUUGCUGCUCGGAAGUUGAGGCCAUAUUUUCAAGCAUUCCCGGUCUUGGUAAUAACAAACCAGCCAUUGCGUCAAACUCUGCACAAGCCAGAUGCCUCUGGUCGGCUCGUCAAGUGGGCUGUAGAGCUGAGCGAGUUCGACAUAGACUAUAAGCCCCGCGCAGCGAUAAAAGCCCAGGCAAUGGCCGAUUUCGUAGCUGAAUUCACAGAGCCCGAAGUAUGCUUAGAUCAACAAGAGGCAGAUAUAGGCAAUGACGAAACUCAAGUAUGGCAGAUGUCUGUGGAUGGGUCAUCAGGGGAGCGGGGUUCAGGAGUAGGGAUUGUCUUGGAAGGCCCAGAGGGGGAGGAGAUCUCUUAUGCUGUAAAAUUGGAAUUUGCAGCCACGAAUAACCAGGCAGAGUAUGAAGCCUUGAUAGCAGGUCUGGAAUUGGCUAAGGCCGUGAAAGCAAACAAAGUUAAGAUCAGAACUGAUUCCCAGCUGGUAGCGAAUCAUGUCAGUGAAAGAUUCCAACCAAGAGAGGAGAAGAUGGGGCAGUACCUGAAGAUAGUCAAGCAGAUGAUGGGGAAGUUCGAAGCAGUGGAGGUGAUACAGAUCCCCAGGGAGCAGAAUAGUCGAGCAGACAUUUUGGCUAGGAUGGCAGCAGUAGCCGACCCAAAAAUGCCAAAGUCGGUCCCUCUGGAGGUGAAGUCCGGCCCAAGUAUCGAUCAGAAUUUGGGGGUGAUGCGGAUAGAACAAAAAUGCUCGUGGAGGGACCCGAUAGUUUCAUACCUUAGAGACGGGGUAUUACCACCAGAUAAGAUGCGAGCUCGCAAGCUUAGAGCCCAGGCCUCGAGAUACACGAUGAUUGAUGGGGUACUGUAUCGGCGAGGAUAUACACUACCGUUCCUUCGGUGUUUGGAUGAGGACGACGCGGAUUACGUACUAAGAGAAGUACACGAAGGAAUUUGCGGAAAUCAUUCUGGCGGGAGGUCCCUGGCCCAUAAGGUUCUAAGGCAGGGAUAUUUCUGGCCGACAAUGCACCAGGAUGCGCAAGAGAAGACCAGGAGUUGUGUAAGUUGCCAGAGUUUUGCAAAUUUCUCUAACCAACCACCAGAGAAGCUUACCUCCAUGACCUCCCCCUGGCCAUUUGCUCAAUGGGGAAUUGAUCUGAUCGGCCCAUUGCCAAAGGCACGGGGAGCAGCAACACAUGCAAUAGUUGCUAUAGAUUACUUCACGAAGUGGAUAGAGGUAGAAGCCCUUAGCAGGAUCACAGAGAAGAAAACAACAGACUUCGUGUGGAGAAACCUGGUCUGUCGAUACGGGAUCCCUUAUGCCUUGGUAACGGAUAAUGGCAGGCAGUUCGAUAACCACAGCUUCAGGGAUUUCUGCCAGAACCUCGGGAUAGAGCUGAAGUAUUGCUCGCCUGCUCACCCUCAAUUGAAUGGACAAGUAGAAGCAGCCAACAAGACCAUCAAGAGGCUUUUAAAAACCAGGCUUGGAGCAAAAAAGGGUGCGUGGGUUGACGAGCUGUCAGGUGUGCUAUGGGCAUACAGAACAACCCACAAAACCGCAACUGGGGAGACACCGUUCGCUUUGGCUUUCGGACAUGAAGCGGUCGUGCCGGCUGAGAUAGGAACGACCACACACCGGACAAAUCAUUUCAAUGAGCAGGAGAACGACGAGCAGAUAUGUUUGAAUCUUGAUCUGCUAACGGAAAGGUGGGAGCAAGCAGCCGAGCGAUCAGUCAUUUACCAACAGAGGGUUGCUCGGUAUUAUAACCAGAAGGUGAACAUACGGCAAUUCAGGGUCGGAGACUGGGUACUGAGAAGAGUGAAUCAGAGCACCAAAGAUUCGACUCAAGGAGUGCUGGGACCGAAUUGGGAAGGGCCAUAUAGAGUCAAGCAGAUAGCGGGACCCGGAGCUUACAGGCUGGUUCGCACGGACGGCCACGAGGUGAAACGCCCAUGGAACGCAGCACACCUCCGAAAAUACUUCCAGUAAGACUUGUUCACAUGUGAAAACUAUUUUUGCUCAUGUUCAUUACCGUUUAUCUUUCACGCUUAUUGUCCAAACAAUUUCAUGUAAGUCGAAUCCUGCCAUUAAUGGAACGUCGAGGAAUUUCUUUCGCUUGAAACCGAGAAAAUUUUCCAAGGCAUGCAAAGGCUCACCAAGUCUCAAAGCCUGUCUUAUGGCGAGACAGAAGCCAAGCAUGCCAGGAUCUGCUCGGCCACGAGAAGGCAAGCAGAAUCCCAAUCCUCGAAGAAUCCAAGGCAUGCAAAGGCUCACCAAGUCUCAAAGCCUGUCUUAUGGCGAGACAGAAGCCAAGCAUGCCAGGAUCUGCUCGGCCACGAGAAGGCAAGCAGAAUCCCAAUCCUCGAAGAAUCCAAGGCAUGCAAAGGCUCACCAAGUCUCAAAGCCUGUUUUAUGGCGAGACAGAAGCCAAGCAUGCCAGGAUCUGCUCGGCCACUAGAAGGCGAGCAGACUCCAAAGCAUUCGAAGAAAUGCCCAAGGCAUGCAAAGGCUCGACAAAGUCUCAAAGCCUGUUUUAUGGCGAGACAGAAGCCAAGCAUGCCAGGAUCUGCUCGGCCACUAGAAGGCGAGCAGACUCCAAAGCAUUCGAAGAAAUGCCCAAGGCAUGCAAAGGCUCGACAAAGUCUCAAAGCCUGUUUUAUGGCGAGACAGAAGCCAAGCAUGCCAGGAUCUGCUCGACUACUAGAAGGCGAGCAGACUCCAAAGCAUUCGAAGAAAUGCCCAAGGCAUGCAAAGGCUCGACAAAGUCUCAAAGCCUGUUUUAUGGCGAGACAGAAGCCAAGCAUGCCAGGAUCUGCUCGGCCACUAGAAGGCGAGCAGACUCCAAAGCAUUCGAAGAAAUGCCCAAGGCAUGCAAAGGCUCGACAAAGUCUCAAAGCCUGUUUUAUGGCGAGACAGAAGCCAAGCAUGCCAGGAUCUGCUCGGCCACUAGAAGGCGAGCAGACUCCAAAGCAUUCGAAGAAAUGCCCAAGGCAUGCAAAGGCUCGACAAAGUCUCAAAGCCUGUUUUAUGGCGAGACAGAAGCCAAGCAUGCCAGGAUCUGCUCGACUACUAGAAGACGAGCAGACUCCAAAGCAUUCGAAGAAAUGCCCAAGGCAUGCAAAGGCUCGACAAAGUCUCAAAGCCUGUUUUAUGGCGAGACAGAAGCCAAGCAUGCCAGGAUCUGCUCGACUACUAGAAGGCGAGCAGACUCCAAAGCAUUCGAAGAAAUGCCCAAGGCAUGCAAAGGCUCGACAAAGUCUCAAAGCCUGUUUUAUGGCGAGACAGAAGCCAAGCAUGCCAGGAUCUGCUCGACUACUAGAAGGCGAGCAGACUCCAAAGCAUUCGAAGUAAUGCCCAAGGCAUGCAAAGGCUCGACAAAGUCUCAAAGCCUGUUUUAUGGCGAGACAGAAGCCAAGCAUGCCAGGAUCUGCUCGACUACUAGAAGGCGAGCAGACUCCAAAGCAUUCGAAGUAAUGCCCAAGGCAUGCAAAGGCUCGACAAAGUCUCAAAGCCUGUUUUAUGGCGAGACAGAAGCCAAGCAUGCCAGGAUCUGCUCGACUACUAGAAGGCGAGCAGACUCCAAAGCAUUCGAAGUAAUGCCCAAGGCAUGCAAAGACUCACCAAGUCUCAAAGCCUGUUUUAUGGCGAGGCAGAAGCCAAACGUGCCAGGAUCUGCUCGACCACUAGAAGGCGAGCAGUCUCCAAAGCAUUCGAAGAAUCUCCAAAGGCAUGUGGCAAAACCAUGAGCCAAGCCGGAACCUGCUCGUCUAGACAGAGACAAGCAGAUUCUCAACCGAAAAUUAAUUCAUAAUUACAUCACAAGAAAGUAAUCAAAAACCAUUUUUAUUAAUUUGUUAAUAAUUAACAGAGGGGAUAAUCUUCAUGAACAUUGUUCAUUACAAUACAAGAAAUAUAUCAGGAAGAUGGUGGACCAGUAAGCCCGGCAGCAUCGGUUGGCUGGACCUCCUCAGGUGCAGGAGGGGUAUCACCAGUUGCGUCCGGGGGGUGCUCGCCUCGCCAACAUCAGCAGGGACUGCACGAGCAGGAGAGUCUUCCUCCUCAAUCACGAUCGGCUCUACCCCAUCGGCAUCUUCCUUGGCCGCCUCCUCAUCCAUAUGUUGAGCAACACCAGCUGCAAGGUCAUCCAUCUUCAGAUCAGGGUGUUGCUUCCCGAGGACGGCCAUGAUGCAACGAUAGGAAUGCCGAAGUCCCUGGUCGUACUGGUUGUCAGCCUCCCUCUCCAAGUUCUCGACCUGAGCUCGGUGGGAGUCGCGGAGAGAUUCGAGCUGAGCCUCAUACAUAGCCUUCUGCCUUUGCAGAUCCUCCUUGACCGUGGUAAGCUCCUCCUCGAGGGAAAUGGCUUUUGCUUGAGCAAGUGAUUCUUGCUCUAUUAACUUCAGAUUCUCGAGAUUCAGCUCCCCUGCUUUCUUCUCGGCAACGUCAGCUCUGGUCGUCGCCGAUUGAAUAUCCUCCUUCAUCUUCCGGUCGUAGCGGCCAACCUUAGCCUUGUAAUAGGUGGUCAUGCAGCUGAGGUGGAAAGCGCUAUGCUGCAUGGCCCCCACCAGCUCACCCAAGGUGCGGCCGUCAAAGUCCUCCAAGUCCUUCUUGCUCAUGAGUUUAGUUAACUCAUUGAGGUAGGGGACCAGGUGUUCUGCUCGGCUGUCAGGUAAGCGAGAUCGAGGCCCGACAGGAGGAAAAGAGGAAGCAGGAUCUGUAGCUGCUCCACUAGCUUCCCCGACUUUUACAGGAGCAGGAGGUAAAAUCUUCAAGGGUGGGACCUGCUGCAUGAUGUUGGCCCGCUUUGCAGCAGGGGCAUUCUUAUUCUGGUCCCUCUUCGUGGUGGGAGGUCGGGAACGUUUUCGGGUCAGAGCCCCAAUCACAGCGUCCUCCAUCCUAUGGCCAGGAAGUAUCAAGCGAGACUCGAGCAAGUUGUAUGUAGUUAGCAGUUCUCGGCUCGAGCAGGAAUUGGCUAGUACAGCCUCGACCCGUUUGAGCUGGUCAGGUUCAAGCGGGAAGUGGACACCCCAAGAAACUACAACACAAACAGACACUUGGUUAGAGACAAGCCAAUAAAGCAAGAACAAUUAUGGAUGCAAGACAUCUAGAGCGAGCAGGCAACCUGGGACCGUGAAACGGGGUGGGACGCGACAAUCCUUCCCGCCUAUUUGUGCAACUUGACCCCAAGGACCCCCAGCAAAAAAGAAUUUCCUCUUCCAAGCCCCACCACCACCGGUUGGAAGAUCGGUUAUGGAUUUCCGGCUCUUGGUGCUAGAUUGGAAGUAGUACCAGCCGGCAUCUUUGGGGCUGCUCUUUAGCUGGUACAAGUGCUUCACCUCGUCAACCGUGGGCUCGCUUUGGCAACAUCUGUCCCACAAUAUGAACAGACCAGAGAGCACUCUCCACCCAUUGGGAUUCAGCUGACCAGGAGCUAGAUUUAGCCCGUUAAGUAUCCGGGCAAAGUAGGGUUGCAAGGGACACCUCAGCCCGUACUUAAAGCUCUCUAGAAACAGGGUAACGUAUCCCCUAGGAGGCCGGCUGGGAGCAUCCUUCUUUCCUGGGACCUUGAGAGGUAUCUCACCAGGAAUGCUAUACCUAAGCUGGAGGUCAUUGAGCUCGUCAAACAAGGUCGUGCACGUCAUGUAAUCAAUGGCAUAAUCGCGCGACAAGGCUCUGCCUCCUACUGUACCCCGUUCCUCUAGUCGUGAUGUUCCAGAUGGAGACACCUCACCAGAGUCACCUUCCCCAUUCUCACUUAAGGUGUCCUCAGAGCCAGAAGGUCCCCCCUCACCAUUGCUUCCGCUCGUGGAGGUUGUUUGGGGGGACAUCCUCCUAGCACUAGUCCCGACACUAAACCUAAUGGGUUCUAAGGGGAUCCCGGGGUCAAAAGCCGGAUCAGUGAGCAGACUAGGCAGGAAACUUAGUUCGUCGUCAUCAAUCUCAACGACUUUCUCCUUACCUUUCGACAUUCCCUAAGCCCUAACCACAACACCACCAACUACUACCUAAACAGAAGAGAAGAGAAAUUAUCUACAACUAUCCGAGACCAAGGAGAUAGAAGAAAUACCUGAAGUAAUGGUUCAGUCGGUGAAAGUCAGAGAUGGAGGCCUUUUAUGCCGGAACUUCUUUGCCGGAGAAACAGAGACGGAGACGGAGUGAAUGAUGAAUAUGCCGUUCGAGAGGAUUUGGUUUUCCUAAUGAAGACGGACUCUUGGGUUGCCAGCAUUUAACGGCGCCGAAUCCCGAGGGUCUCAUAACCGUCGGUUUGAAAUUCAAAUGAAGGGGGGGAUUUCUGCCACGUCACCUCGUCCGCAAUUAAAUGCGACAUGACUCUUGGCAGCCUUUUCCAAUCCCACGCGGGCGAGUACUAACGAGUUUCUACUGCUGGUCCACUACAUUACCCAACACCAGAAACUGGGGGACCGGUGUUUGGGAGAAAUACGUCGAUGAGACCAGGCAUGGUGAGCAGAUAUCUGAUGGCAGAGUUCUGCGAACCGGUGUGUUCCGUAAAAGCCUGGUGCACGGGGGAACAUGAGCAGAAGUAUCCUGCUCGUCCACGAGCACGUCAUCCGCGAGGCAAAUUUCCUGUAAGAGGCAUAAGGUCAUUCCGGCUAGAGGUCGAGAGGCGAGGAGACCCGGUCGACGGCAGUUGGCAAGACAUGCUCCCCAGCCCGAGAAUCUAGGCACGACAGCCACGCUUUCCCCAGAACUGUGGCGUAACACGCAAGAUCUCACAGAACCACGACAGCCACGCUUUCCCCAGAACCGUGGCGUAACACGCAAGAUCUCACAGAACCACGACAGCCACGCUUUCCCCAGAACCGUGGCAUAACACGCAAGAUCUCACAGAACCACGACAGCCACGCUUUCCCCAGAACCGUGGCGUAACACGCAAGAUCUCACAGAACCACGACAGCCACGCUUUCCCCAGAACCGUGGCGUAACACGCAAGAUCCCACGUUUGCCCAUAACGCAGCAGUCAGAGUCCCAUACCGUCUCAGAAAAAGCGGAAAACUGGGAUUCAGGGGAAGCCUAUAAAAAGGUAGCCAACGAAGGUAAAAGGGUUGGCAUUUUUGAGAUUAUAAAAGAAAUGAAAAAAGAAGAGAAAACGACGAAAAAGCCAUAAGAUCUGUGGCAAGUGUCCCCCGAACCUUCAUAUCUGACUUGAGCGUCGGAGGGUUUGCGCCGGGAAAACAACCGGCGUACUCUGACUUGUCUGUGUGCGCAGGAACCUCUGGAGAAGAAGCCUCACGUGGAGACCUCCUGGUCGUGAAGAAGUUGAUCGGGCAGAGAUCCUGGUCGUAGAACGAGGAGAACCGGAAUCCCGCAUCAACAGAACUUGUACUUGUCCUGUGAUCCGUACAUGCGACCACGAAUGACCUACAUCGAAGGAUCUUACGUUGAAUCCUUUAAACCUGGCUUGGUUAGUGCACUCGCUCAUGGCCACGCUUUUCAUUUCCAUGGCUUCUUGCUCUUUUGUUAUAGAAAAUUUAUUUUUGGUUGCAGUUUGAUUCGACUGCUAAAAUCUCGUGCGAUAAUUGUAUAAGAUAUCUAGAGUUUGAACUUCUUUCACAUUAGGGUUCAAGGAAGUUAACUUAAAUGAUUUUCAAAAUUUUAAAUGUGUACCAAAGAAUUUAAUUUCAUAGCUUAAACUUAUAUUUUGAUCAUACUCUAACUUUGGACAGGAAAAAUUAUAUUUUUCCUUUAGUUCUUUGCCUUGGUGUAUGUUGUGUGAAGUACUUGUGCUUGAAAAUGAAUUGCUGACACAGAAAUUUCUAUGAAUGCAUGCAGCCCAUAAGUGGAUAUGGGGUGGGUAAAGUUUUGGAUUCAGAGAAUCCAGAGUUCAACAAAGGUGACUUGGUUUGGGGAAUGACUGGAUGGGAAGAGUAUAGUCUCAUUACGGCUCCACACUUGUUUAAAAUUCAACACACAGAUGUGCCUCUUUCUUACUAUACUGGAAUCCUCGGUAAACUUUUUGUUUGCACAAUUUAUGUGAGCAAAUUGUGUCUUCUUUUUCAUAUGUAAAUGUUUUUGAUAUCUUGAUGUGAAGGUAGAAAAUUGCAUGUUUUGAGUUUUUGCAUAUUUGAUGGAAACACAGAACUGUACCUGAAUCUUUCAGAACCCCCUUCUCUUUGAAGUUUGAACACUUUUCUUGAAUGUAUCAACUUUAUUUAUGGGAUAUGUUGCCAAAUUGGAAAAUCUAUUCGUUAUAAAACUUUCCUUUGACAGUUUAAUCUAAGCAGAUGUUAAUUCUGCAAAUAGAGUGUGCCUUAGAUUAGUUUCAUAGAUUUGUCUCCUUCUGUACAGUAAAAACUUUGAGCAUUUUCGCCAUAUUCUGAUCAAUACACUCCAACUAGUUAGUUCUUGAGGCGUUUUAUGGUUUCGUGGAGUGAGGCAAGAUGUAUACGUUUGCAAAUUGGCAAUGUCUUUCUCUUGAUGGGUUGAGAGUUGUGAGUGUCAACAGGAAACAAGACCUCUGUUUUAUGAACUCCAAAAAGUUAUUCUGUUAAAAAGAUCGAGACAGAGGCCAUACUAUAUUUAUUAUUGCUAUAAAAGUGUGAAAAAAUAUUCUUUAUUUAAUAUUCUAAACGAUUGAGCCAUUUAGUUAUGAUACUCUGCUGUAUUGGGGCUAAUAAUCUAAGUCGGUUCAAAGUGGUAAAUUUAUAAAUUGAUAGGUAUGCCUGGUAUGACCGCUUACGUUGGAUUUUAUGAGGUCUGCUCUCUUAAGCAAGGAGAGUGUGUCUUCAUAUCCGCAGCAUCUGGUGCAGUUGGACAGCUUGUGGGGCAGUUUGCAAAGUUAUUGGGUUGCUAUGUCGUCGGAAGUGCUGGAAGCAAAGACAAGGUAUGUAAAAUUAGAAUUUGAUCAACAGAUUUGGAGUGUUUGUUUACAGAGAAAAUCUAAGAGAAAAUGUAAGAAACUUUAGCUGAGAAUAUUCAUUUUGUUCAACUUAAUAACAGAAUGAGAUUACAAAGCUUAUAUACUGCUAUCAAGAAUCAUCUUAACACAUACAUCAUUUUCACGUGUAUUUAUCUUUGAAAGAAGCUAAAUAACCAGCUUAACAAACUCACAACUACUUUGCUGACUGGACUGCCACGUCACCAUAACUAACUUAACUAAUCCAAUCAGUUAAUCACAGUUAACACAUAUUCUUAUCAUCCCCCCUCAAGCUUAAGUUCGGGGAAGGACAUUAAGCUUGGUACGAAGAUAAGCAAACUGAUCAAAAGAGAGGGGCUUGGUGAGAAUGUCUGCAAGUUGUUCUGAACUGGAAACAUGACUGAUCGUGAGUUGCUUCUGGGCAAUAUGCUCUCGAAUAAAAUGAAGAUCCAACUCAAUGUGCUUUGUUCGAGAGUGAUACUUAGGAUUGCUAGCUAAUGCCUCAGCACUCUGAUUAUCACAUUAUAGAACAGGACUUUGAGUUGGCUGAAUUUGCAGUUCUUGAAGCAAAUAAGUGAGCCAAAGAAUUUCAGAGGUUGCCGAAGCAAGAGCUCUAUAUUCAGACUCUGCUGAGGAACGAGAAACAAUGGUUUGUUUCUUGGAGGACCAAGAAAUAAUAUUGUUUCCUAAGAAUACACAAUACCCUCCAGUAGACUUUCGAUCAUCAGGAUCAGCUGCCCAAUCAGCAUCAGAAAAUGCUGUUAAAGUCACAGAGCCUGAAUUGAAGAAUUGAAUCCCAAAGUGUGAAGUAGCUUGAAGAUAUCGAAGAACCCUUUUACAAGCUUGCCAGUGUGCAAUGGUUGGAUGAGCUAGGAACUGACUAAGCUUGUUAACAGGAUAAGCUAUAUCAGGUCUUGUUAGCAACACAUACUGAAGAGAGCCCACAAUACUUCUGUAUAAUGAGGGAUUAUCAAAAACUUCACCACUGUCCUUUGUAAGCUUAUCACCUGGACUCAUAGGAGUAUUAAAACCUUUGCUGUCAAGCAUAUUUACUUUUCUAAGGAUAUCACCAAUGUAUUUGGUCUGAGAUAAAUGCAGUCCCUGAACAGAGGGUGUUACUUCAGUACCAAGAAAGUAGUUAAACUCUCCUAGAUCUUUGAGUGCAAACUCUGAAUGAAGAUAUUGAAUAACAGCCUCAAUAUGUUGAGAAUUAGAACCAGUAACUAAAAUAUCAUCAACAUAUAUAAGAAUGAGCACAAUAUCAUGGUCAAUAUGCUGAAUAAACAUGGAUGUAUCAGAUUUUGAGGAUUGAAAACCUUUAUGGAGUAAGGACCCUUUCAACCUCUCAUACCAAGCUCUAGGAGCUUGCUUGAGACCAUAUAAGGCUUUGUUUAACUUGCAAACAUAUGAUGGAUUUGCAAAGUCUAUAAAACCUUGUGGCUGAUGCAUGAACACAUCCUCUUCAAGCAUACCAUUGAGAAACGCAUUAUUAACAUCCAGCUGUCUAAUCUGCCAAUGAUGCAACACUGCUAGACUGAGGACAACUCUGACUGUGCAAGGUUUCACAACUGGGCUGAAGGUCUCAAAGAAAUCCACCCCUUGAGUUUGAUGAUAACCCUUGGCAACCAACCUAGCUUUGUAUUUGGAAAUGCUGCCAUCAGGGUUAUACUUCACCCUAAAUACCCACUUAUUACCAACUAUUUUAGCAGCACUUUCAGAGGGCACUAGAGUCCAGGUUUGAUUUCUUUGCAGAGCAUCAAAUUCCUCUUUCAUAGCACAAAACCACUUGGAGUCAUGCAAGGCACUUUUGACACUAGUUGGCUCAAGAUUUUCAGUAGCUGCUAGAUAUGACUUGGGUUUGAAGAUACCAGCUUUAGCUCUAGUAAUCAUUGGGUGAGAUGGUAAUGAAGAUGAGUGAGUUGGUUCAGCUGAAGGAUGAGAAUAAGAAGGUUGUGCUGAACUGGAACUUGAUGGAGGAGACAUUGCUGAAUGAAAAUUAGGAGAUGAUGACUCUACAUUGCUACUGUCAACCUGAGCAGAAGUUUGAAGAAAAGAAAGUUGUACUGGUGAAGAAGGGACAUCAACAUUGGAGACUUGUGAGGUAGAGUGUUUUAGAAACAAUUCUGUGUUAGGAAACUCAGUUUCAUUAAAAACAACAUGUCGAGCAACAAACACUUUACCAGAUGAAUUUAAACACUUAUAACCUUUAUGAAGUGGACUGUAACCAAUGAAAAUACAUUUUUGAGUAUGAAAGUCAAGUUUAUGCUGGUUAUAAGGUCUGAGGAAUGGAAAACAGGAGCAACCAAAAACCUUUGGAAACUGAUAGUCAGGCAGAUGAUUAUGUAAUUUCUGAAAUGGGGAUAGAUUGUUUAGAACUGAUGUGGGCAUUCUGUUGAUAAGGAAAGAAGCAGUGUGGAAUGCUUCCCACCAAAAGGAGAGAGGUAACUGUGAUUGAGCUAGAAGUGUCAGACCUGUUUCAACAAUAUGCCUGUGUUUCCUCUCAACAACACCAUUUUGAUGGUGUGUAUAUGGACAACUAUACCUAAAACAUAUACCCUCUUGCUGAAGAAAGGUUUUAAAAGCUAUAAAUUCACCCCCCAUAUCUGACUGUAGUGUUUUGAUAGACAAGGAGAACUGUUUUUCAACAAGAAGUUUGAAGUGUUUGAAGGUUUCUAAGGCUUCUGACUUUGCUGUGAGAGGAAAAAUCCAAGAAUAUCGAGUGAAAUCAUCCACAAAAGAGAUAUAAUAUCUGUAUCCACUCAUUGAAUAUUCAGGAGCUGGUCCCCAUAAAUCUGUAUAUAGAAGCUCAAGUGGUGCUUUUGUUUUAAUGGUAGUGACAGAAAAAUGAAGCUGAUGCAUUUUGCCAUGUUGACAAGCAUCACAGAAGCUAAUGAAUUUAUUUGAAAAGCAAUGUGUGGGAAGACUUUUAAUAAUUGUUUGCAAAGCAUGUUUAUUGGGAUGACCAUAUCUAUUAUGUAACAACUGAACUGAUAUCUUUCCAGCUCUAGAAGAAUUUCCAGAAACAGAACAUGCAAAAGCUUCAGACAUAUUUACAUUAUCCAACUUUGACACAUGAUUAUUUGACUCUGGUAAAGAGUUUACAACUUUAUUAUCAAAACAAAAUGACAACAUGGAACUUGGUUUAAAAAGAUUUGGAUUGCAAUCUGCAGAGUAAGGAGAGAAGACAUCAAGUGACAGUAGCUUGUAAAGACCACCUUUAACAAUCCCCUGUGCCAGCAAAGUUCCCUCCUUCUUGUCCUUAAUAAAGCACAUGGUGGAACAAAAUUCAAUGAUUAUGUUAUUAUCCAAAAGAAGUUUAGAUAUACUGAUGAGGUUUUUGGUUAUUUUAGGAACACACAAAGUAUUGGUUAAGGAUAAACAUGUGCCAAAAGAAGUAGAAAGAUGAGUGCAGCCAAUAUGUGUGAUAGUAAGACCUUGUCCAUUUCCAACAAACAACAGUUGAGUACCAUUAUAAGGAUUACCUUCAACCAGGUUUUGCACAUUGUUGGUGAGAUGAUGAGUGGCUCCACUGUCCAGAUACCAUCCCUGAUCAGCAACUCCUUCUGAGGUAGCCAUAUAAGCUGUUCUUGGCCCUGGGUUCUGCAUUGGAGAAUUUGAAACAAAAUUUCUGUUAAAUCUGUUUCUACAAUCAACAGCUGAAUGGUUUGGUUUAAAACAUAUUUGGCAGGUAAUAUUUCCUCUGCCACCUCCUCUACCAAAGCCACCAGAGGACCCUGGAUUUCCACCAUUAAAACCACCAUUUCCACUAAAUCCACCAGUAUUUCCAUUAAAACCACCAGAGUUUGAACCUCUUCCUUGGUUUCCAAACCAGCCUCUCCCUGAGUUUUGAUCCAUAAAGCCACCUCUGCCAGAUCCAUAACCUCCUCUAUUGUUGAAAUUUCCAUUUCCAUUUCUAUUCACAAAAUUAACAUUCCAAUUACCCUGGUUAUUAGUAUUCCAAUUAGCAUUGCUUCCUGACUUCUUCUGAUUAUUACCAGUCUGAGCCACAUUAGCACUAAAAUUCACCUUAGUUUCCUUAGCUACACCAGAAUGAUUACUCUCAAGCCUAGCUUCAUGAGAUAGCAACAUAGAAUAAGCCUCAUUGAUGCUCAUUUUAAGAGCAUUUGCCUCAAUAUAAACUACAACAGGAUAGUAAGCCUGACCUAGCCCUGAGAUUAAAUGUGUAAUGAAGUCAAUAGAGCUAACUGAACUUCCAGCCAUUGCUAAUUCAUCAGUUACUGACCUUAGUUUACAAAAAUAUUCAGUAAUUGACAUGGAUCCUUUCUUAAGAUUGUUUAGCAGCAUCUUUAAAUGCACUUUCUUAGCUGCUGUUUCAAAUCCAAACUGUUCCUCUAAGCUUAUCCAAAGUUCUCGAGAGUUUUUAGAAUUUACCACAAUGCUUAAGAUCUCCACACUGAUUGAAGAUAGAAGCCAGCUCAAGAUCAUCUGAUCUUGCCUUUUCCAAGUAGUGUAGGCAGGAUUUUCUGAGAUGACUGCCGCAUCUGUGCUUGUUGAUUCACCAGUCAGCAGCUGGUUUGGACAGGUACGUGAUCCAUCAAGAAAACCUUCCAGAUCAUUUGCUCGAAUGGCUGAAAGGAUCUGAGAUUUCCAUAUAGUAUAAUUCGAUCUGUCAAGCUUGAUUGGUGUGGCGAAAGUAAAUGUUGAGAUUGCGGAAGAAACAUUUGUACUAAGACUUGAAGAAGCCAUGAUCAAGAAGUGAUUCAAGGCUCUGAUACCAAAUUAGAAUUUGAUCAACAGAUUUGGAGUGUUUGUUUACAGAGAAAAUCUAAGAGAAAAUGUAAGAAACUUUAGCUGAGAAUAUUCAUUUUGUUCAACUUAAUAACAGAUUGAGAUUACAAAGCUUAUAUACUGCUAUCAAGAAUCAUCUUAACACAUACAUCAUUUUCACGUGUAUUUAUCUUUGAGAGAAGCUAAAUAACCAGCUUAACAAACUCACAACUACUUUGCUGACUGGACUGCCACGUCACCAUAACUAACUUAACUAAUCCAAUCAGUUAAUCACAGUUAACACAUAUUCUUAUCAUGUAAUCUGUGUGAAGUACUUGAUUGUUUCCAUGUUACUUUCAAACAUUUAAAUUAAAAAGGAAAUUUUCAUAAUCUUGCCUUUUCUAUGAUUUUCAAAACCAAGGUUGAUCUACUGAAGAACAAGUUUGGGUUCGACGAGGCAUUUAACUAUAAAGAAGAAGCUGAUUUGAAUGCAGCAUUGAAAAGGUUAGCAUCAAUAAAUGCCUUAGCUUGAUGCAGCUUGAUGAAGUAUGAUACACAUUUCUGACCAAUAUACUGCGUUCCCUGAUCUCUUACUUGAAAUAUCUUGGUUUGAGAACCUCAUGCCAAUGCCUUUAACAUUUUGGCAGGUACUUUCCUGAAGGAAUUGAUAUAUAUUUUGAAAACGUUGGUGGAAAAACGCUUGAUGCAGUGCUACCCAACAUGAAAAUCCGUGGUCGAAUUGCUGCAUGCGGUAUGAUCUCACAGUACAAUCUUGACAAGCCUGAAGGUGUGCACAACUUGAUGUAUCUUGUUUUGAAACGGCUUCGAAUGGAAGGAUUCAUUGUUCUCGAUCACUAUCACCUUUAUCCAAAGUUUCUGGAAAUGAUCAUUCCUCACAUCAAAGAAGGGAAGCUUGUAUACGUCGAAGACAUGGCUGAAGGUCUGGAGAGUGCUCCGGCAGCUCUCAUCGGUCUAUUCUCUGGCCAGAAUGUUGGGAAACAGGUGGUUGCUGUUGCUCCUGAAUGAAGAACAAGUUAGUGUUGUAUGUUCUUUUACCCUUUGACACAAAACUUCAAUGUCAAAGAGAGAAUGCUGCUCAUACUGCUUUAUAAAAUAAUCAAAUGAGUGCAAGUUUCAUGAUAUUUGCUGAAUAAAAUAUUGGAAAUUAAGCAGCUAGCCUAGCUCCUUCUUGUAGUUGCAGUUUGAAUGAUGCUGCUGCACAACUGCUGCCGAAAAAAAUCCUUAAUAGAUGAUUAGCAAGGUUUCAAAAAUAAAAAUAAAUGUUUGUGCAAUGUGCCGAAUAUGACAGCCACAAAGAAAGAGCAUACAAAUUGAUUGGUUUUAUGUCUUCUCUAGGAGAAAGCUACAAUACAAGAAAUUGUAUUGAUGGAGCCUUGGACCAAAUUUCUUAUUUAAAUUUUUAAUUUUUUUUAUUAAAUUACUUAUGUUAUUAUGGUUUAUAUUUUUAGAAAUUCUUUAGAAAUUAAUACAGAACUAGUAGCAAGUUGAGAAAUCUACUGAAUGGUCAAGAUAUGAUAAUGUUUAUUGAAUUAAAUUAACAAUCAUCAUUUUCAUAAAUUAUUGUCAGGAUAUUUGAUUCAUGUCAGGUGUAAGUAACUAAGAGAGCGUUUGGGACAGACACCACAGUUGCUCCCGAUGCUUUAUUUUAGGGAAAUAUCCCCUGGAAUAAUGCAUAGGGCGCAGCCCCAAACGGACCCUAAAUGUGCUAAAAAAAAAUUAAUGAGUUGGGUGUGUUUGAUAUUCAUUUGUUGUAAUUCUUUUAAUAAUUAUUGUAGAAAAAAAUAUGAUAAAAAAUUUAUAAUUAUAAAUAAAAAUUAAUAAUAUAAUAAAUAAAAUUUUUAAACAAUAAUUUUAAUAAAAUAAUAAAUAUAUUAUCAAUUUUUCAUCGUUAAUAUUUAAGUCACAAUAAUAAAUAUUUAUUAAACACUUUAAUACUAUAACUAACACUACAACUUUUGAAUUAUAACAGUACAUUCUAAAGACCGUGGAACAAUAGUACAAAAGGUGCUCGUCGUGUAAACAACACAUGGGACCCAAGCAAUAAAUGUUUCUGAUCCUCAACUUUCCUCAUCACUGUCCCUGCAAACAAUUCUGAUUUUCUUGUCUGAUAAAAAAACUGAGAAACAAUGGCGGCCGAACAAGAAGCUGUGAGCAAUAAUGUAAAGCCACAAAUUUUCAUAAUAUUAAAUUAUGAAAAUUGGGCUUUCAUUGAGAAUUAUGGGUGGCCUAUAACCCUUAUUAAGAAAGGGAUACUAAUUAUAAAUACAAGUUAUUUAUGAGAUAGUUUUGAAAAAAUGUUAUUUUUCCUUAUUAAAUAAGGUUUCUUAAGACUCCCUAUAAAUUCAUACUUUUUCCCUUCCAUGACCCUAAGUCCAUGACGUUUAUUCUUCUUCUCUGCUGCUCUUUACGCUCCUACCCAAAUCAUAGGAUUCAAACCUUUGUUUAGGAGAGAAUCAAAGCGACGAGUAAGUUAUUCUCCCUAUUCUCAACAGAUUUCUAAUCACUCUAUCUAGGGUUUAUAUUGGCACGAUUCUAGAUGGUUAUAGAUCAUAAUGCAUGAUUUAGAAUGUAUUUAGGCUUUGUUUAGGGUUUUGAUUUAUUAUGAGUUUAGUUAAUCAAUCCUUGACGUAUUAAGCACAGGAUAAUUCUGGACAAUAUGAGUAUCUCGAAUUUAAACCUAUAUUUUCUGAACGAGUUUUAUUAUAAAAUUUAUAUUUCUGGAAACUAGACAUGUAGGGCUUCUUGAGUAAAUUUUAUUUCAUUAAAUUCGACUUCGUUUUCAAUUUUAUAUUUAUUUUCGAAAUAGAAACCACUGCACUGGAAAACUGCGAUUCCAGCAUUGCGAUCGGAUUCACAAGACUAUUUGUACCACCAAACGAACUCGGAAAAUUCUGAAAGUUUAUAUGUAGGUUAAUAUAUGUGUCUAGGAUUACCAGUUUUAAUUUCAUAAUUUUCUGAUUAGUAUUUUAUUUUAUAAAAAUCACAGAACCCGUUCUGUUUGGUUUAGAUUAUGUGAAAACAGUUUCGAAUUUGCUGAGAAAUAAAUAGUUUCGAAAAUGUUUUUGAUAUCGGAUCCUCUUGCAAAUUUUACAUAGGGUACUCAUGGAUGUCCAGAAUAGUCCCAUAGAAUAUUAUAUCAUUCUGAGUCUUAGAUUAAGAGUUAAAUUCUGAGAAUCAGACCUGUACGGGUAUGAAUUAGAAAAUCAGAUUCUUAGAAUAAGUUAUUAAUUGUCAUAUCUUGUAUUUGUUUAAGGUGUUGAAGGUGAUUGAGGUUCUUAGAAGCUUAAAGGUGUGUUAAUUCAAAUUCAUUUGUCGAGGUAAGUUACUUCAUUCCUACUAUAUUGGAUAUGUAUAAGUAUUUUGAUAUUAUCAUUAUAAGUAUAAAUGUUUUCAUACUAUUUAGAAGAUUAAUGGAUUUUCAUAACAAAAUUAGCUUAUGAAAAUGUUUUCAAAACCUAAUUUCUUUUUAACAAAGCAUUUUAUAAAUACUUUUUAAAUAUGUAAGUUAUUUUGUUACAUGCCUACUUUUAUGAUUUUAUUUAUAAAAUAUUUUGCAAGCCUAAAUUAUUGUUAUGGACUUUUAUGAAUCCGAUACGAAUGUUUUAUGCCUAUGCAUGAUUUCAAUUAUAUAUGAUUGUAUGGGGGCCACCUCUUGGGACUAUAUGGGGGCCACCUCUUGAAGGCCAAAGUGUCGCAAAGUGCCACAUAUAGUGCAAAGUGCCACGUAUAAGUCAUUAUGUUUUGGCUCAUUGUCCGUAGUCAUUUUGAUUCUGAUUCUGAUCAUAUAAUACGAUAUAUGUCUGUUUUGGACCAGUACUGGGUUUCUGUUCUGAGUGUGCACACGAUAUUUUGAUUCUGUUUCUGGCCGGGUCACUGGGACUAUAGGUGACACUAUGUGACAAGAGCUAACCUUUUGUUUUCUGUAUACGUAUUAUAUGAUUUACUUCAUAAGUAAAUAUGCUUUUGGAUAUUCGGAAUUAUUAAGAAUUUAUGUUAUGUUAUCGUGAUAUAUUGUUUUAUGAAAUUUAUGGAUUAUGAUAUAUGUUUUAAACAAAAGAAGGCUUGCAAUAUUUUUGUAUCGAUAGGCCCAGUAUGUUAGAAAUUGUUUUACUUACCGAGUUGACGGCUCACCCCUCGUCAUUACUUUUUGCAGAUUAAGUUUCUUUUGAGAGGUGCGCUUAGCUUUGGAGUUAGUAAUUUUCCGUUUCCAUUUGCCAUUUGAAUAAGAGGAGGAAUAAACUCGUGUUUCUAUUUAGUUAUUUCUAUUAUGAACGUGUAAUUUGGAGUUUGAGACUUUUGUUAUUAUUUUUAUGUCCUCGGGAGAGAUUAUUUAGUAUUAGACGUUAGAAUUUGUGGAUUUAUUUGAAUAAGAAUUGGAGGUAUUUCAGUUUGAAACUUAUGAGUAAAGAUUAUGAUUUGUGAGUAACCUCCUUCUUCACGUGCUCCGCACGUGUUAGAUUUGGGGUGUUACAAAUAAGCGGGUGAUUCUAAGCAACUAUGUGACAGGUUUUCCAAAAGAAUCAGACAUGAAGAUAACAAGUGGAUCAAUAAAGCUGAAGGUAGCAGACUGUUCAAAAGACACGGUGCUUUUGAAGAAUCUUUAUCUUUCUUGUGAUCCUUACAUGCGAGAGCGUAUGAGCAAGCUUGAUAGCCCUUCUUUUGUUGAUUCAUUCCAUCCUGGUGAGGUUAGUUCAUCACGGCCCAUCUCUUGAUUUUUUUUUUUCAUUUGCUUCAAGUUUUGAUGAGUUUCUGAGGUAAUUUGUACGGUUUUGGAAUUUGAACACAAUUUGUGAUUUUGGUGCUGUAACUGUCAUUAAUGAUAUGUAGUAAUUCAAUCGGAAUUUGGAUUUAGUGCUGAUAUGAUCUCUGCUCAUUUUUUUAAAUCUUGUGUCCACAUGCAUUUUUGAAAUCUGGUACGGUUGAGAUUGUAUGUAGAUUAACCUACGUACAGUAUUCUUGUCUAAUGACUACUAACCACAACCUUAUGAGACGAUCGAAACCAAGCUCGGAUCAAUAAUCCAAUCGAGAGAGGAUCAUAACUGAAGCUUAUCGUGUGUGGGAAUAUUUCGGUUAAAUUGUAAUCAUGAUCAUGAAUCAUGCAGGGAAAAGGGAAGUUGAGGUCAAUUUAUGCACUUGAUGGAAUUAAAGAACCAAUAUUUGAUUUUGGUUUACAUUAUUUCUCAGUAAUGGUGACUUUGUGAUGUUAAAUUUAUGCAGCCUAUAAACGGAUAUGGGGUGGCCAAAGUUUUGGAUUCUACACAUCCAAAUAAUGCAAAAGAUGACUUGGUUUGGGGCUUUACCGGGUGGGAGCAGUACAGUCUCGUUACAGCUCCGCAGCUUUUGAUUAAAAUUCAUCAUAAAGAUGUGCCACCUUCAUACUAUACCAGGAUCCUCGGUAAUGAUUUUUGUUACACAUUAAGCUUUGCUUAUAGUAAUAUCAAUACAUAUGCUGCUUAAAUGCUUUCUGAUUUUUUGCCGGCCAUUGUCCAUUUUGCCCGGGAGACUAUAAUUGAAGGAAUUUACUGAAGGAAUGCUGAUUGUUGGGAAUUUGAUUAUUCUAGGUAUGCCUGGUGUAACUGCAUACGCUGGUUUAUAUGAAGUUUGCUCUCCGAAGAAAGGAGAGUAUGUCUAUGUAUCUACAGCAUCUGGAGCUGUUGGUCAGCUUGUUGGACAGUUUGCAAAAUUAGCUGGUUGCUAUGUUGUUGGAAGUGCUGGAAGCAAAGAAAAGGUGCUGUUAUAUCAUUCUUAAGUAGUAAAUAUAGCACCGUGCCUUCUAGCAGAAUUUUACAUGCUUUAUGUUCCAACUAAGCAUCCAUAUUUGAUCGUGAUAAUUAGCAAGGUCAAUAAUUUUUUUUUGACUAUUUUUUCAACGUAAGGUCGAUUUGUUGAAGAACAAGUUUGGACGAUGCUUUUAACUACAAGGAAGAGCCAGACUUGGAUGCAGCGCUCAAAAGGUCAGCUGCAACAAACGUUUCAACUCUAAUAUUUCAUUUUAAUAUUACAGAGCUUUGGUUGAAGUGUGUGAGUUGAUCCCAGAAACGUAACUUCAUCAGUGUCUCUGUUUUCAAAAAACAGGACAAAUUAAAAUCUGAUUUUGCGUUAAAAUUUCCCAGAUGUUUCCCUCAAGGAAUCGACAUCUAUUUCGAAAAUGUUGGGGGAAAGAUGCUGGACGCAGUGCUACUCAACAUGAGGCUCCGGGGCCGCAUUGCGGUAAGCAGUAUGAUCUCACAGUACAACCUGGAAAAACCCGAAGGCAUACACAACUUAGAGCAACUGAUCGGGAAACGGAUUCGCCUGGAAGGAUUUCUAGCAGGUGAUUACUAUCACCUCUAUCUGAAAUUCUUGGAACUGGUCAUUCCUGCAAUCAGAGAAGGAAAGAUGGUGUAUGUGGAAGACAUAGCCGAAGGACUCGAGAAAAUUUCUCGUAACUGCUACACAUUAAACGCGUUUCACAUUUCCACUCUCUCUCUAUAAAUAAACACGCACAUAAAAUUUCUCACUAUCCAAAAACAAAAUCUACAUAAAAAAUGGCGGGUGAAGAAGGAGUGAGCAACAAGCAGGUGAUUCUGAGCAACUACGUGACAGGGUUUCCCAAAGAAUCAGACAUGAAGAUAAUAGCAGGCUCAAUAAACCUCAGGUGCCAGAGGGUUCAAAAGACACAGUGCUUUUGAAGAAUCUUUGUCUUUCCUGUGAUCCUUACAUGAGAGGACGUGUGAGCGAGCUUGAUAAGCCUUCGUUUGUUGCCUCGUUCGAGUCUGGCGAGGUCAGUUACUUCAAUUCCCAUCUCUUGGUUUCAUAAUCUUUUAUGGUUUUAGAAGGUGUUUUAGGGAAACAUUGUGGUUUUGGUUAGUGGGCAUGAGCCUUUGAAGAGAUUAUAAUGUGUAGGACUAUGUAUGCAAUAAUAAGUAUAGGGGAUCUUGUUAGGAGAAGAUUCUCUUAGCAAAAUAAAAACUUUUAUCUUAUCAAAACAUAUGCAGGGAACUUAGUUAUGAUGUCAUGUUAGCAUUGUCUCUGAGGAUUUGAUUUCUUGAUGGGGAAAGGGGAAUUUAAGGUUACAUUAUUCAGCAAUGGUUUUUUUUUUUUUUUUUUAAUUAUGUUCAAAUUAUGCAGCCUUUGAGCGGAUAUGGAGUGUCCAAAGUGUUGGAUUCCACGCAUCCAAAUUAUAAGAAAGAUGACUUGGUCUGGGGCUUAACCAGUUGGGAGGAGUUCAGUCUCAUCCAAUCACCACAACUUCUGAUUAAAAUUCUGGAUACAAGUGUGCCUCUGCCAUACUAUACUGGGAUUCUUGGUAAGUUGUUACUAAAUUUAUCAAUGUCCAGUUCGCAUGAGCUGAAAAUCAUGUUUUAUUUAAUGCAAUGAGAGAGGGAAAUAGUAUGCUGCUUGAACGUCUAGCAUUUUGAAUUUUCAAUGAUUGUACCCUACGUAUUGGCAUGUAACUGAAGGAUUUCUCUUGAGGAAUUUACUAUUUUUUCUGAUUGUCGGGUAUUUUUCUGUUGACUCUAGGUAUGCCUGGUUUGACUGCAUAUGGUGGUUUAUAUGAGCUUUGCUCUCCUAAGAAAGGAGAGUAUGUCUAUGUAUCUGCAGCAUCUGGAGCUGUUGGUCAGCUUGUUGGGCAAUUUGCGAAGCUGGUAGGUUGCGAUGUUGUUGGAAGUGCCGGAAGCAAAGAAAAGGUGAGUUUGCACCUUUAACCCUUACGCUCUAAAUAAAAACAUAACACCUUCUGAAAGAAUUUGCAUAGAGAAUUUUGCAUGUCACAGUAUUUGUGUUCUAACUAAUCAUGGAUAUUUGAUCAUUAGUCUAACUAAAACUGACUUAUUACCACCUAGUUGAUUGGUCUUUGAGAAAUGUUAGUUGAUAUAUGCUUGAAAUCAUACUUUGUUUUAUUAGAUGAUUAUAUUAACCUGCUUCUUUUUCUUUGUGCUGUUUCUCGUUUGAUUACAUUUUCAACAUUAGGUCGAUCUAUUGAAGCACAAGUUUGGGUUUGAUGAUGCUUUUAACUAUAACGAAGAGCCUGACUUGGAUGCAGCUCUUAAUAGGUUAUCACGAAUGAAUGCCUUAACCAUUUUUCUCACUUCAUUAUUACAAUGCGCUGAUUGAAGUAAUCAGUGUUGGCUCUGAAAAUGUAAUGUAUACUUCUCUGUUUUCAUAAAACAGGACAAACAGUGAUCAGUGAUCUCAUUCGUUACAUUGAUAUUUUCUACCAUUGCCAUAUGCCCAUACAUAGUAUAAACUAGGAAUUCAGUUGCUUAAUUGAUAUUCAUUUCAGAGGGAAAUUUUCACUUGCAGCUAACAGAAUCAUGUUUGUGAUGUAUGUUUAUUUGGGAAAUGAAAGGAUUUGCUGCAUUAUUUUAUUCCAAGUUUGCUGAAAUCAUAUUUGUUUUCCCAGCUGCUUUCCUGAAGGUAUCGACAUCUAUUUCGAAAAUGUUGGGGGUAAGAUGCUUGAUGCAGUGCUAUUCAACAUGAGAAUUUGUGGCCACAUCGCUGUAUGCGGAAUGAUCUCACAGUACAACAUUGAGAAGCCUGAAGGUGUACACAACUUGAUGCAAGUAGUUGGAAAACGAAUUCCCACGGAAGGAUUUCUUGCCGGUGAUUUCUACCACCAAUAUCCAAAAUUCUUGGAACUGGUUAGUGGUUAUGGCGGCAAUCAAAGAAGGAAAGUUAGUAUAUGUCGAGGACAUAGCUGAAGGCCUUGAGAAAGCUCCAUCAGCUCUAGUUGGGAUAUUCACUGAGCAGAAUGUUGGAAAACAACUGGUUGCAGUUGCUCGGGAAUGAUAUGAUUAUUAUAUGACCAUGGACUUUAAAAGCUUAGUGAAGAUGCCUCUGUCUUAUUUGUGAUCCAUGUUAUGUUUGUUUGAGAUACAUGUUAUGUUUGUUUGAUCAAGCUGUACUCAGAUAUAAAUCAAAGAUUCAGAACAUGUGUAUGAUACUGGUUUCUAAAUCAAUGAACGCUUUGAAAUGUUAGUGUUUUCACAGGAGAAUGCAAUUUAAUUCAUCAACAAUGUCCCAACAAGACCCUCAGAGCUGUAGCUUGUAAAGUUAAUUACCAUAUUUUUUUGUAAAGUUAAUUACCAUAUUUUUUUCUUUCCAAUAUAUUGCUUAUUUCAUAGAAAGUUUACAUUAAAGUCUCAUGUUUCUUUGAAAGGUAAGCAAGUGUGAACGUUUCAAUCUAGAGCUGGAAAAUGCAUUUCCGGGCAACUUACUUGAUAAAUGAAGUUUUCAUCUCUGACCAUGAUGUUUCCCACAGGUGCAUUCAUUUCAGCUGAUCUAUUUAAUUUUGUUUUCGAAGGAGUGACACAAAAUCUCCUUUGUUAAGGGGAGAAUUUAGAGCGGCUUUGACUGUUAUCAAAUAGCCUAAUGUAAGACUUAACCAACUUCCUGCCCUGUUGUAUUCUUAUGAAUUUUGAUAGAGCUAAGAGUUUGCAGAAGCUACUGUAUUAUAUGUCGUUAGAGGCUGUAAAAAUCAAACACAUUUAAAUUUCAAUGAAAAUUUACUGGAAGUAAAUUUCCUAUGAUCCUACAGGUGACUAAUUAAUGAGAACUUGACAAUGACAAAAGAAAGUGUAUGAACUUUGCAGGCUGGCAUGCCAAUAUUGACUGGGUGGCACCAUCCACCAUCUGCAAGUGAAUAUCAUUGUUGUUUAAUCAACAUGGUGGAGUCCACUGGGACCACACCACAUCAUCAGCCUUAUCUCUAUUCCUCAAUUUUCAGUAUUCCAUACAUCAAACCAAUUUCAGUUUUGUUAUCAAUUAUAACUUUAUUGUUGGUGACGAUUCUGAUUCCUUUCUGACAAAAGGGAACCAUGGCUGCUGCUGGAGAGAUCUUACUCAACGCCUUCUUUCAGGUACUGUUCGACAGGUUGGCUUCUCGUAAUUUGAUCAGCUUUGUGCGUCAACUCCAAGGCGGGGUUGAUUCGGAGCUCAAAAAGUGGGAGAAAAAGCUGAAGAUGAUUCAGGCUGUCCUCUGCGAUGCAGAGGAGAAGCAACUGACCAACGAGGCUGUGAAGAUGUGGCUGGACGAACUCCAAGACUUGGCUUAUGACGCUGAGGACAUUCUUGAUGAGUUUGCUACUCAAGCUUUGGAAAGCAAGUUGAUGGCGCAAAAUCACGAUAGUUCUGGCCAGGUUCUCAGUUUCAUCCCGGCUGGUUUGAAUCCGAAUGCUAUUAUGUUCAAUUAUAGCAUGGGGUCCAAGAUUAAAGAUAUUACUAGCCGGCUGGAUCAACUCUGCCAAGAAAGAAUUGAACUUGGACUGCAACGGAUUACCGGAGAGGCAUCAUCAACUGCUGCUGGUGCACACCAGAGGCCACCCAGUUCGAGUGUCCCAACAGAACUUGAAGUAUUUGGAAGAGAAGAAGAUAAGGCCAAAAUUCUUGAUAUGUUAUUAGCCGAUACCCUAAGUGAUCAUGCUAACUUUGUUGUAAUACCCAUUGUUGGCAUGGGUGGGAUAGGAAAAACAACUCUUGCUCGGGAGGUUUACAAUGACAAGGCCGUUGGAGAUUGCAAGUUUGAUGUAAAAGCAUGGGUUUGCGUAUCUGACGUCUUUGAUGUUUUGGGCAUCUCAAAGGCACUUCUCGAGUCAAUCACCCGCACGCCUUGUCUUCUAAACAGUUUAAAUGAAGUGCAGGUUGAAUUGAAAGUAGCUGUGGAUAAGAAAAGAUUCUUGCUGGUCUUAGAUGAUGUUUGGAACGAGGACUACAGCUUGUGGGUAGACUUAAAAGCUCCGUUCCUGGGUGCUGCACCAAACAGUAAGAUGAUCGUCACCACGCGCAAUUCAAAUGUUGCAUCAACAAUGGGACCAGUUGAACAUUACAAUCUCAAGAGUCUGUCAGAUGAUGAUUGCUGGUCCAUUUUCAUAAAGCAUGCAUUUGAAUCUAGAGAUCUUAACGAACAUCAAAUUUCAGAAUCAUUCCGCAAGAAAGUUGUUGCCAAGUGUGGAGGCUUGGCCCUGGCAGCAAAAACACUCGGAGGCCUUCUGCGUACGACGAGGCAUGAUGUGUGGGAUGAUAUAUUAGAGAGCAAAAUAUGGGAUUUACCUCGACAAAGUGGGGUUCUCCCAGUAUUAAGAUUGAGUUACCAUCAUCUUCCUUCUCAUUUGAAAAGAUGUUUCGCUUACUGUGCAAUCUUUCCAAAAGAUUAUGAAUUCAAUGAGAAGGAGGUGACUUUUUUAUGGAUGGCCGGAGGUAUUAUUCGACAGUCCAGAAGCAAAGAGAGGCUAGAAGAUUGGGGCAGCAAGUGCUUCUAUGAUCUGGUGUCAAGGUCAAUUUUUCAGCAAACAGCAAUCUCUGAUAGUUCUAAAUUUGUAAUGCAUGACCUUAUUCAUGAUCUUGCUGAAUUGGUCUCUGGAGAAACCAUAUUCAGGUUAGAGGAGGCCAAUACUCUGUCAAGAAGAUUUGAAAGGGUUCGCCAUUCUUCCUAUGCUUGUGGUGGACGUGAUGGUAAAAAUAUGUUCGAGGUUUUCAAUGAAAUUGAACAUCUACGAACAUUCUUGCCAUUACGCUUACGCAUAAGAGGUGGCUCUAAUACUAGUUUCAUAACUCGUACGGUUCUAUCUGAUUUGCUGCCGAAGUUCAAAAUGUUGAGAGUGCUAUCUUUACAAGGAUACCGUAUCGGUGAGUUACCAAUUCCAUUUGAAGAUUUGAGACUUCUAAGGUUCCUCAACCUUGCUGACACUGACAUAAGAAGUUUACCUGAGUCAACAUGCAAAUUGCUGAACUUGGAAAUUUUGAUAUUAAGAAAUUGUUCCCGUUUGAUAAAGCUUCCGCAGAAAAUGAGGAAUUUGAUCAAUUUACGUCAUCUCGAUAUAAGAGGUGCAAAGCUGCUAAAGGAGAUGCCAUUUGGAAUGAAAGAGUUGAAGAAGCUUCAAACAUUGUCCAAUUUUAUUGUAGGCAAGGGUGAAUCCGCAUCUGGUUUGGAAGAUUUAAAAAGUUUAAACCUUCUUUGUGAUGAACUCUGCAUUGCUGGAUUAGAGAAUGUAAAUAGUCCACAGAAUGCAAGAGAAGCCACAUUAUGUGAGAAGCACAAUCUUGAAGCAUUGACUCUAGAAUGGGGGUCUCAAUCUGACAGUCCUCGGGAUGCAGUACUAGAAGAGAAUGUACUUGACACUCUACAACCUCAUGAACGUAUAAAAGAGCUGGCAAUCAGGCACUAUGGUGGUGCAGGAUUUCCACUUUGGAUCGGACAUCCUUUGUUCUCCGAGAUGAAGGUCCUUAAAUUGGAGAACUGUGACAAGUGUGUAUCUCUGCCAUCGCUUGGCCUGAUGAAUUCACUUAAGCACCUUGCUGUUAAAGGGCUGAAGAAACUAAAAAGCAUAGAGUCUGCGGUCUUUCCAUCAUUGGAGACUCUAAGUUUUGAGAAUUUGCCAGAAUGGCAGCAUUGGAACACCAAUAUCAAAGGAAAUGAGCCUGUUGAAAUAUUUCCUCGUCUCCAAGAACUUUCCAUUGCAGAAUGUCCCCAACUCUCUGGAGAACUGCCUGAGCUCCUGCCUUCUUUGGAGACACUUGUUGUUAGUAAAUGUGGAAAGUUGGUAGUUCCAUUGUCAAGCUAUCCGAUGCUCUGCAGAUUAGAAGUUGAUGAGUGCAAAGAGCUAGUGUGCAGGACUCCAAUUAAUUUUGAGUUGAUAAAGUCUGUGACUAUUUCAAAUAAUUCAUUACUCAUGAAUGGAUGCAAGGAGAUGCUAUGCCAUGGUCAAGCUGGCUCUUCACUGCAGAAACCCAAGACUAUUAUGAAUGUUUUGGAGUUCGGAAAAUUAUUGAAGCCUGGAUUUCAGAUAUUAGAAACUUUGGUAAUUGGCAAUUCUGAACGGCUCAAGUCAUGGAGUACUUUUAUUGAACCAGGGCUACAUUUGCUCGCUUCCCCUGAAGAGGUAGCAAUUGAAGAAAGUUGUGUACGUCUUGUUUUGUUUCCAGAGAUCAAUUUCUUUCCCAGAAAUCUGCGCUCUCUUCGAAUUUGCAACAGCACUGCUUUCAAAUCCUUACCCGAGGAAAUGAUGGAAAACAAUUCACAACUCGAAAGGUUGUAUAUCAGAGAUUGCGACUCUCUAACAUUCAUCGCAAGACGGAGGCUACCAGCAUCUCUUAAAAGGCUUGAGAUAGAAAAUUGUGAGAAAUUGCAACGUCUGUUCGAUGAUGAAGAGGAUGCUUCUUCUUCUUCUCCUUCAUCCUUGUCUUCCCCAGUGAUGCUGCAACACCUGAGAAUAGAGAAUUGCCCAGAGCUCACCAGUUUAUCAUCGGGUGUCCAAUUCCUUGAGGCGCUUGAAUACCUCAAGAUAGAGCAUUGUCCAAAGCUGGAGUCAAUACCGGAUGGCCUGCCCAAUCUUAAAUGUUUACAGAGCAUUUAUAUACGGAAAUGUCCAAGUCUUGUUUCCUUCUUAGAAAGAGGGCUUCCCAACGCCAUUUCAAGUUUUUACAUUUGCAGAUGUGACAAGCUCGAAGCCUUGCCCAAUGAUAUGCACAAACUCAACUCUCUUCGAGAUUUAAGCAUACAUGGGUGUCCAAGUCUUGUUUCCUUCCCAGAAAGAGGGCUUCCCAACGCCAUUUCAAGGGUUUACGUUUGCAGAUGUGAGAAGCUCGAAGCCUUGCCCAAUGAUUUGCACAAACUCAACUCUCUUCGAGGUUUAAGCAUACAGAUGUGUCCAAAUCUUGUAUCGUUUCCAGAAGAAGGUUUUCCUACCAAUCUAACAUCACUUACAAUUAGAUAUUUCAAAAUGUAUAAGACACUCGUCCAGUGGGGGUUGCACAGGCUUACCUCUCUUAAACGCCUCUGGAUUGCUGUACGUGAUGAUGAAGCAGAGUGUUUUCCAGACGAGGAGAUAGGAAUGACGCUGCCCACCUCUCUCACCGCUCUGCACCUUACUGGAUUCGAAAAUUUGAUAUUUCUGUCUUCAAUGGGUUUUCAAAACCUCACCUCUCUUCAAUCUUUGAGGAUCGAGAAUUGCCCGAAUCUCACAUCAUUUCCAGAGGUGGGCCUUCCAUCCUCACUUUUGGAAUUACACAUUAGAGAUUGUCUAAAGCUUAAAAAAGCGUGCAAAAGAGAUCAAGGAAAAGAGUGGCCCAAAAUUGCUCACAUCCCUCGCGUUGAGAUAGACGAUAAAUUCAUAUACGAUCCAGAAGCAGAGUAGAUUCUAUUAUUAAGGUCAGUUGAUUUGUAUUAUCCGCUAUAACAAGCUCCUCCUUUUUUUUUCAAAUAAUAAUUUUGCAGUCACUCAUAUGAUUCCGUUUUCACAAGUCAGAUUGUAUGUUGAGGCUAUUUGCCUUUUAAUUAUAACACUUAUUGGAGUAUAAUAUUUUGGAGCAAGCAUACUUGAAAUUUCUGUCUUCAAUAUUUUGAUGCUUUUUUAAUUUUUGAUCUAGUAAAAAUACAUAGCCUUCACCGGCAGGAUUCUAGUCUUGGCUUUCACCUCUCUAACUCAUCGUCCCCACUGGGAUUCCAGAAAUUGAAAUUUCUGUCUUCAAUGGGUUUUCAAAGCCUCGCCUCUCUUCGAUUUUUAUGGAUCGCUUCGAUUUUUGCACAAAUCUCACAUCAUUUCCCGAGGUCGAGGAAAAGAGCGGCCCAAACUUGCUCGCAUCCCUUGGGUUAUGAUAGAUGGAAAAUUCAUAUACGAUCCAGAGUCAGAGGUGUUGAUUCUCUUAUUAAGGUCAACUGAUUUCUAUUAUCCACUCUGACAAUCUCCUAUUAGUGUUUUUCCUUUUCUUUUUCAAAAUUUUGCAGUUCUGUAUAAUUGAAAAUGCCACUCACUUGUUUCCUUUUUCGCAGGUCAAAUAGUGCGUUGAGGCUAUUUGCUUUCUAUCGGUGUUUGUUAAGGUAAUUAGUGCUCCAUCAUAGGUAUGACUGGAUUUUUUUCACUUCCGUAAAUAUUGCAUUUCUAUCGGUGUUUGACUGGAUUUUUUUCACUUCCGAAAAUAUUGCAUUUUAGACUGGCAAAUUUAGCAGUAAUUUUAAUACAAUUUUGUUGGUGCCUUUUGUUCCAGAAGCUAGAAAAAUGUGUAGUUUUCAGAUAAGGAGGCUUGUCAGUUCUCUAAUAAGAAUCCAAUAAUUUGCUUUUGCACGUCCAUCUAAUUUGUGGAUCCUUGCAUCAGAAUUUGAUCAAUCCAAAAGGAAUUGCUUUUAGACAGAGGAAGAAUAGCAGUACCUAGCCUAUGUCAUAGUGUAUGGAACCGCAAACCUGAAACUAUUAGAUUGAGGUAAAAAAAUCAUUGACCCCCUCACAUGUUAACUUCUUCUAGUUACUUUCGUUGGAAAAAAAAACAUUUAAGGAAUUUGCAAUUUGUUGUUGGUUAUGGUAUCUGAUGUUCUUUUCUGUUUUAGUGUUUGUAGAAUCUACUGUAUUAUGUGUUGGCAGUUGCCGUAUCUGAGGUAACUUGCCUUUAUUUGACAAAGAUUUAGAGAAGCAUCUCAAAACACUUAGUAAACUUGACAAACUUCAAGAUGCACUUGCCCCCACGCCUUAUUCUCCACAACGCAAAACUUGUGAGUACACCUAUGCCUGCAAUUAUUGUGAAGUGUUUUCAAUUUUGAUGCAGAGAAAUGGUUUCUUGAUGCAAAAUAUUAAACUGUUAAGAUUUAUCCUGCAGGCUUGUUAGAUGCUGUAUGCUCGAAAAGCCAACAACAUCCAGAACUAGAACUCCAAGACCAGCUUUGCGUUAAUUCAGUCAACUGUAAUAAUAAUGCAAAUGACACUAUAUCAAGCUGGACUUAGAGACUAGUCAGAUCAAUCAUCCAUUUCAUCAACGGUUAAUGUCAUGAUGGUGGCUAUCAGAGGAAACAAAAGAUGUGUCGGAAUCUAUACGAACAUUGAGAAGCAUGAGAGGAGCUUUGAUUUUGAGUAGGGUCAAUGAACUCAUGUUGGUAAGUGGUAAUUAAAGAAAUUUGUAAGCUUAGUAGAGUUUCAGUAUUUUCUGUUUGGAGUAUAGUUGAUAAGUUGACUCUGUUUAAUAAGCCCGAUUAUAGUAGCUGACUGUAUUAACCUUUUUUUUUUUGGUCUACUGUUGUUUUUGGUUUCGAUUAUUUUUUCAACAUUGGGUUGAUCUGUUGAAGAACAAGCUUGGGUUCGAUUCUGCUUUAACUACAAGGAAGAGCCAGACUUGGAUGCAGGCGUUAAGAUUUUAAUGGGUAAGAACAAAUGAAUGCUUUAACCAUGUUUCUCACUAAUUAAAAUGCACGGAUUGAAGGCAUCUGGGUUGAUCCUGACAAUGUGAUGGAAAUACUUCUCUAUUUUGUUCCUGUGUUCACAUAAUGUUUGUGGGAUAUGCUUCGACGAAGACCAGCAAUGAUGAGCAGACACCUGGUAAUAGGGUUCCUCGAGCAGGUAUAUCUUGUAAGAGUAUGGUAUUCAGGGGAGCAGGAGCAGGAAUAUCCUGCUCAUCCGCGAGCACGUCAUCCACGAGGCCAAUCUCCUGUUGGAAGCAUAAAGCCAUUCCUGCUACAUUCCUGCUAAGGGUUGAGUCGAGGAGACCCGGUCAACGACAGUUGGCGAGGCGUGCUCUCCAGUCCGAGAAUCAAGGCAUGAAGGCCACGCAACCACCCACGACUACGGAAAUGGGGCAUCCACUUUCGAGAGGUGGGAGGAUAACGAGCGCGAAUGGAAGAAGGCCCGAGUUCAGAGAUGGCCUAUAAAAAAGUAGCCAACAAAGGUAAAAGGGUUAGAAUUUUUGACAUUGUAACAGAAAAAAAGAAAGCUCUAAAGAACUGAGACUAAAAAAGAAAAGCCAUAAGAUUUGUGGCUAGUGUUCCCAGAACCUUCAUAUCUAACUUGAGCGUCGGAGGGUUUACGCCGGGAAAACAACCGGCGUACUCUGACCUAGUUCUGUGUACGCAGGAACUUCUGGAGAAGAAGCCUUACGAGGAGAGAUCCUAAUCGAGGUGGAGUUGAUCGAGCAAAGAUCCUGGUCGUAACAAGAGAGCAACCAGAAUCUCGCAUCAACAUUUUGGCGCCAUCUGUGGGGACUUGAUCAAAAAGCUUCUGUUGAUAGCAAGAAGAGGAGUGAAGCAAGUGGAAAAGCAAUGGAGGCAAGAAGAAAUAGUGCACAAUGGGGUGAUAUGAGGCUUAACGAUUCCGUGACGCUGAGGGAGAUAGCCAGUGAAGCACGGGAAAAAGCCAUGUUUGACCGGAUGGAACGGAUGGAAAAGCAGAUGCAGACCCUGACAACCAUCCUACAUGAGCUGCGGAGUGAACGAAGGGGAACCCAGGAGGAAAGGGUGAGAGGUGGUGGAGUGGCACCAGGUCAUGAUAGUACGAGGAGAAGUCAAACCACCGAGAGAUUUGGUGGUGAGAGAGGUAACCUAUCUCUACGGGGAGAAAUUCAUAGAGAGGAAGAGCAAUCCCCGGCAAGACAGAUUUUUGACGAGGACGACGGGGUGGCGAAUGCAGAGGAAACAGAGUUGAGGUAACACUUGCAUGAUGUAGAGCAAGAGCGGGAUCAAGUUGCAGCACGUGACCUUGGUCGUGUAGUGCAGCUGGAGGAGGAAGUGCGCAGACUAGCGCAGAUAAUUGAUGACAUGUAAGGAAGGAGCAGAGCUCCUGGUUGGAGGAUAAUGCUGGACGGAGAAUCACCGCUCGCAGCAGAGAUCAUGAGGGCAGUUAUUCCAAGAGAUUUCCGCCUCCCAGACCUUAGAUAUUCGGGACGAACUGAUCCGCUGGUGCACAUAGAGCGCUUCAACGACAUAACCGGGGUACAAGGAUUAUCUCAAUCCCAAAGGUGCAGGGUGUUCCCACUAUCCCUUGAGGGACGUGCACGCAAGUGGUACAGGAAACUUCCUCGGUGGAGCAUUAAAACCUUCGAGCAGAUGUGACAGGAAUUUGUAGAGCAGUUUCGUGGGGCAAUAGCACCAGAAGAUGACAUGAUGGAGUUGAAAAGCAUGAAGCAGGGGGAACAAGAAACCCUUCGGGAAUUCAUCAAGAGGUUUCAUCGUGCUGUCCUCGAUUUGGGAGCCUUCAACCAUUCUCAGGCAUUAAGGGGAUUGAAAGAAGGGGUGAAGAUAGGAAGGCUGUGGCACAACUUGAGAAGCCCAGUUAUUCAGAUGUAUACAGCCGCAUACGAGCAGGCUAAGAGGGACAUUGAGAUUGAAGAAGAAAAGGCAGCACGGAUUAAGACAGACCAGCUAGAAGGGUUGGGAAAGAAAGAGAAGAAAGCAUUACCAGGGAAUGGGCCGAUCAGGAGGAAGGACCACCAGGCCUCAGGUAGUGGUGCAAGAGGUCGAGUAACCGCUUACCAGCCUCAUCAGAGACCACCACAGUAUUAGCACAGCAGAGCACAACCUCCUCGUUCCCCAGUUAGAGAGCUUUGGAGAAGGCAUGACUCGACAUAUGGUGGUCUUCAUCAACACUCCCACGGUAGUAGAGGGAGCAGACCAGAAGCGCUGCCACCGCCUCUAACUCAGAAUGGAACAAAUAGAGAAAGGGUAGUGCACAUGAUCGACCAGAACCAGGACUAUGGGCAGUAUACUUCCUUGAAGAUGUCCCUGGACGAGGUGUACGAGGCCAUAAAGGACCGGGGAUUGAUGUACCUCCCUGCCCCAAUAACAAAGCUACCCAGCAGGACGGAUAGGGGACGCUAUUGUAAGUUCCAUGGCACUUAUGGCCAUACCACUGCAGAAUGCAGAGAUCUCAAGACCCAAGUUGAAGAUUUGGUGAGAAAUCGGUACCUGGAUGAGUUUAUAGAUGAGACUUUCCCGAUGGUGGCCUCGACAUGUGAAGGGGAGCAGAGUGAUAGAAACUUUAGGCGCGAGCAGCCUGCAGUAAGGGUAAUAGCUGGGGGCCCAACAUUGGCCGGAGAUUUCAACAGAUCGAGGAAGAAUUAUGCUAGAUACGCCAUAACUAGUAAAGAGUUACUCUUCAACACCCCAGCAGCCAAAUGAGUAAGAGUCAGACAAGUGCCAAUCAUGUGGACGGAUGAAGAUGAAGAAGAGAUUCUAUACCCCCACGAGGAUGCUUUAGUCAUCAAGGCUACUGUUGCAAGUAAGAAGUUUGACCGGAUACUGGUUGAUACAGGGAGCUCAGUUGAUGUGUUAUUUAAGUCAACUCUGGAGGAGAUGGGAAUAGCAGGCCGGAAGUUGGAGUACACCAAUACCUCCUUGAAAGGGUUUGGAGGAGGAAAGCUGGUCCCUCUGGGCGUGGUCGAGCUGCCUAUCACGAUUGGGAGCUCCCCGACAAAAAGGACUAUGAUACUGGACUUUGUGGUGGUGGAUGAAGAAUGUCCUUACCAGAUGAUCUUAGGUCGGCCAUUUCUGAGGAUGAGCAAAGCGGUACUGUCCAACCAUUAUCUGGCUCUCAAGUACCGAGUGAAUGUGGUAGUUGGAGUGGUACGAGGAGACCAGAGAAUAGCACGAAGCUGCUACUCCUUGGCAGCAAGGGAAGCAAUGCAAAUAACAUCCCUUGAUACCCGAGUGGAAAACAUGAAUGGCAGACAAGAACCUGUAGAGGAGCUGGAGACAGUAAGCCUGGGACCAGAGAAUCCGGGAAAAACGAUCAGAAUCGAGUCGAGACUUAAGGAAGAGCAGAAGCAGGAGUUGGUGAAAUGCUUACAGGCUCAUGCAGAUGUGUUUGCUUGGACACAUGAAGACAUGCCAGAGAUUGAUCCUGAGGUAGCAUGUCAUAAGCUGGCAAUAAAGAAAGGUGCUCGGGCAGUAAGGCAGAAAAGGAGGUGCUUCAACCAGGAGAGGUAUGAGGCUAUAAAUGGCGAGGUGGAGAAGCUCUUGAUAGCAGGGUUCAUUUGCGAAGUCGAUUAUCCUGAGUGGAUAUCGAAUGUGGUGUUGGUAAAGAAGGCAAAUGGCAAGUGGAGGAUGUGUGUAGAUUUCACAGAUCUCAAUAAGGCGUGCCCGAAAGACAGCUUUCCUUUAUCAAAGAUCGACCAGCUAGUAGAUUCAACGGCUGGACACGGCCUGCUUAGCUUCAUGGACGCGUUUUCGGGAUACAACCAAAUUCCCAUGUAUGAGCAGGAUGAGGAGAGCACGGCUUUUAUUACUAACCAGGGUUUAUUUUGUUACAGGGUAAUGCCAUUUGGUCUUAAAAAUACUGGGGCCACGUACCAGAGGCUGGUGAAUAAAGUCUUUAAGCCAUUGAUUAGGAGAACCAUGGAGGUGUACGUGGACGACAUGAUAACCAAGUUGAACAUCCCGAAGGAACAUGUCAGAUACCUCGAGGAGACAUUCGGGCUUUUGAGGAAGUAUAAGAUGAAGCUCAACCCGGAAAAGUGUGCUUUUGGGGUCGAGUCAGGGAAAUUCCUUGGAUUCAUGGUGAGCCAUAGGGGGAUCGAAGCAAAUCCCGAGAAGAUCCACGCGAUCGUGUAAAUGAGGUCACCUCGUAGCCUGAAGGAGAUGCAGAGCCUCACGGGGAGGUUGGCGGCAUUGAGCCGAUUCAUAUCCAAGGCUACUGAUAAGUGUCAGCCAUUCUUUCAAGUGAUAAGGAGGGGAAAGAAAAUAGAAUGGACCCCAGAAUGUGAAGAAGCCUUCCAGAACUUGAAGCAGUACUUGCAGCAAGCACCUCUACUGUCCACACCGAGGGAUGGGGACAAGUUAUUUUUGUAUUUGGCGGUAUUAGAUCGGGCCGCAAGUUUUGUUCUGGUGAGAGAGGAAGAAGGGGUUCAGUAUCCGAUAUACUACACCAGCAAGGCUCUGCUCGACCCUGAGACCAGAUACCCACCGUUGGAGAAAUGGGCAUUUGCCCUUGUGGUUGCUGCUCAGAAGCUGAGGCCAUACUUUCAAGCAUUCCCAGUCUCGGUAAUAACAAACCAGCCAUUGCGUCAAACUCUGCACAAGCCAGAUGCUUCUGGUCGGCUCGUCAAGUGGACUAUAGAGCUGAGCGAGUUCGACAUAGACUACAAACCCCGAGCAGCGAUAAAGGCUCAGGCGAUGGCCGAUUUCAUAGCAGAAUUCACAGAGCCCGAAAUAUGUUUGGACCAGCGAGAUGUAGCUACAGACAGCAACGAAGCCCGAGUAUGGCAGAUGUCUGUAGAUGGAUCAUCCGGGGAGUAGGGAUCAGGAGCAGGAAUUGUUUUGGAAGGCCCAGAAGGGGAGGAGAUCUCUUAUGCUGUAAAGUUAGAAUUCGCAGCCACAAAUAACCAAGCAGAGUACGAAGCCUUGAUAGCAGGUUUGGAAUUGGCUAAGGCAGUGAAAGCGGAUAGAGUGAAGAUCAGAACUGAUUCCCAGCUGGUCGCAAAUCAUGUCAGUGAAAGAUUUCAACCGAGAGAGGAGAAGAUGGAGCAGUACCUGAAGAUAGUCAGGCAUAUGAUGGGGAAAUUUGAAGCGGUUUAGGUGAUACAAAUCCCCAGGGAGCAGAAUAGUCGAGCAGAUAUUUUGACGAGGAUGGCAGCGGUAGCAGACCCAAAAAUGCCAAAGUCGAUCCCUCUGGAGGUGAAGUCCAGCCCGAGCAUCGAGCAUAAUUUGGGGGUGCUGCGGAUAGAACAAAAAUGCUCGUGGAUGGACCCGAUAAUUUCAUACCUUAGAGACGGGGUAUUACCACCAGAGAAGCUGCGAGCUCGGAAGAUUAGAGCCCAGGCCUCGAGAUACACGAUGAUUGACGGGGUAUUAUAUCGGCGAGGAUAUACGCUACCUUUCCUUCGGUGUUUGGAUGAGGACGACGCGGACUACGUACUGAGAGAAGUACAUGAAGGAAUUUGCGAAAAUCACUAUGGUGGGAGGUCCCUGGCUCACAAGGUUCUAAGGCAGGGAUAUUUCUGGCCGACAAUGCACCAGGAUGCGCAAGAGAAGACCAGGAGCUGUGUAAGCUGCCAGAGUUUUGUGAGUUUCUCUAACCAACCACCAGAGAAGCUCACCUCUAUGGCCCCCCCCUGGCCAUUUGCUCAAUGGGGAAUUGAUCUGAUCGGCCCGUUGCCAAAGGGAUGAGGAGCAGCAACACAUGCAAUAGUUGCGAUAGACUACUUCACGAAGUGGAUAGAGGUAGAAGCCCUUAGUAGGAUCACAGAGAAGAAAACAACAGACUUUGUAUGGAGAAACCUGGUCUGUCGAUACGGGAUCCCUUAUGCCUUGGUAACGGAUAAUGGCAGGCAGUUUGAUAAUCACAGCUUCAGGGAUUUCUGCCAGAACCUCGAGAUAGAGUUGAAGUAUUGCUCGCCUGCUCACCCUCAAUCUAAUGGACAAGUAGAAGCAGCCAACAAGACCAUCAAGAGGCUUUUGAAAACCAGGCUUGGAGCAAAAAAGGGUGCAUGGGUUGAUGAGCUGUCAGGUGUCCUAUGGGUAUACAAGACAACCCACAAAACAGCAACUGGGGAGACACCGUUCGCCUUGGCUUUCGAACAUGAAGCGGUCGUACCAGCCGAGAUAGGAACGACCACGCACCGGACAGAUCAUUUCAAUGAGCAGGAGAACGACGAGCAGAUGUGUUUGAAUCUAGAUCUGCUAAUGGAAAAGAGGGAGCAAGCAGCCGAGCGAUCAACCAUUUGCCAGCAGAGGGUUGCUCGGUAUUAUAACCAGAAGGUGAAUGUACGGCAGUUCAAGGUCGGAGAUUGGGUGUUAAGAAGAGUGAAUCAGAAUACGAAAGACUCGGCUCAGGGAGUACUUGGACCAAAUUGGGAGGGGCCAUAUAGGGUCAAGCAGCUAGUUGGACCCGGAGCUUACAAGCUGGUUCGCUCGGAUGGCCACGAGGUGAAACGCCCAUGGAACGCAACACACCUCAGGAAAUAUUUCCAGUAAGAAUUGUCCAUGUUUUCAAGUUAUUUCUGUUCGUGUUUGUUGUUAUUUAUUUUAUGUCAAAACAAUUUCAUGUAAGUUGAAUCCUGCAAUUAAUGAAACGUCGAGGAAUUUCAUUCACUUGAAACUGUGAAAAAUCUACUAAGGCAUGCUAAGGCUCACUGAGUCUCAAAGCCUGUUUAUGGAAAGACCAGAAGCCAAGUGUGCCAGGAUCUGCUCGACCACGCGAAGGCCAGCAGAAUCCCAAAUCAUUGAAGAAUCUACCAAGGCAUGCAAAGGCUCGUCAAGUCUCAAAGCCUGUUUAUGGCGAGACCAGAAGCCAAGUGUGCCAGGAUCUGCUCAACCACGCGAAGGCGAGCAGAAUCCCAAUCAUUGAAGAAUCUACCAAGGCAUGCAAAGGCUCGUCAAGUCUCAAAGCCUGUUUAUGGCGAGACCAGAAGCCAAGUGUGCUAGGAUCUGCUCAACCACGCGAAGGCGAGCAGAAUCCCAAUCAUUGAAGAAUCUACUAAGGCAUGCUAAGGCUCACCGAGUCUCAAAGUCUGUUUAUGGCGAGACCAGAAGCCAAGUGUGCUAGGAUCUGCUCGACCACACGAAGGCGAGCAGAAUCCUAAAUCAUUGAAGAAUCUACCAAGGCAUGCAAAGGCUCGUCAAGUCUCAAAGCCUGUUUAUGGCGAGACCAGAAGCCAAGCAUGCCGGGAUCUGCUCGGCCAAGUAAAGGCCAGCAGACUCCCCAACAUCAAAAAAUUAUCCAAGGCAUGCAAAGGCUCGUCAAGUCUCAAAGCCUGUUUAUGGCGAUACCGGAAGCCAAGCAUGCCGGGAUCUGCUCGACCAAGUGAAGGCUAGCAGACUCCCCAACACUGGGAAAAUUAUCUAAGGCAUGAGAAAGCUCGUCAACUCUCAAGGCCUCCUCUGUGACGAGGUCAGAAGCCAAAUGGAUAAAUAAAUUAAAAUUCCAAUGCGAGGAAGCAAAUAAGAACAAUUUUAUUAAGCUCUUAAAAGUCUGCAAUUCUGUUACAUACAACGCUAAAAAAGCAAUUACAACGCAAGACAAGUUCAGGAGGACGGCGGAUCAGUAAACCGAGUAGCUUCGGUUGGCUGGUCCACUUCAGGGGUCGAGGGGGUGUCACCAGUUGCGUCCGGGGGGGUACUCGCCUCACCAACGUUAGCAGGGACUGCAUGAGGAGGAGAGUUUUCCUCCUCAACCACGAUUGGCUCCACCCCUUCGGCAUCCUCCUUUGCCGCCUCCUCGUCCAUGUGUUGAACAAUACUAGCCGCAAGGUCAUCCAUCUUCAGAUCAGGAUGCUGCUUCCCGAGGACGGCCAUGAUGCAACGAUAGGAAUGCCGAAGUCCCUGGUCGUACUGGUUGUCGGCUUCCUUCUCCAAGUUCUUGACCUGAACUCGGUGGGAAUCGCGGAGAGAUUCGAGCUGAGCCUCGUACAUAAUUUUCUGCCUUUGCAGAUCCUCCUUGACCUUAGUCAGCUCUUCCUCGAGAGUAACGGCCUAUGCUUGAGCAAGAGAUUCUUGCUCUAUCAGCUUCAGAUUCUCGAGAUUCAAGUCUCCCGCUUUCUUCUCGGCAGCAUCGGCUCUGGUCGUCGCCGAUUGAAUGUCCUCCUUCAUCUUCCGGUCGUAACGGCCAACCUUGGCCUUAUAGUAAGUGGUCAUGCAGCUGAGGUGGAAAGCGCUAUACUGCAUGGCCCCCACCAGCUCACCUAGGGUGCAGCCAUCAAAGUCCUCCAGGUCCUUCUUGCUCACGAGUUUAAAUAGCUCAUUGAGAUAGGGGACCAAGUGUUCUGCUCGGUGGUCAGAUAAACGAGAUCUAGGCCCGACAGGAGGAGAAGAGAAAGCAGGAUCAGUGGCAGCUCCACUAGUCUCUCUGACUUUGGCAGGAGGAGGAGGAGGUAGAGUCUGCAAGGGAGCAACCUGUUGCACGAUGUUCACCUGCUUUGCAGUAGGAGCAUCUUUAUUCUGGUCCUGCUUGGUCGUUGGAGGUCGAGAACGUUUCCUAGUCAGAGCCCCAAUCACAGCAUCCUCCAUCUUAUGGCCGGGAGGCACCAAACAAGACUCGAGCAGGUUAUAAGUAGUUAUCAGCUCUCGGCUCGAGCAGGAAUUGGCUAGUACAGCCUCGACCCGUUUGAGCUGGUCAGGUUUGAGCGGGAAGUAAACACCCCAAGAACCUGCAACACAAAUAGACACUUGGUUAGAGACAAACCAGUAUAGCGAGAACAAUUAUGGAUACAAGACAUCUAAAGCGAGCAGGCAACCUGAGAUCACGAAACGGGGUGGGACGCAAGAAUCCUUCCCGUCAAUUUGUGCAACUUGACCCCAGGAACCCCCAGCAAAAAAGAAUUUUUUCUUCCAAUUCCCACCACCACCAGUAAGAAGAUCGGUUAUGGGUUUCCUGGUCUUGGUACUAGAUUGGAAGUAGUACCAGCCGGCAUCUUUGGGGCUGCUCUUUAGCUGGUACAGGUGCUUCACCUCAUCAACUGUGGGCUUGCUUUGGCAACAUCUGUCCCACAAUAUGAACAGACCAGAGAGUACUUUCCACCCGUUGGGGUUCAGCUGACCAGGAGCUAGAUUUAGCCCGUUAAGCAUCCGGGCAAAGUAGGGUUGCAAGGGACACCUCAGCCCAUACUUAAAGCUCUCUAGAAACAGGGUAACGUAUCCCCUAGGAGGCCGGCUAGGGGUAUCCUUCUUUCCUGGGAUCUUAAGAGGUAUUUCACCAGGAAUACUAUACUUAAGCCGGAGGUCAGUGAGCUCGUCAAACGUGGUCGUGCACGUCAUGUAAUCAAUAGCGUAAUCCCGCGAUAGGGCUCUACCUCCUACUGUACUCUGCCCUUCUGGUCGCGAUGUUCAUAAUGGGGACACCUCACCAGAAUCACCUCUUCGAUCCUCACUCAGGGUGUUUUCCGAGCCAGAAAACCCCUCCUCACCGCUAUUUCUGCUCGAGGAGGUUGUUUGGGGGGACAUCCUCCUAGCGCUAGUACCAACACUAGGUCUAAUGGGUUCUAAGGGGAUCCCGGGGUCAAAAGCAGGAUCGGUGAGCAGACUAGGCAGGAAGUCCAACUCAUUGUCAUCAACCUCAAUGACCUUCUCUUUACCUUUCGACAUUCCCUAAGCUAUAACUAGAACACCACCACCAACUACUACCCAAGCAAAGCAAAGAGAAAAGAAAUUAUCUACAGCUAUCCGAGACUGAGGAGAUAGAAGUAAUACCUGAAAUAGUGGUUCAGUCGGAGAAGGACAGGGAUGGAGGCCUUUAUGCCGGAACUUCUUUGCCAGGGAGACAGGGACAGAGACGGGGUAAAUGACGAAUUUUCCUUUGGAGAGGUUUUAGGUUUUCCUAAUGGAGAAUAAACUCUUGGGUUGCCAGCAUUUAACAGCACCAAAUCCCGAGGGUCUCGUAACCGUUGGUUUGAAAUUCAAAUAGAGAGGUAGAUUUCUGUCACAUCACCUCGUCCGCAAUUAAAUGCGACACAACUCUUGGCAGCCUUUUUCCUAUCCCGCGCAAGCAAGAGCUGUCAAGUUUCUACUAUCGGCUUACUACGUUACCCAACACCAGAAACUGGGGGAUCGGUGUUUGUGGGAUAUGCUUCGACGAAGACCAGCAAUGAUGAGCAGACAUCUGGUAAUAGGGUUCCUCGAGCAGGUAUAUCUUGUAAGAGUCUAGUAUCCGGGGGAGCAGGAGCAGGAAUAUCCUGCUCAUCCGCGAGCACGUCAUCCACGAGGCCAAUCUCCUGUUGGAAGCAUAAAGUCAUUCAUGCUACAUUCCUGCUAAGGGUUGAGUCGAGGAGACCCGGUCAACGACAGUUGGCGAGAUGUGCUCUCCAGUCCGAGAAUCAAGGCACGAAGGCCACGCAACCACCCACGACUACGGAAAUGGGGCAUCCACUUUCGAGAGGUGGGAGGAUAACAAGCGCGAAUGGAGGGAAGGCCCGAGUUUAGAGGUGGCCUAUAAAAAGGUAGCCAACGAAGGUAAAAGGGUUAGAAUUUUUGACAUUGUAACAGAAAAAAAGAAAGCUCUAAAGAACUGAGACUAAAAAAGAAAAGCCAUAAGAUUUGUGGUUAGCGUUCCCAGAACCUUCAUAUCUGACUAGAGCGUCGGAGGGUUUACGCCGGGAAAAGAACCGGCAUACUCUGACCUGCUUCUGUAUACGCAGGAACUUCUGGAGAAGAAGCCUUACAAGGAGAGAUCCUGAUCGAGGUGGAGUUGAUCGAGCAGAGAUCCUGGUCGUAACAAGAGAGCAACCAGAAUCUCACAUCAACACAUAAUAUAAUAUAUAUAUAUAUAUAUAGAAAGCUGAAUUUAUUUAUUUACGCGCAUGUGCUAGUGCCCACUGGCAUCCACUUGAUUUGUAUCGGUUAAAUGUAUCAUACAAUACAAUAUUAGCUUGACUGUAGAAAAGAGGAGAACGAGUUGGUGUUGGUCUGAACUCUUAUCUUUGAAUCUCACGUGACUCCACUACUUUUUACUUGUUCUGUAGUCCAUUGUCGGCAGCUCAUACAAGGUCUUUUAGCUUUUUAAAAAGUUUUAGCUUUUUGGAUAAAUUACUGAUAAUUGUAAUCUAUAAAUAAUGAAAGGAAUUAAUUAAAUAUUUGGUAAAUUUUAUUUUUUAAAGUGUUAUGAGUUUUAAAAACGGUUGUAUGUAUAUAAAUUUAUUUACACAUAUAUUUAUAAAUAUGACUAUAUAAUAAUAUUUUAUGUGUACAUAUAAUAAUUGAUAACUAAAAUAAAUAUUUUUAUUUUAUUAAUGGUUUUUUCGUCUCAAUGUAGUUGGUAAUAAUAAUCUCUUGAGAUGUAACGAUUUUAUUUCCUAACUGAAUAAGGAAAAUUUUAGAUUUUUAUAAUAAAUGUUAAGAUAUAUUUAGAAUUACAUUAAGUAUGAAAUAAUCCUCAAAAUUAGAUUUUGAAAAGCAAUUCUUUUCUUGCCUUUAAAAAUAUGUCAUAUGAUGAGAUGAUUUUACUAAAAGUGAUUUUUUUUUAAAAAAUUACUAAACAUCAAAAUUAACUCUUAACUUUUUAAAAUCAUUUCUAAUCUUCUCAUCCUAAGUUCUCUAUUAUUUUGUACAAAAUCCAAGGUUUUGACUUUAAUAAAAUGCCCACUCAAAAAGAAAUUAUUUUCUAAUUAAGAUUUGUUGUUAAUGUAUAACUCGAAGUAAUAUUAGAUAUUUGUAAUUUUAUUUCAAAAAAUUUAUUCAAAUGAUAUGGCAAGCAAUGAACAAUAGUUGAUAGCAAUUUUUUUUUCUUUAACAAUGUUCAAAUCAAUCAGUUGCAUUAUCUCACCAUUUUUAUGAUGCCAUGUUAUUUUAAACGAUUUUUUUUUUAUAUAAAACAUACGACGUGUUAACAUCAUUUGCAUAACUUGACCUUUUUUUUUUUCCCUACAAAUAGUAAGUCAAAUUUACUCACCCUAUUUCUACCUAAAAUCUACCUAAAACUCAUGCAUCACUGCAAAACAAAUCCAAAGAUUGCGGUGCGUUUUUCUUGGUCAGAAAUCAAUAAUUAGGUCAAGUACUACUACUAAGCGUGCACAAUUAAUUCUAAAAUACGGUGAUCAAAAUCAUACUUUACGCAAGAGGAUCAGGGCUAAACUUCAAUUAGGCAUUAUUCAUCCAAAAAUCAUUGACUCGGCAUUCUUUGCAAGUUGUAGCAUGGGACAGCUAAGAUAAUUAGCAAAUGAUAUGGACCAUAUGCACCAAUACAUUUGUGACAUGUGAAUCUUGGCAUUAAAGGAAAGGCAAUGUGUCAAAAUUUAAUAGAGCCCAACUCUUCAUUGAAUGAUUAUCAGAUCCAAUACGCAUCCUUUGAUUGGAUUAUUUUAAGUCAAUUAUUGGUGGAUUGGGGCCCACUUGACUCUACCAAAUCGGGCUCGACCAUAUCACCUAUUAACGGCCACCUGUCCUUAUCAUAAAUAGCAAAUGUCACUUGUUUUAUUUUCUAUUUUACCAAAGUAAAGUCACUACGAACGCAAAAGAAAGUGACCUCAAUUUUGGGGGUCAUGAACUUUGGAUUAUUAUGGACACAAGAGACAAGCGCAAUGUUUCUCAUUUAUCACUGGAUAAGAUUUAAGUUAUCAACCCAAUAUUAAUAAAUUCUGCUUGAAAAGUAAAGUUUGAAGCUUCAUUUUGCGAAUAUUCAAUGGUUAACAUUUAAGUAAUUAACCUGAUAUUAAUCCAAUUAAACUUUUUAUGUAAUCCAAGUCAAAAAUAUAUUGAUAAACCUAAACUAAUCUAAUUGGACAUAUUAUUUCAACUUGAAAAGGUGAAUUUAUCAUUUUUCAAUUAAUUUUGAAUCAAGCUAUGUAAAAUAUAAGCUUAUUAAAGACAUAUUUGAAAAUUUCAAAUUGAAUUAUUUGACAAUUACAUUUCAACUAAGUUGUACUGCUAAUUAACUUCCUCAACUUAAAAUGUAUUUUUCUCAAUUAAUUCGUAACAAAGAAUGUUAGAUGUUUUGUUCGAAUGAUAACAUUCAACAUCCUUAUUCUUUAUGAUUAUUGCAUAAAAACAUAUUUUAUCCAUUUACGUCACAUAUGUUCCUAAAUUGUAUAAGAAAAUCACCAAAUUUACUCUUGUAAGUUACUAUAUCAAUGAACAUGAAACUAACUAAUCAUUAAAGUCUCGGAAUGACAUCAUGAGGGGGAUUCCGUUACAUUUAUUGAUAGGAUUAGAUAUAUGUCUUCCCAAAUAUUAGUAGGAGUAAUUAAACAGAUGCAGCUAUUAAAAAUAUGGAAUUACUUAUCUCGUCAAUAACUAACGAUAUUUUUUAUCUAUGCUCGAUAGGCGUCUGAGCUAUAUUAUAAAUUGUAAUAUUUGUAGAUUGUAACAAUUAUAAAAAAAAAAAAAAAAAGCUCCCUAAGACUAAACGACAACAGGACUGUUUUGAAAUAGAUAGAUAAAGUAUGCCCUUAUUUGAGAAAAGGUAAAACACUAGGGAUCUAAAUGUUAUUAUAAUCCCAUGCACAAAAAUGCUAGAAAAAACUAAUAACAACUAACCGAAAAUCCCAGGCGUCAUAUUCCUUUUUACCGCGUUUUAAAAUGCACAACAAUGAUAUUCUCACAAAAGUGGGUACAAAGGUUUGUACAACCAGGGUCUCUUUGUAAAUUAUUUCAAAGUUUUGUGUUAUUUUUUAAAUUUAUGAUUUUUAUUAAUUUUGAUUCAUUGGAGCAUUUCUCCUUCCAUCUCUUCUACAUCUAUUUUUAAAGUUUUUUAAAAUUUUGACUAUAUCUUUAUAGAGUUCUAAAUGAUUAUCUUUUUUCAUAAAAAUCUAUACUUAAAUUAAUCCUUGAAUUUAUAAUCAUUUAUCUUCUUUGAGUCAUAGACCAAAUUUUUUCUUCUAACAUAUCUAUGUAUACUCCUAAGCUAUCUUCAUGGCUUAGAUACAUUCUAUCAAAGCUUUCACAUAUAAAUUGUGAUUUGAGAUCUGCAUCUUGAAUCAACAUCUCUAUAUUAUCCAUUGUUUUACGCUCGAGGGUAGUUAAAAUUGAUUCUAUUAAUGCUAUCGUGUUUCUCCUUCAAAAGAAUCAAAUAUUUCUGGAUUAUUAAUUUCUUUUAUUUCUUCAUACAAGCAUUCGUUUGCCGUUAAUCUUGUUUUAAUCAAGGAAGCUGUAUAAGCAACUUGAUAUUCUUGACAAAAGUCUAAAUGAUCUAUUGCAUCUAGAAAUUUAUUAAUAGAUCUUUCCAUUUUUAAGAAAUUGAGUUACUCUUAUCACUUCCAAUCUUUUAACAUCUCAGAAAACAAACAAGGCCCAGCAUGCUUCCGUUUGUAGCUCAAAUAAAAGAAGAGUUCAGAUCACUAACCAAUGUACUAUCUCUCGGAAGUCUGAGAUAGACUCACUAAUUGCCUCUAACCAUAGAGAGGUCCAUGGUCAGCACCACCAUAGCUCCACACAUCAUACAAGAUCACUUCAACGACUGUUCCACAUGGCCUAAUGCAACACACAGCAGACUGGCCUAAUAGGAUAUGUCUAAGUGAUUUUCUUGCAGUUGUCUCUGGAAGAGUGCUUAGUAAUAGAAAAUCUUCUUCGUUUAGUACAAGUAUUGGUAUGUAAGGUUCUUGAUUAAUUUUCAAAAGAUGUAUAAGUGUUAGAGUGCAAUUUAUGCACUAGUUUUGCAUUAUUUACUUCCCUUAAUAUCAAUGUUUUGCACUUAAUAAUAGUGAUUUACUUGUGUUUUACUUUUGUAGGUCCAAUUCUAUUGAUUGAUGAUAAAAUUGAGCUAUAAGAUGAUGUUUAAGGAUGAUUGUUCUCUUGGAGAAAUUAUGAGCGUCAGAAGAACUUUGUUGAUAAGGCGUGGGCGCGUGCUGUCAAUUGCGGACCUGCAGUUUUUAGUUUAACGUGUUUUGUAUUUUUGGUUAUUUUUGUAAUUACGAAUUUAAUAUUUCAGAUAUUAAGAUUUUAUUUUAAAUAGAAUUCUAAAAGAGAAGAGAGAGAGAGUAUUUAAGGGAGGAAUCUAUUGUGAAAAAGGGGGAUUUUGGAUUGGAGAAAGAAAGAAACCCUAGAUCUAAUUUUUCUCUUCUCUCUAUGAAGAACUAAACUUAUUUUUCUAGUUGAAGGUUAACGAAGCUUUGAUUCAUCACUACUGUGAGAUCUUUCUUAUGCUUUAAUUGUUUUAUUACUUUUUGGAUAUUUGUUUAUUCUCUGAAUUUUUUUCAUGAUUAUGUUUGUUAAUUAGGUAAUUGGCCACUAUUUAAUUAUCAACUUAAUCUAUUGUCAAUUAAAGGAUUCAUCGUAUGAAGAAUUUAAUAUUUGUGACAAAUAACAUAGCAGAGAGUUGUGUUGUGAGAAUAAACAAUCUAAUUUAAAUGAAUCAUCAUAUGUGUUGAUUAGGAUUUGGGUCUCUCUGGUUUUUCAGGCUGUCAAUGAAUUAAAUCCUAUGAUCGUAUCUAGGGUUGUCCAUUGAUUAGGGAAAUAACCAACGGUCGUACCUUGGUUAUCGACUAGUAAAGGAGAGAUUGGCUAUUAGAGGGUCUCAAUAGCUAUAACCGGUCUAUUCAUAAGUAAUAAUAAUCUAUAUUUGAAUCAAUGAUCAGUAGUAGAAUCAAGCUGAGUUAAUUCCUUCAACCAGAGCUUUCUCCAAUUUGAAUUACAACUUUAAUUUGCAUUCUUGUUAUUUUGAUUUGAUUUUUAUUAUUGUCAACAAUUCCCCCAUUUUACGUUUUACGUUUCAAAAGGAUUUAAAUAAUUACCGAUCUCUGUGGACACGACCCUGCUCAAUCACUAUACACAAUUUAUUUAGAGUAGGAAUUUAUUUUUGUUCGCUUCGACACCACUGCUGCCUCGCCAACUAUUCCUUCUACAUCCGCACCACCUUUGAGCAUUCAGUUAGAGAAAAUAGAGCACAAGCUGAACAAGAUGGAGCAGAAUUUGGCCGCAUACUUCGAGAGUGUGGGUUUUACCCCACCAUUUCCGCCAAGCCCAUAGACGUUAUGUGGAUCAAAGCUCACAAUUCAGGGAAGUUUCUUUUUGCCCUUAAUCUUUUAUCCUUACGCUUUAAUUUUUAUGUGAGCUUUAAUUAUCUUACAUUGGGGACAAUGUAAGUUCUUGGUGUGGGGGAGGGAUUUUUGCAUUAUUGAUGUCUGGAAGUAUUAUUUUCACUCUACUCAUCUAUUUUCAUUCUACUCGUCCUUAAAUGAUUUUGGAGUUAGUAUGCUUCAUAUAUUAUUAUUUUUCUUUUCUUUUCUUUCUCACUACUUUUUUCCCAUCUAUCUCAAAUUAUUUACAUCUAUUUUUAUUCUAUCAUACUCUUUCAUCACUCACAUUUUAUCUUUCACUUUUCAUAUUACUACAUACAUCUUUCUCACUUCUUAUCAUUUUUACCUUUCCUUCACUCAUACCUUCUUCUCAUUCUACACCACUAUUGAUGGUUGAUUCAUUUGAAGAGUGUACAUGAUUUGAUGGCAAAUUUACCAACUUUGUGAGGAUUUGAGCCUAUGAGCAACCACUUUGCUCUAAUUAUUUUUAUUAUGUGAAUAUCAAUCUUAGUUUGUUUAUUCUAGAACUUGCUUUGUUAUGCAUGUUGAAGCCACAUUACGGGAUUUUUUGCAUUAAAAUGAUAAGGGCAAACCAUUUACCAUUUUUCUAUUCUCGCAUUUUCUUUUUUUUUUCUCUACCCGAAGACCUUGAUUUACUAUCUUUGUUUGAGCCUUAACCAUUACCCAUCUAAUUCUCUCCGUCUACUUAACCAUUUUUCUUCUUUUUUAGCCUCAAUUUAAGGAGAUUUUUGGACUCAUUGUGUGGAUAUAUUUUGUAUAUAUUUUGUUGCUUUUUCUACCUUGUAUUAAAGUUUCUCAAUUAGAUCAACAAGCAUUAUGCUUGAAUUAAAUUGUGCAAGGUUCAUUUCUUUUGUUUGAUUCAAAAAAAAAAAAGAAAGAAAAAGAAAAGGAAAAAGAAAAAAAAAGAAAAAAAAAGAAAAAUCGAAAAAAAAAGAAAAAGAAGAAAAAAAAAUGUUUACAUUCUUGGUGACUUGAGUAGAAAUAAGCGUUUCGAUAUCAUAAAGUUCGUUCAAUGAGUUCAUUCUUCUCAUUUUGAUCUCUUUUUCUUUCAUAAACCUUUCUUUUUCAUUUAACCCAUUUAACCCCGUUACAACCUUUUAAGACCCUUAGAUUUUUGUAUUUAAUUCAUGUUUUGUGGAUUGAAAUGUGAUAUAUAAGCAAGCUUAUGGUAAUAGCAUUCUUUGAUUUGAUUUGAGUGAAUAAAUGACACCCUAAACACUUUGAGUGCAUGGAGUGAAGUCAAUGAGAGGGCUAUUAAAUCUUGUUGCACUUGAAUUUUGAAUGGAUCUUCUUGGUGGUUGAAUGUUCUUAUUCUAUCUUAUGAGAUUCUAUGCUUUAAAAUCCUUGUCUCUCGAAUGUUGAUCGACUUAAUUUCUUGAGGUAUACUUGCUUAAAAUUGUUUUUGGAUGAGUUGAGAUGAGAAUUGAGUGGAGAUUUGGGAUUAGUCUUGAGUUAUAUGCUUGAGGACAAGCAUCAUCUUGGUGUGGGGGAAUUUGUUAGAGUGCAAUUUAAGCACUAGUUUUGCAUUGUUUACUUCCCUUAAUAUCGAUGUUUUGCACUUAAUAAUAGUGAUUUACUUGUGUUUUACUUUUGUAGGUGCAAUUCUAUUGAUUGGUGAUAAAUUAAGCUACAAGAUGAUAUUUAAUGAUGAUUGUUCUCUUGGAGAAAUUAUGAGCGUCAGAAGAACUUUGUUGAUAAGGUGUGGGCGCGUGCUGUCAACUACGGACCUGCAGUUUUUAGUUUAACGUGUUUUGUAUUUUUGGUUAUUUUUGUAAUUACGAAUUUAAUAUUUCAGAUAUUAGUAUUUUAUUUUAAAUAGAACUCUAAAAGAGAAGAGAGAGAGAGUAUUUAAGGGAGGAAUCUAUUGUGAAAAAGGGGGAUUUUAGAUUGGAGAAAAAGAAAGAAACCCUAGAUCUAAAUUUUUCUCUUCUCUCUAUGAAGAACUAAACCUAUUUUUCUGGUUGAAGGUUAAUGAAGCUUUGAUUCAUCACUACUGUGAGAUCUUUCUUGUGCUUUAAUUGUUUUAUUACUUUUUGGGUAUUUGUUUAUUCUCUGAAUUAUUUUCAUGAUUAUGUUUGUUAAUGAGGUAAUUGGCCACUAUUUAAUUAUCAACUUAAUCUAUUGUCAAUUAAGGGAUUCAUCGUAUGAAGAUUUUAAUGUUUGUGACAAAUAACAUAGCAGUGAGUUGUGUUAUGAGAAUAAAUAAUCUAAUUUAAAUGAAUCAUCAUAUGUGUUGAUUAGGAUUUGGGUCUCUCUGGUUUUUCAUGUAUAAGAUAUCUAGAAGAUGAUAAUUUCACUCAAAAGAGUUUUAUUUAUUUCAUUAUUGAAAUUGUUUACAGAGGAAGGUUACAGAGAAUACAGAGGUAAUUGAAGGUUAGACAUAUGAUAUCUUUCCUUUCUUACAUGCUUUCAUUUAUAUAUCUCUCUAGAGAUAAGAUUAUCUCUUUUACAUAACACAUGUUCGAUCCUUGUGGUGGAAUCUCGAUUUCCUUUUGAUAAGGUGACCCCUUCUUCAUCAUUGAAGCCAGUAGUUGUCUUCUUUUCAUGUUGCCAGACAACCUUUAUCUUGUUCUGGUGAGCUUUUUCUUUUUUGGAAUCUCUCUUUUUGAAUUAUUGAUACUUUUUGGAUAACACCUUUUAUCUUUUUCAGUAGUCCCCGUCACAUGCCAAUUAUCAUAUCUUCAUCUAUAGACAUGUCUUCCCCACUAGAAUCUCCUUUUUUUUUUAAUCCUUCGUAGUAGUAGCCACAUGAUGACUGAUGCUUUAGCACCUUAUAUAUCUCGUGGUGUGUCAGCAAGGUGGAUUCCACGAGAUUUUCGAAUAUGCCCUUUUUCUUUUUUAAUAUGGUAUGUCUGGCUAAAAUAUUUUCUUUUCUACUCAUAGAAAAGAUUAUAUGCUCUUUUGUGGCUUCAUGGAGCCAUAUUUUCUCCUUGUUUAUCCUCUCAAGAGAUUCAUAGAGGACUUUCAUUUCUAUGGCCCUUUUGUUGGUGAGAGCUUUUGGCUCGAAUAAUUCAGGAUCAUAAUCAUUGUAGACUUGAUGUAAAUCAAUGGUUGGACUAACUUUUCUACUGCUAAUUCCAACUUGAAUCAAGUGCUGUGCUGGAUACCACUUGUUACCAUAGUAUUCAGGGCAAGCAGUGAGGAUCUUGACAAAAAUCACUUCUUUUGUUUUAGACAUGAUUUUGAGAUCAUUAAUAGCCUCUGCAACUUUUGUGGGAAGCUCUUUUAUUUCUCUGCAAUCAUCACUUACAUAAACAAGGUUAAGAAAACCAUAUUCAAACAUGUCUUUUAUUAGUUUUAGAUUAGCUCCUGGCACAACGUUUAUCAUUGGAUAUAACCCUAAAUGAUCUAGUAUAAUAGUCUGGCUAGGACGAAUCCCAUAGGCUAUUUUACCAAUUCUUUUAUAAUCAUAAGCGUAGUCGCUUCCUAUUGGUAUUUUAACCAUAGGGACAGAUUGUCUGCUUUUAUCAUAUUGGGGUCUUAGGCUUACUGAAGAUCCCUGAGAUUCUUUUUUCUUUGUACAUUGAUCUUUAAGAUCAUUGAUUGUGAGAUAUCUCUCUGAAUGUGUGACCAUUGAUCUUUAAAAUACCAAUAGGAAGAGUAGUCGCUUCCUAUUGGUAUUUUAACCAUAGGGACAGACUGUCCGCUUUUAUCAUAUUGGGGUCUUAGGCUUACUGAAGAUCCCUGAGAUUCGUCUUUCUUUGUACAUUGAUCUUUAAGAUCAUUGAUUGUGAGAUAUCUCUCUGGAUGUGUGACCUUUAAGCUCUGCGAAGAACUCGAGGCAUUUUGACCCUCAAUUUGAUCUUUAAAAUGGACAUUUUUUUAGCAUAUUGCUAAUAUAUUGUUAUGAAGUUUGGAGUUCUGGAUGAUCUUGCAAACUUUUGUUUGGGCAAAGUUUGCUCAAUUCUUCAUGGGCAUCAUCUAUCAUGGCAAGCCCAUCAUAAAUCAUACUAUUGCCUUUGAGAAGUUAUUCUUGACCUUCAGAGCACAUUAUUAUGCCCUUAAUUAUUUUGGAAAUGCUCUGCUCCAUUGUAUUCUUGGCAAAGAUUAGAUCCUUUAAUAUAUUCAAUUUCAAAAUCAUAUUCAGCAAAAAACUGCUGCCAUCUAAUUAAUGUUUUCUAUUGAGGAAGAUUAGGCAAUUUAUUGAAUAUAAAUCCUUUGACUUGAGUGUUAUCGGAUCUUACCUUAAAUUUCUUUGGUAACAAAAAGAAAGUAAAUUUAGCUAUUCCUUUUUUAAUAGCUAAUAAUUCAUUUUCAUUACUAUGAUAAUUCUUUUCUAUGGGUUUGAAGGUCCCGCUAGAAUAUCUACAAAUUUUUUCUUGAUAUGUUUUUAAGACUGCUCGCCAGUGAUUAUCUGAAGCAGUAGUUUCAAGAAUUAAAUUAUCACUAGAGGUAGGGAAUCCUAACCUUAAGUAAAAAGCCAAAAAAAUUGACUUAUUUUAUUAAGUCAAUUUUUGAAAAUAUAAAUAAUGCAAAAUAUAAGAAUAUCAUCUACAUGAUCUAUCUUAUUAUUUGAAAAUAUAAGAAUAUCAUCUACAUAAAUAAUGCAAAAUUCAUGAAAUUUUUUUAAGAUGCUAAAUAUCUUUUUAUUUAUUAUAGAAGUAAUUAAUGUAUCUUUAUGAGGUAAAAAGUAUCCAUCGAAUUUGGUAUAUUUAUUUAAUUCUUUGUAGUUAAUGACCAUAUGAGCUUUUCCUCGUUUAAUUUCAGCAUGAUUUCUAACUGAUUAGUAUUAAAAAUUGUUUAAUUAUCAAGCGAUAAUAUGUUAUUUUAUGCUUAUGUUAUAAUUUAUAUUUGUGUUUAUGUAAUAUAUUAUGAAUUAUGAAUUAUGUUUUAAAUAUAUUUAAUUUUGUGUAUUUUUAUGUGUUUAUUAGGAAAAUUAUUAAUUUCACGUACUUUGAGGCUCCAAACAGAUAAACGGAGGUCAAAUUUGGAUUCCGGAGGUCCGAAAACCUUAAGAUCAGUCAAGAUCGGCUUAAAAUUGGGCUUGUGUAAAAAAAGUUGACUUUUCCUGUUGACCGAGCACUGAUUGGAUGAUGAAAUGAGCUUACAAUAGAUAUGAGUGCAUGGGAUAACUGGCAAUCUUGACUAAAUCUCAACCGUUCAUGAUUCAAUGGCCAUGAUUGUGCCACGUGGCAAUGGUUGGUGAAGCAAGUUGGAGGAUCCGAAUCUUUGUAUUCGGGUCGACCCGAUCCACCCAUUAACCCGCCAAAUCUCAACCGUUCUUUGGGCAAAUCGGACGAGUCAAAUGAUGCCAUGUGUGAUGUUGACUUUUGAAGUUUGACCAGCCAUUGGAUCUUGAUCUAAGGGUUGUGAGGAGCACAUGCAUGAAGCCUAUGAUGGACCGCAAAGCACUGGAUUAUGAAUUUAUUUUUCUAUAAAUAGGGCCUCAUUUUUAUGUUUUAAUCAUCUCUCUACAACUCUCUUCUUCUCAAAUUCUCUCCAUCUCCUUGUAAUCUUGAUUUCCAUAUGUGUUUUUAAUAUUUUGUAUAAUUAUUUUCAUUAAUAAAAUUAGUUUUAUUUCCAAUUUUAGUUGUUUUUAUUUCUUUUAAUUAUAAGUAAUUCAAUUUUACUACUUCUUUUUAUUUUAAUUAUGCUUAACUAAAUAAUAUUAGUUAGGGGAAGGUGAAACUCUUAAGAAAUAAAUAUGAUUUAAUCAAAUUCUAUGUUUAAUUUUAUAAAUUAAAUUAUUUUCUAUUUAAUUUUAUACAUGUUUUAUAUUUUGAAAAUUUAAUUUAUUGUAGACAAACAAAUGAAUUUGGCACAAUAAAUUCUUAAGAUCUUAAUAUAAGGCAUGGUGAAAUGGUAUUUUGACUUAUUGUAGACAAAUUAAAUUUUGGCACAAUAAAUACUUAAUCCAUCAUAAAAUUAAAGGGAAAAUAAUAAUAAUUUGUAUAAUUAAUCUUUUGAGUAAUAAAUCUAAAACAAAUUGGCAAAAAGAAUUUAUUAAGUUUUAUUUAUUUCUAAGAGUGGAUCCAUAACCCUAACUAGUUCAAUUCCAUAGUUUCAUUUAAAUUAAGUUGUUUAUAUUCAAGUUUUAAUUUCAAUUUUUAGAUAAAAUAAAAUAAACUAAUUAAAUCUUUUCUCUGUGGAUCGACCUCGGACUCACCGAGUUAUAAUACAACAAGACACUCUUAUACUUGGGAGUUAAAAUUUACUUUUAAGUUGUGUCAAGUUUUUGGCGCCGUUGCCGGGGAAAAGUUUUUUAUUUGGUUUGUUUUUCCGUUUUUUAUUUUUCUCUUAUAUGUAAAACUUCGUUUGCCCCCUUUUCCUUUUCUUAAAUUCUCCUUAGUCCCCAUGUCUUUCAUAUUUCUCGUUUCACCCCAACAAUUUCCUUUUCUAGCCCAAUCUUCUGGUAAUUACGUUCGGACCCCAACAUCUUUCAACUGUUUCACUUUCAUCCCAAAUUACUAAUUCUAAACUUCUAAAAAUUACAUUUUGACCAUAAAAUUAAAAAUAAUUUGCAAUAGAAUCCCUAGACGAAAUUCCUCAACAUAAUCAAGACUUGGACAUAUUUGGACAUACUUUGGACAUAUUUGGACAUAUUUGGACUUAUUUUGGACCAAACUAACUUUAACUACUAACUCUAAUUACUAACUCUUAACUUACUAACUGCUAACUGCUAACUGCUAACUUUUAUUUAAUUUCAGUUAUUUAAUUUUCUGCAUUUAUUUUAUUUCGUAUUUAUUUAUUUGUUUUUGCUUUAUUGGUGGGUUUAACCACCAAACUAACUACUAACUCUUAACUUUUAUUUUCAGUUAUUUAAUUUUCAGUAUUUAUUUAAUUUUGUAUUUUUUAUUUUUUUUAAUUGGUGGGUUCAACCACCAUUUUUUUUUAUUUUGCAUUUAUUUAUUUAUUUAUUUUUUACUUUGUUGGUGGGUUCAACCAUCAAAAUUGUUAUUUAAUUUUCUUUUGUAUACUUAUAUUAUUUAUUUAUUUAUUUUUUUAUUUUAUUUUGUUAUCAAUUUGUGUAAAUAUUAUCUUUAUAACAUAACCAUUGCAUGAGACGUUGGUCUCGAUCUUCAAGUGGCAGGUUAAUUCGUAGAUCUCAAUCUCCACCACCAAUCAUGGAUGAGAAUGAAGGCGAAAACGUUUUGGGCGAACUUAAUCCUCAAAUUGAUCAGGGAGACAACCAAUCUCAACAUGGGCAUGAUCAGAAUCAACCAAGGACUCUGAGAGACUACAUGAAUCCAACCAGAACCGGAGCACCGUCGUGUAUAGUAUUUCCUCCAGAAGCAUCUCGAUUCAACUUUAAACCAGGUAUUAUCCAACUUUUACCAACAUUUCAUGGUUUAGAAUCUGAGAAUCCGUACUUGCAUCUAAGAGAUUUUGAGGAAGUUUGUAAUACAUACACGGACCAAAAUUGUAGCAUGAACAUAAUUAGAUUAAAGCUUUUUCCUUUUUCAUUAAAAGAUAAAGCUAAAACUUGGCUACAAAACCUUAGAUCUGGAUCAGUAAGAACUUGGAAUAACAUGCAAGAACAGUUUUUUGAAAAAAUUCUUUCCACCUCAUAGAACAAAUUCUUUUAAAAGGCAAAUCACUUCUUUCACUCAAAAAAAUGGAGAAACAUUAUACCAAUGUUGGGAUAGGUUUACAGAGUUGCUUAACAUAUGCCCACAUCAUGGUUUUGAAACUUGGCGAUUGGUCACUUAUUUCUACGAGGGCUUAAUACCCCAAAGUAGACAGGUUGUUGAAAUGAUGUGUAAUGGUGAAUUUAGGGAUAAAAAUCCUGAAGAUGCACUAGAUUACCUUGACCAAUUAGCUGAAAAUGCACAACAUUGGGAUACUGUUGGAACUUUUGAAUUGACAAAUAAGCAACAAUCAUCUCCAUCUAGUGGAGGAAUCCAUAACCUUAGGGAAGAUCAUGAUUUACAAGCAAAAUUUGCAUCCCUAGUUAGGAAAGUUGAAGCUUUGGAGCAUAAAAAGAGUGAUCAAGUAAAAUCUGUUCAAGAAAUUGCAUGUAACAUAUGUAAUUCGAAUGAUCAUUUCACUCAAGAGUGUCCCACUUUGCCUGCACUUAAAGAAUGUCUAAAUGAUCAAGCUAAUGUCAUUAACACUUUCAAUAAACCAAACCCAUAUUCACAGACUUAUAAUCCUGGUUGGAGAAAUCAUCCGAAUUUCAGUUGGAGGAAUAAUAAUAAUGCACAAUCUUCACAAGCACCACCUCCACAAAAUUUUCAAAAUCCUCAGCCUUAUGCACCAUAUGUUCCACCACCCUGGAAAAAUCUGGAAGACACAAUGCAUUCAUUCAUCAGAAAGCAAGAUGUUAUUAACAAUCAAAAUGCACAAAAUUUUUCUGAUUUGAAAGAUACUCUUGCUAAAAUUGCUUCUGCACUCACCAUUCAAGAAAAAGGAAAAUUUCCAGCCCAACCACAACCAAAUCCUAAAAUUCAACAAAAUCCACCCACAGACCAAGUCAAGUCAGUUAUAACUCUUCGUAGUGGUAAGGUUGUUGAUAGACCUAUGCCUGAACCUUAUGAAAAUGAUGAAAAUUCAAAGGGUAAGGAAGGACUAAAUGAACUUACACCUAGUGAAGAAAUAACUAGUGUUCCACCUGAACCACCAUUUCCGCAUGCAUUGAAUAAACCAAAGAAAUCAAACCACUCUUCUGAAAUUUAUGAAAUCUUUAAGCAAGUGAAAGUUAACAUUCCUCUAUUAGAUGCAAUCAAGCAGGUUCCUUUAUAUGCCAAAUUUUUAAAGGACUUGUGCACUGUUAAGAGGAAAUUGAAGGUAAGAAAGAGUGCUUUCAUGGCCGAACAGGUAAGUACAAUUCUGUCUACUAAUAAUAAGUUGAAAUAUAAAGAUCCUGGUUGUCCUACCAUUUCUUGUAUUAUUGGUAACCACAGAAUUGAGCAUGCUUUACUAGAUCUUGGUGCUAGUGUUAAUUUGCUUCCAUAUUCAGUUUAUCUUCAACUUAAUCUUGGUGAGUUAAAAUCAACUUCAACUACACUUUUGCUUGUCGAUAGAUCAGUUAAAGUACCAAAAGGAAUAGUGGAAGAUGUUUUAGUACAAGUUGAUAAAUUUAUUUAUCCUGUGGAUUUUAUUGUCUUGGAAACUGAACCUGUUGUGAAUAAUUACAAACCAAUUCCUGUAAUUUUAGGUCGACCAUUUUUAGCAACUGCUAAUGCUUUGAUUAAUUGUAGGAAUGGUUUAAUGAAUUUAUCCUUUGGGAAUAUGACUUUGGAAUUGAAUGUUUUCAACAUGUGCAGGCAACCUAAUGAAGAAAAUGAGAAUGAAGAUGAUACUGAUGAACAAAAGGAAUUGUUUGAAUCUUGUAUCGAGGAAAAUAUUCAAAAAGGGGAUUUUUCUGAACUUUCAAAUGUUUGUUUAGUUAAUUCAAUUGAGUCAAAUAAGCAACUUGAACUUGAUAUUUCUAAUAUAAAUUCGUUGCUUGAUUCUGUGCAGACUUCACAAAAUUAUGAUGACGAGCCAAAAUUUGAGGAGCUUGGAAGUAUUGAAAAGACAGAACAACAAGAAGCACCUAAAAUGGAAUUGAAACCUUUGCCUGAAGGAUUGAAAUAUGCUUUUCUUGGAGAAGAACAAACUUAUCCUGUUGUGAUUUCUUCUACUUUAACAAGCGACCAAGAAGGUAAGUUACUUACUGUUCUUAAAAAGCAUAAAAAUGCAAUAGGAUGGACUUUAAAUGACAUUAAAGGCAUUAAUCCCUUAAUCUGCACACAUAGAAUUAAUUUGGAAGAAAAUGCUAAAAUAUGUCAACAACCUCAAAGAAGAUUAAACCCACACAUGAAAGAGGUAGUCAAAACAGAAGUCCUUAAAUUACUUGAUGUGGGAAUUAUCUACCCUGUUUCUGAUAGUAAGUGGGUAAGUCCUACACAAGUAGUGCCUAAAAAAUCUGAAAUCACUGUUGUUAAAAAUGAAAAAGGUGAAUUAAUUCCAACACGAAUUACAUCUAGUUGACGCAUGUGCAUUGAUUAUAGAAAAUUAAAUGAAGCCACUAGAAAAGAUCAUUUUCCAUUACCAUUCCUUGACCAAAUCUUAGAAAGAGUAGCAGGACAUCCCUACUACUGUUUUUUAGAUGGAUAUUCAGGUUAUUAUCAAAUUCCUAUAGCACUUGAGGACCAAGAAAAGACCACAUUCACAUGUCCUUUUGGAACAUUUGCAUUUAAAAGAAUGCCAUUCGGGCUUUGUAAUGCUCCUGCAACAUUUCAAAGAUGUAUGUUAAGCAUUUUUUGUGAUAUGGUUGAACAUUGUUUAGAGGUCUUUAUGGAUGAUUUGACUGUGUUUGGGAAUUCUUUUGAUGAUUGCCUUGAUAAUUUGGAGAAAGUUUUAAAAAGAUGUGUUGAAAAAGAACUCGUGUUGAAUUGGGAAAAAUGUCACUACAUGGUUACUUCUGGAAUUGUUUUGGGUCAUGUUGUUUCUAUUAAAGGAAUUGAAGUUGACAAAGCAAAAAUCGAAGUCAUAUCUAAAUUGCCACAACCAAAAACAGUUAGAGAUGUGCGAUCCUUUUUAGGACAUGCAGGAUUUUAUAGGAGGUUUAUAAAAAACUUUAGUGCCAUAUCUAAACCACUUUGUAACCUCUUAUUAAAAGAUGCACCGUUUGAAUGGAAUGAUGAUUGCCAAAAAUCUUUUGAAAAAAUAAUUUGUCUUUUAACAUCUGCACCUAUUAUGCAAUCUCCUGAUUGGUCUUUGCCAUUUGAAUUAAUGUGUGAUGCAAGUGAUUUUGCUGUUGGUGCUGUUUUAGGACAAAGAAGGGAUGGUAAGCCUUUUGUGAUUUAUUAUGCGAGUAAGACUUUAGAUAGUGCUCAAAUGAAUUAUUCUACAACUGAAAAAGAAUUACUUGCUGUGGUAUUUGCAUUAAACAAAUUCCGUUCAUAUUUGCUUGGCUCCAAAUCUGUUGUGUUUACUGACCACGCUGCUGUGAGAUAUUUGAUGAGUAAACAGGAUGCCAAACCGAGGAUAAUUCGUUGGAUUUUGUUACUACAAGAAUUUGACCUUACCAUCAAAGAUAAAAAGGGUGCUGAAAAUGUUGUUGCGGAUCAUCUAUCAAGACUCACAUCCGAAUUCUGCAAUGAUAUAACACCCAUAAAUGAUUCUUUCCCUGAUGAAUUUUUAUUUUCUGUUACUUCAAUGCCAUGGUAUGCUAACAUUGUUAAUUUCCUUGUUACAGGUAAAAUGCCUUUGCAAUGGAAUGCUCAAGAGAAGAAGAAAUUUUUUGUUGAAGUAAAGAAAUUUUAUUGGGAUGACCCUUAUUUGUUCAAAUAUUGCCCAGAUCAAAUUUUUCGGCGAUGUAUUCCUCAUAAUGAGGUAAGUAGUGUCAUUAAUUUUUGUCAUUCUGAAGCAUGUGGUGGUCAUUUUUCUUCAAGAAAAACUAUUGCUAAAAUUUUACAGUGUGGAUUUUAUUGGCCUACCAUGUUUAAAGACACAUAUGAAUUCUGCAAAAGUUGUGAAAAAUGUCAAAAAUUGGGAUCAAUUACAAAAAGAAACAUGAUGCCCUUAAAUCCCAUACUUGAAAUUGAAAUAUUUGACUGUUGGGGAAUUGAUUUCAUGGGUCCAUUUCCAUCAUCUUUUGGAUUUGUGUAUAUAUUAGUUGCAGUUGAUUAUGUCUCAAAAUGGAUUGAAGCAAUUUCUUGUCGAAAUAAUGACAGUAAAACUGUGAUUAAAUUUUUAAGAGAAAACAUUUUAAGUCGAUUUGGAAUCCCUCGAGCCAUUAUCAGUGAUGGAGGUAAGCAUUUUUGUAAUAAGUCAUUUGAGUCUUUAAUGAAGAAAUAUGGAAUUACACAUAAAAUUGCUACCCCUUAUCAUCCUCAAACAAAUGGUCAAGUUGAAUUAGCAAAUAGGGAGAUAAAACAAAUUUUGGAAAAAACGGUUAACCCAAACCGAAAAGAUUGGUCUCUUAGACUUAAUGAUGCACUUUGGGCUUACCGCACUGCAUUUAAAACAUCAUUAGGAAUGUCACCCUAUCGGUUAAUUUAUGGUAAACCUUGUCAUUUACCUGUUGAACUUGAACAUAAAUCACUUUGGGCUAUUAAAGCUUUUAAUUCAAAUUUGGAUGAUGCUGGUAAUGUGCGAAAAUUGCAAUUGAAUGAACUUGAGGAAUUAAGGAAUGAUGCAUAUGAAAAUUCAAGAAUUAUUAAGGCAAGAACAAAAGAAGAUUAAACCCACACAUGAAAGAGGUAGUCAAAACAGAAGUCCUUAAAUUACUUGAUGUGGGAAUUAUCUACCCUAUUUCUGAUAGUAAGUGGGUAAGUCCUACACAAGUAGUGCCUAAAAAAUCUGAAAUCACUGUUGUUAAAAAUGAAAAAGGUGAAUUAAUUCCAACACGAAUUACAUCUAGUUGACGCAUGUGCAUUGAUUAUAGAAAAUUAAAUGAAGCCACUAGAAAAGAUCAUUUUCCAUUACCAUUCCUUGACCAAAUCUUAGAAAGAGUAGCAGGACAUCCCUACUACUGUUUUUUAGAUGGAUAUUCAGGUUAUUAUCAAAUUCCUAUAGCACUUGAGGACCAAGAAAAGACCACAUUCACAUGUCCUUUUGGAACAUUUGCAUUUAAAAGAAUGCCAUUCGGGCUUUGUAAUGCUCCUGCAACAUUUCAAAGAUGUAUGUUAAGCAUUUUUUGUGAUAUGGUUGAACAUUGUUUAGAGGUCUUUAUGGAUGAUUUGACUGUGUUUGGGAAUUCUUUUGAUGAUUGCCUUGAUAAUUUGGAGAAAGUUUUAAAAAGAUGUGUUGAAAAAGAACUCGUGUUGAAUUGGGAAAAAUGUCACUACAUGGUUACUUCUGGAAUUGUUUUGGGUCAUGUUGUUUCUAUUAAAGGAAUUGAAGUUGACAAAGCAAAAAUCGAAGUCAUAUCUAAAUUGCCACAACCAAAAACGGUUAGAGAUGUGCGAUCCUUUUUAGGACAUGCAGGAUUUUAUAGGAGGUUUAUAAAAAACUUUAGUGCCAUAUCUAAACCACUUUGUAACCUCUUAUUAAAAGAUGCACCGUUUGAAUGGAAUGAUGAUUGCCAAAAAUCUUUUGAAAAAAUAAUUUGUCUUUUAACAUCUGCACCUAUUAUGCAAUCUCCUGAUUGGUCUUUGCCAUUUGAAUUAAUGUGUGAUGCAAGUGAUUUUGCUGUUGGUGCUGUUUUAGGACAAAGAAGGGAUGGUAAGCCUUUUGUGAUUUAUUAUGCGAGUAAGACUUUAGAUAGUGCUCAAAUGAAUUAUUCUACAACUGAAAAAGAAUUACUUGCUGUGGUAUUUGCAUUAAACAAAUUCCGUUCAUAUUUGCUUGGCUCCAAAUCUGUUGUGUUUACUGACCACGCUGCUGUGAGAUAUUUGAUGAGUAAACAGGAUGCCAAACCGAGGAUAAUUCGUUGGAUUUUGUUACUACAAGAAUUUGACCUUACCAUCAAAGAUAAAAAGGGUGCUGAAAAUGUUGUUGCGGAUCAUCUAUCAAGACUCACAUCCGAAUUCUGCAAUGAUAUAACACCCAUAAAUGAUUCUUUCCCUGAUGAAUUUUUAUUUUCUGUUACUUCAAUGCCAUGGUAUGCUAACAUUGUUAAUUUCCUUGUUACAGGUAAAAUGCCUUUGCAAUGGAAUGCUCAAGAGAAGAAGAAAUUUUUUGUUGAAGUAAAGAAAUUUUAUUGGGAUGACCCUUAUUUGUUCAAAUAUUGCCCAGAUCAAAUUUUUCGGCGAUGUAUUCCUCAUAAUGAGGUAAGUAGUGUCAUUAAUUUUUGUCAUUCUGAAGCAUGUGGUGGUCAUUUUUCUUCAAGAAAAACUAUUGCUAAAAUUUUACAGUGUGGAUUUUAUUGGCCUACCAUGUUUAAAGACACAUAUGAAUUCUGCAAAAGUUGUGAAAAAUGUCAAAAAUUGGGAUCAAUUACAAAAAGAAACAUGAUGCCCUUAAAUCCCAUACUUGAAAUUGAAAUAUUUGACUGUUGGGGAAUUGAUUUCAUGGGUCCAUUUCCAUCAUCUUUUGGAUUUGUGUAUAUAUUAGUUGCAGUUGAUUAUGUCUCAAAAUGGAUUGAAGCAAUUUCUUGUCGAAAUAAUGACAGUAAAACUGUGAUUAAAUUUUUAAGAGAAAACAUUUUAAGUCGAUUUGGAAUCCCUCGAGCCAUUAUCAGUGAUGGAGGUAAGCAUUUUUGUAAUAAGUCAUUUGAGUCUUUAAUGAAGAAAUAUGGAAUUACACAUAAAAUUGCUACCCCUUAUCAUCCUCAAACAAAUGGUCAAGUUGAAUUAGCAAAUAGGGAGAUAAAACAAAUUUUGGAAAAAACGGUUAACCCAAACCGAAAAGAUUGGUCUCUUAGACUUAAUGAUGCACUUUGGGCUUACCGCACUGCAUUUAAAACAUCAUUAGGAAUGUCACCCUAUCGGUUAAUUUAUGGUAAACCUUGUCAUUUACCUGUUGAACUUGAACAUAAAUCACUUUGGGCUAUUAAAGCUUUUAAUUCAAAUUUGGAUGAUGCUGGUAAUGUGCGAAAAUUGCAAUUGAAUGAACUUGAGGAAUUAAGGAAUGAUGCAUAUGAAAAUUCAAGAAUUAUUAAGGCAAGAACAAAAGCAUUUCAUGAUAAAAGAAUUUUUCGAAAAACAUUUGAGAUUGGUCAAAAAGUGUUGCUUUAUAAUUCUCGUCUUCAUUUAUUUCCAGGAAAGUUAAAGUCAAAAUAGAGUGGCCCAUUUGUUGUAAAAAAUGUAUAUUCAUAUGGGGCCAUAGAAAUUGAGAAUCCAAAUAACGGUGUCACAUUUAAAGUUAAUGGUCAAAGAUUAAAACCAUAUCUGGAACAUCACCCACGUGACGAGGACACCGAAAUUAAUUUGGAUGACCCACCAGUUCUUGAUUAAGUCUUUAAUGAUUUUUUUUUUUUUUACUAUUAUUUUACCGUUUCAUUGUUUGAUUUUUUUUCUUUAGAUUGAUGCACUGUACAUAGUUUUUUUUUAACAUUGUUUUUCUUGUGUAAGCGUGUUUGUUUGACAGUUGUACAUUCUCUCAUCAAUUUUCAUUUUACAUCAUGAGCACCUCAAUGAGAAAAUACCUAUUCGCACAUCUUAAAAGAUUUCGGCGUAUAAAAUUUCACUUAAGAGGCCUAAUACAAAGCUGUAAAUCACAUCCACUUUGGGAUCUGCAACCACCAGAAUUCGUGUCCUAUGUUGAGGAUCUAGAAGGACAACUCAGAACAGUAGAGAGUGGCAUAUAUGAAUUUCAAAUAGAGCUUGAGGUUAACUCAAUGAGAGGACGAAUGUAAGUUCAUUUUCCUUUUAUAUUGUGUGCUUUUUUUUUGCUCGCUUUCACGCUUGAUUUGAUUUUGCAGAUUUGAUUUUGGUGUGUUUUGAUUUAUUUUCCCGUAUAAAUGGCGGAUAACGGUACUCCGUGACUUCUUAAGUCGGUAUCUUCAGUUUCCCACAAUAACUGAAACCCCAAAAUCAAACAUGGAAGAAAUACAACAUAAACUCCAUAAGCAUUUUCCCUCUCUCCCUCAGAAUGCCCUCAGGAAAAUUUACAAAGCUCGUUGUGAACGACUGCGUUUGUUAAUGAUCAAUGGCAUUCUUUCUGACAUUCGUUGGUUAAUUGAAGCAAAGGUCUGAUUAGCAGGUGAGUUUUCUAGUCAAUUUGUUUCUUACAUGCCUGGUUUUGGUAAAAGUACGUUUGCUAAGAAAAGGAGAGCUAAACGACUUGGCUCAAAAUGUCAUAACUGUGUAAGACUUGGUUGCAAACGACCGGAUUGUAAAUCUUUAGGAAUGGUUUCUGAUACUCGUGAAGAUAAAAUUAAAUUCGUUAAAGAUGGCAUGAGUAAAGAAUCGUUGGAUGAUAUCUUACGAUCUCUUGAGACGCAUCGAAGCGGAAUUGUGCAAUGUGAGAUUUACAAUUUGUGGAUACUAUUCCAAAAACAAAGUGCACAGUUAAGUCUUGGGAAUCUGACUCAAAAAGACCCUGUUUGCCAGUUUAUAAGAAAACUGGAUGGGAAGCCGAUCCUCGACCCAUAGAGGGCGUUCAAGCCGUUACUGGACGUAAAACCAGAGGAAGAUGUGAGCCACAAUCACAACUACUAGUAAAUAUCCUUUCACUUCACUGUUAUUUUACUUUACUGUUAUUUUAUCAUUUGAAUUAUUGCAUUUAGCGAUGUGAUUUUGUAUUUAUUUGGUUUCUUUUACUGUUUGCUUUUUCUAAUCAUUACUUUUUUUUUUACUAUUUGUUUUUGAAUUAUUGAGCCACGAGCUUUCCUCGUCAUUUGACAAAUAUGCCAACCCAUUUACAGCUGUUUCUCUUUAUUUAUGUCACCAAGAUCUUUAAAUAUGAGCUCGUUUUUCAAACACUCACAACUUGUUUUUGAAAAAUUAGUCCAAUGGCAGCAUCUUCAAGUAAACAAUUCAAAAAUAUUUGUGUGCUUUCUGGGUUUCACUAUGGAAAGUACAAAGAGUUCGUUCAGGUAGCUGUAGAUCUUGGUCGUGUCAUAGCAGAGAGGAAACUGCAUCUUGUAUAUGGAGGAGGUGAACGAGGGUUAUCAAGACUUGUCUCAGAAGCUGUUUUUACCAGAGGAAGCCAAGUACUCGGCAUUAUCCCAAAACCCAUGAAACCGCUAGUGUGCAUGUCUGGCCCACCAAUUGGAGAAGAAUUAGUGGUAUCAAGUAUGCAAGAGAGAAUAUCUGAAAUGAUGAAUCAUGCUGAUGCUUUUAUUUUCUUGCCAGGAGAUCUUGCAACUUUUGAGGCACUAAUUACAUUUGCAUCUUGGGCCCACUUGAACAUUCAUCAAAAGCCCAUCGGUUUGUUAAAUGUUAAUAAUUUUUAUGACGGCUUGCUAACUUUUAUUAAUCAUGCAAUAAAGAAUCAUUUUGUUCCACAUUCUGUAAAAAAACUCUUUAUCUCUGCUUCUACUGCUAAUGAGUUACUUGAUCUUUUACAAGCUUAUACACCAGAGCCAGAUCCACAGACUGUUGCACUGAAUUGGUCGACUAAUGAUGGUAACGGUAACAGUAGCAGUAAUAAGAAGUGCGAUUUAGAUUUAACUCUCCGUUUGUAAAUAUUUGCUGUUGUAGUGUUCAUGUGAUGUCUUCUACACUCUUUCUAUUUCCUUUUAAAACAUUGAGGACAAUGUCUUUUUCAGGUUGGGGGGAGGGAAUAGUUGAUAAUUGUGGAAUGUCUUAGUCCUGGUUAUGUGUUUACAAAAAAAAAAAAAAAAAAAACAAUAACAAAAUUUUUUUUUUCUGUAAAGACUAACUUAGGACAAAUUUGAGUCGAAGAUGGCAGGAUAUAGAGAAUGUAGUCUCUCUAGAAACGCAUCUUCUUAAUCUUAAGGGUGUUGUUAAAAAAAAAAAAAAAUUGACUUUUUCUUCAUCUUUGUUAUCUACUUUUAAGCUUCUGCAUCAAGUUAAGGUGAGAUCUCCUAUUCUUCUUCUUUUAUUAUUCUCUUUUAUUUUUAUUUAUUAUUAUUAUUAUUUUUUUGCAUAUCUGUAAAAUUAUAAAAUGUUAGGAUAAUGUUUAGAUUAGGUUGUGGGGUGGGGAUAAUUGACGUAUGUUUUAAAUAUGUAUGUUGUUUUUUUCUCUUUUCUCUUUUCUUUUCUUUUCUUUGCCAAAAAAAAAAAAAAAUUGUUUUUUGUCUAGGAUGGCCGUGUAAAGAGUCACGACUUUUGAGACGCAUCCUAAUAGUCUUGUUGUAUUAUAUUUUGAUUUUGAGAUUCAUGGUAAGUUGUUUUUGUUCCCUUUUCUUUGAAUUACUCAAAUUUGUGAACUCUCCACUUGGUUAUUAAGUUAUUUAAUUGUUUACUCAUUUAACAGGUAUUAUUGAAUCAUUCUUCACACACACAUUAUGACACAUACUAGUGGGUUGUAAGUUAAAAUUUUACAGCAUUUAGUUCUUUUGAUUUAUUAGGAAAAGUAUCUAAGGUAGUAGAAAGUGUAUAGUUCCAAAAAAAAAAAAAAAAGUAGAAAAAAAAUUGUUUUUAAUUUUUCUAUAUCUAGAACCCGAGUAAUUAAGUCCGUAGGGGUGUUUCAACACCUAGUGCCCUAAGGUCAACUGGUCUGGGAGUCACUGGCCUAAAGCUCACUACAUGGGUAAUAGAUAUAUUGUUUGUUUAUUAGAAACCCGAGUAAUUAAGUCCGUAGGGGUGCUUUAACACCUAGUGCCCUAAGGGCAACUGGUCUGGGAGUCACUGACCCAAAGCUCGCUACACGGGUUAGAAAUGUAAUAUAUAAAAAAAAAAUGUGUGAAUAAUCUAUUGCCUAAAGAUAUAAUUUCUAAUGAAUUUUAGAACGAAAAUGUUGUUUUUCUUUUAAUGAAGCCCCAUAAGUAUUGUGUUAAUUACUUGAGCACAAAAGAAGGUUUGAUGAUAUUCUGGAUAAUGAGUGAACAUCAAUGUGGUAAAGGAAUUUGGGAGAGUUCAUUUAUUUGGUAAUUUAGAGGAUAGAUGAACAACUAUUAACUUGCAUGUGAAUUUUAUAAAUCUUAAUAUAACGCUUUAAUUGCUAGAGGGCUAGCAAUAAGCUGGUUGGGGGGUGUGAUUAGUAUUAAAAAUUGUUUAAUUAUCAAGCGAUAAUAUGUUAUUUUAUGCUUAUGUUAUAAUUUAUAUUUGUGUUUAUGUAAUAUAUUAUGAAUUAUUAAUUAUGUUUUAAAUAUAUUUAAUUUUGUGUAUUUUUAUGUGUUUAUUAGGAAAAUUAUUAAUUUCACGUACUUCGAGGCUCCAAACAGAUAAACGGAGGUCAAAUUUGGAUUCCGGAGGUCCGAAAACCUUAAGAUCAGUCAAGAUCGGCUUAAAAUUGGGCUUGUGUAAAAAAAGUUGACUUUUCCUGUUGACCGAGCACUGAUUGGAUGAUGAAAUGAGCUUACAAUAGAUAUGAGUGCAUGGGAUAACUGGCAAUCUUGACUAAAUCUCAACCGUUCAUGAUUCAAUGGCCAUGAUUGUGCCACGUGGCAAUGGUUGGUGAAGCAAGUUGGAGGAUCCGAAUCUUUGUAUUCGGGUCGACCCGAUCCACCCAUUAACCCGCCAAAUCUCAACCGUUCUUUGGGCAAAUCGGACGAGUCAAAUGAUGCCAUGUGUGAUGUUGACUUUUGAAGUUUGACCAGCCAUUGGAUCUUGAUCUAAGGGUUGUGAGGAGCACAUGCAUGAAGCCUAUGAUGGACCGCAAAGCACUGGAUUAUGAAUUUAUUUUUCUAUAAAUAGGGCCUCAUUUUUAUGUUUUAAUCAUCUCUCUACAACUCUCUUCUUCUCAAAUUCUCUCCAUCUCCUUGUAAUCUUGAUUUCCAGGUGUGUUUUUAAUAUUUUGUAUAAUUAUUUUCAUUAAUAAAAUUAGUUUUAUUUCCAAUUUUAGUUGUUUUUAUUUCUUUUAAUUAUAAGUAAUUCAAUUUUACUACUUCUUUUUAUUUUAAUUAUGCUUAACUAAAUAAUAUUAGUUAGGGGAAGGUGAAACUCUUAAGAAAUAAAUAUGAUUUAAUCAAAUUCUAUGUUUAAUUUUAUAAAUUAAUUUAUUUUCUAUUUAAUUUUAUACAUGUUUUAUAUUUUGAAAAUUUGAUUUAUUGUAGACAAACAAAUGAAUUUGGCACAAUAAAUUCUUAAGAUCUUAAUAUAAGGCAUGGUGAAAUGGUAUUUUGACUUAUUGUAGACAAAUUAAAUUUUGGCACAAUAAAUACUUAAUCCAUCAUAAAAUUAAAGGGAAAAUAAUAAUAAUUUGUAUAAUUAAUCUUUUGAGUAAUAAAUCUAAAACAAAUUGGCAAAAAGAAUUUAUUAAGUUUUAUUUAUUUCUAAGAGUGGAUCCAUAACCCUAACUAGUUCAAUUCCAUAGUUUCAUUUAAAUUAAGUUGUUUAUAUUCAAGUUUUAAUUUCAAUUUUUAGAUAAAAUAAAAUAAACUAAUUAAAUCUUUUCUCUGUGGAUCGACCUCGGACUCACCGAGUUAUAAUACAACAAGACACUCUUAUACUUGGGAGUUAAAAUUUACUUUUAAGUUGUGUCACUAACUAUAAAGGCUGGGUUACUUUGAGGACUUUUAGAUUCUCCAAAAUUUUUAUCAAGUUUUUCUAUUUUUUUUUUCAUAAUCUGAUAUAAUUUGAUUGAUUUUUAUAUUGUAUUCACCACGCUGGCUGCUUCGAAAAUGUAAUUUUCGAGUUGUUUACCUAAUAAGAUUAUAAAUUCUUGGUGUGGUGAUGGAAUGAUUACAUGGUGUUGUAAGAGUAAUUCUUUCGUUAGUCAUUAUAUAAAUGAACUGACAAAGGAAAUUGACUUCUAAAAGUAUAUAUGCUCCUAUAUGAUUAUAAGACCAUAAUAUAUGGAUACUUAAAAUGUAAUCUUCGAUUUGGAUUAAAGUUUUUAUCCUACAUGUUCCUAAAAUGAUUUGUUCACCAUUUAUUCCUUGUCCUGUUAAGGGUUUAUAAUCUUUCGAAUAUGAUUUUGGAUAAAUCCUUAAAUUAGGUAAGCUAACUCCUGAACCAGUGUCUAUUAAAGCAUGAAACCAUUCUGGCUUAUGCUUAUAAUAUGGUUUAAUCACUUUUAUAUAAACUAUAAAAAGAUUAGACAUAUCUUGAUAUGGUUUGCUUAAUUCCUUCAACUGUUAAGCUUAUUUUUCUAUCUCCUAUAGAAUAAGGAGUAAAAUUCUCAAGAAAGUUCAUCCCUAAUAAUAAAGGACUUAUUUAUGUUUCAUAAUCUGGUUCUAUGAAAAAAGAAAAGAUGAAUUCUAUCCCUUUUAUUCUUAAUAGUAUUUCACUAUAUUGACUUAAUGUCUUUCUUUCUCCAUUAAAUCCUACAUAAGUAUGAGGCUCAAUUAAAAUUUUUCUUUCUAAAUAUUUAAUAAUUUUAGAAUCUACAUAAGAUUUUGCAGCUCCUGUAUCAAGGAUAGCAAAAGUCUCGUGCCAUGAUUUUCCAUUAUUAUAUUCAAUCUUAAUUUUUAGAUUUUGAUUAUCCAGUAUUGCUAAAUUUACUGGACUAUUUGUCCUUUCUCGAAAAUGAGCUCUUAUCAUGACUUGAAUUCCUCCGAUAUGAACAUAUCCAAUUUUAAGUCUAUCACUAGAUUUUAUCUCAUUUAUCUUAUCUUUUAUAUCAGUUUUUAAUAAUAAUGGUAUAUUUGUAUUUCCUCUAGCAUACCUAAUUUCAAUAGGUUCUUCUCUUACAGUAGCACUAAGAUACAUUAUAUUUUUUCUUUUAAUCAUGUUAGCAAUGCCUUGUGCUAACUUAUUAACCGAAGUCAUAGAUGAUUCCAAUCCUUUUUUAUUAUUCUUGAGAUAUUGCUUUUUAUCAAAGAUUAAUUCUCUAUUAAAAGAACCUUGUUCUUCUAACUCUUCAUCUUGAUAUAAAUCUUUAUUUUCUAAUUCUUCUAUACUCAUUCUGAAUCAGAUUCUAAAUCAGAACUUCUCAAAGUUUCAUUAGAAAGAUAAUAUAUGCUAUCAUUUUCACUAAUAUCUUUGCUAUCGGUGAUUAAUUCUAAAUCAUUGAAAUCUUCAAAUAUUUUUAUAUUUGCUUUCUUCGUUUUAGGACAUUCAUUUGCAUAAUGUUCUUCUUCAUUACAUAACUAGCACUUGCAUUUUUUAGGUGCAUUGGUUUUGGAUCUUCUUUUAAAUUUAUUUUUCUUGUAGAAUUUCUUUUUAUAUUUAUUUUUCUUGUAAUAUUUCCUGUUGGCUUUAAAGAAUUUCUUCUUUUUGAAUUUUUUUUCUUGUGUUUAUAGAUUUUAUCUGAACAUCCAAAUCUUGGCGGAUCUUCUAAUUUAGAACAACAUAAUUCUCGAUUUUGCCUUUUCAUAAGUCUUCUAUCUCUUAUUUCAGAACACUAUUCAUUUAUUCUAUUUUGAGCAAAUCUAAUCCUAUUUCGUAAUGUAUAAGUUUCUGUAGUAUCUUUGUAUUCUUUGUUAUAUUCCAACAUAAUCCUUCUACCCCAUGGGUCUGGUAUCUUUACAAAAUAUAGAUCAUGGUAAUAGCAUAUGUUAUCCUCAUCUUUAUCAAAUUCACAUUUAUAAUAUAAUUCUUCGAAGCUACAUGUAUAUUCUUCUAAAUAACAUAUAUUACAUAUUUCAAGCCUUGUUAGCUUCAUUAAAUUUUCUAUCUGUUUUCUUUUUAUUUCUUGUUGAAAAUCAGUUUCCCAAUCUUCUCCCAAGAAUUUUUUUCUUAUUUCAUUUUCGAAUCUAUUUAAAACCUGAUCAACACUUUCGUUUCGAUUAUUAUUUUCUCCAUACAAUAUUCUAUUUUUAUGAUUAUCAUUUAAUCCCAUAAACCAAUGAGAAACAAUUCCUAUAAACGAAAUUUUAAGGAAUUCUAUACUAUUAUCCCUAUCAAUUUUGUGAAAUGCAAAAGCCAUUUUCAUAGAUUUAACCCAAGCGGUAAUCGUUUUAUCUCUAUCUUUGAUACAGUCUAAACCUAACCAUACACCAUCAUGGUUGAUUGGUCUUUCUCUAUAUUCUCCUGGAGUUUUAUGAUCUUUUUUAGGUUUGUUAAUCCUAAAAUAUUGACCUUGUGCUCUUUCCUGAGUUGGUAUUUCUUCCCUAACAUAGGAAGCUCUAUUACUAGUUUCUCCUUGUUAAAAACCGUUUAACUUUGGUUCAUUCAUUUUUAGAUGUUCUAUUCUAUUUUCAAUAUCCUGCAAAUUAAUGACUAUAUCAUCUUCUUCUUCGGAUUCAGAUUCUUUAUCAGAUAUCUCUUGAUUAGGUAAUUCUAUGUUUUCACUUAGCAUUCUUAGACUUAUUAAUUUUUUGUCUUUGUUUAUUUUGUUAAAUAUCGGUUUAGAUGUUGUUAUCAUUUCUUUAUCUUUAAGUUCAUUAUAGUAAAUUAUGGUAUCUUGUAAAAUUUUAUUUUGUUUAUUGAUCUUCUGUACUUCAAUCCUUUUGUAAUUUUCCAUUUAUGCUUAUAGCGAAUUUAUUACCAAUUUUUUCAUCGAUUUUUUCAAUUUUUUGUAGUUGAUUUCAAUCUUGUUGAAUUUAUUUUCAAUUGAACUUUUGUUCACAAUAUUAAAGAUUUCUUGUUUUAAUCUAUCUUGAUCUUCAAUAUUAAAGUCUUUUAUUAAUAGCUUAACAAAAUCAAAUUCUUCACUCAUUCGCUAUCCUAUCAUUUUGACUUGUCUUAUAUUUUCGGCAUCAAAGCUUUUAAUCUCAAGUAUCUUAUUUACACUUUCUAUAUCAUCUAUGGUUAAAUUAGGGUUUCCUAAUUUAUUUAAUAAAUAUAAUGAGAUCCAAUUUAAUUGAUUAUUUCCCCACAUAUCAGAAUCAUUUACUAAAUCAAAUGGUUGAAAUCUUCCAUAAGUAAAUCCUCUAUGCCUAUAGCUAGAAGGUGGUAAUAUGUUGGUUUCAAUAUUUCUAUAUACUUCUCUCCUGAUCCUAAAGAGAAGAAUAGGAUCAAUAUUUAAAUUUCUAAUUUUUAUUAUGAUGAGUUCUCCAAUUUUAAAUUCAUGAACUCUAACUAAAUAAAAUUGUAUUAAUUGUUUAUCAUCCAAUAUAUUAACUUCUGAAUAAUAAUAUUGUUUAUGUUUUGUUAUAUUAUCUUUAACUCCACACUUGUUUAAAAUUCAACACACAGAUGUGCCUCUUUCUUACUAUACUGGAAUCCUCGGUAAACUUUUUGUUUGCGCAAUUUAUGUGAGCAAAUUGUGUCUUCUUUUUCAUAUGUAAAUGUUUUUGAUAUCUUGAUGUGAAGGUAGAAAAUUGCAUGUUUUGAGUUUUUGCAUAUUUGAUGGAAACACAGAACUGUACCUGAAUCUUUCAGAACCCCCUUUUCUUUGAAGUUUGAACACUUUUCUUGAAUGUAUCAACUUUAUUUAUGGGAUAUGUUGCCAAAUUGGCAAAUCUAUUCGUUAUAAAACUUUCCUUUGACAGUUUAAUCUAAGCAGAUGUUAAUUAUGCAAAUAGAGUGUGCCUAAGAUUAGUUUCAUAGAUUUGUCUCCUUCUGUACAGUAAAAACUUUGAGCAUUUUCGCCAUAUUCUGAUCAAUACACUCCAACUAGUUAGUUCUUGAGGCGUUUUAUGGUUUCGUGGAGUGAGGCAAGAUGUAUACGUUUGCAAAUUGGCAAUGUCUUUUGCUUGAUGGGUUGAGAGUUGUGAGUGUCAACAGGAAACAAGACCUCUGUUUUAUGAACUCCAAAAAGUUAUUCUGUUAAAAAGAUCGAGACAGAGGCCAUACUAUAUUUAUUAUUGCUAUAAAAGUGUGAAAAAAUAUUCUUUGUUUAAUAUUCUAAACGAUUGAGCCAUUUAGUUAUGAUACUCUGCUGUAUUGGGGCUAAUAAUCUAAGUCGGUUCAAAGUGGUAAAUUUAUAAAUUGAUAGGUAUGCCUGGUAUGACCGCUUACGUUGGAUUUUAUGAGGUCUGCUCUCCUAAGCAAGGAGAGUGUGUCUUCAUAUCCGCAGCAUCUGGUGCAGUUGGACAGCUUGUGGGGCAGUUUGCAAAGUUAUUGGAUUGCUAUGUCGUCGGAAGUGCUGGAAGCAAAGACAAGGUAUGUAAUCUGUGUGAAGUACUUGAUUGUUUCCAUGUUACUUUCAAACAUUUAAAUUAAAAAGGAAAUUUUCAUAAUCUUGCCUUUUCUAUGAUUUUCAAAACCAAGGUUGAUCUACUGAAGAACAAGUUUGGGUUCGACGAGGCAUUUAACUAUAAAGAAGAAGCUGAUUUGAAUGCAGCAUUGAAAAGGUUAGCAUCAAUAAAUGCCUUAGCUUGAUGCAGCUUGAUGAAGUAUGAUACACAUUUCUGACCAAUAUACUGCGUUCCCUGAUCUCUUACUUGAAAUAUCUUGGUUUGAGAAUCUCAUGCCAAUGCCUUUAACAUUUUGGCAGGUACUUUCCUGAAGGAAUUGAUAUAUAUUUUGAAAACGUUGGUGGAAAAUUGCUUGACGCAGUGCUACCCAACAUGAAAAUCCGUGGUCGAAUUGAUGCAUGCGGUAUGAUCUCACAGUACAAUCUUGACAAGCCUGAAGGUGUGCACAACUUGAUGUAUCUUGUUUCGAAACGGCUUCGAAUGGAAGGAUUCAUUGUUCUCGAUCACUAUCACCUCUAUCCAAAGUUUCUGGAAAUGAUCAUUCCUCACAUCAAAGAAGGGAAGCUUGUAUACGUCGAAGACAUGGCUGAAGGUCUUGAGAGUGCUCCGGCAGCUCUCAUCGGUCUAUUCUCUGGCCAGAAUAUUGGGAAACAAGUGGUUGCUGUUGCUCCUUAAUGAAGAACAAGUUAGUGUUGUCUGUCCUUUUACCCUUUGACACAAAACUUCAAUGUUAAAGAGAGAAUGCUGUUCAUAUAUACUGCUUUAUAAAAUAAUCAAGUGAGUGCAAGUUUCAUGAUAUUUGCUGAAUAAAAUAUUGGAAAUUAAGCAGCUAGCCUAGCUCCUUCUUGUAGUUGCAGUUUGAAUGAUGCUGCUGCACAACUGCUGCCGAAAAAAUCCUUAAUAGAUGAUUAGCAAGGUUUCAAAAAUAAAAAUAAAUGUUUGUGCAAUGUGUCGAAUAUGACAGCCACAAAGAAAGAGCACACAAAUUGAUUGGUUUUAUGUCUUCUCUAGGAGAAAGCUACAAUACAAGAAAUUGUACUGAUGGAGCCAUGGACCAAAUUUCUUAUUUAAACUUUUAAUUUUUUUAUUAAAUUACUUAUGUUAUUAUGGUUUAUAAUUUUAGAAAUUCUUUAGAAAUUAAUACAGAACUAGUAGCAAGUUGAGAAAUCUAUUGAAUGGUCAAGAUAUGAUCAUGUUUAUUGAAUUAAAUUGACAAUCAUCAUUUUGAUAAAUUAUUGUCAGGAUGUUUGAUUCAUGACACGUGUAAGCAACUAAAUGUGCUAAAAAAAAGUUAAUGAGUUGGGCGUGUUUGAGUUAAUGAGUUGGGCUUGUUUGAUAUUCAUUUGUUGUAAUUCUUUUAAUAAUUAUUGGGGAAAAAAAGUUAUAAUAAAAAAAAUUAUAAUUAUAAAAUAAAAAUUAAUAAUAUAUAAUAAAUAAGAUUUUAAAUAAUAAUUUUAAUAAAAUAAUAAAUAUAUUAUAAAUUUUUUAUGAUUAAUUUUUAAAUUACAACAAUAAAUAUUUAACAAACACCUUAAUACCACAACUAACACCACAACUUUUGAAUUAUGAUAGUACAAUCUAAAUGCCACAGGCCUUAAAAAAUAAAAUUACAGUCAAGUUUUAAAACUGUUAAUGAUAUUCACAAAGACUCUGGAACAAUAUUACAGAAGGUGCUCGUCGUGUAAGCAACACAUGGGACCCAACCAAUAAAUGUUUCUGAUCCUCAACUUUCCUCAUCACUGUCCCUGGAAACAAUUCUGAUUUUCUUGUCUGAUUAAACAACUGAGAAACAAUGGCGGCCGACCAAGAAGCUGGGAGCAAUAAGCGGGUGAUUCUAAGCAACUAUGUGACAGGUUUUCCAAAAGAAUCAGACAUGAAGAUAACAAGUUGAUCAAUAAAGCUGAAGGUAGCAGAGGGUGUUUGGGAGAAAUACGUCGACGAGACCAGGCAUGGUGAGCAGAUAUCUGAUGGCAGAGUUCUGCGAACCGGUGUGUUCCGUAAAAGCCUGGUGCGCGGGGGAACAGGAGCAGAAGUAUCCUGCUCGUCCACGAGCACGUCAUCCGCGAGGCCAAUUUCCUGUAAGAGGCAUAAGGUCAUUCCGGCUAGAGGUCGAGAGGCGAGGAGACCCGGUCGACGGCAGUUGGCAAGACAUGCUCCCCAGCCCGAGAAUCUAGGCACGACAGCCACGCUUUCCCCAGAACCGUGGCGUAACACGCAAGAUCUCACAGAACCACGACAGCCACGCUUUCCCCAGAACCGUGGCGUAACACGCAAGAUCUCACAGAACCACGACAGCCACGCUUUCCCCAGAACCGUGGCGUAACACGCAAGAUCCCACGUUUGCCCAUAACGCAGCAGUCAGAGUCCCAUACCGUCUCGAAAAAAGCGGAAAACUGGGAUUCAGGGGAAGCCUAUAAAAAGGUAGCCAACGAAGGUAAAAGGGUUAGCAUUUUUGAGAUUAGAAAAGAAAUGAAAAAAGAAGAGAAAACCACGAAAAAGCCAUAAGAUAUGUGGCAAGCGUUCCCCGAACCUUCAUAUCUGACUUGAGCGUCGGAGGGUUUGCGCCGGGAAAACAACCGGCGUACUCUGACUUGUCUGUGUGCGCAGGAACCUCUGGAGAAGAAGCCUCACGUGGAGACCUCCUGGUCGUGAAGAAGUUGAUCGGGCAGAGAUCCUGGUCGUAGAACGAGGAGAACCGGAAUCCCGCAUCAACAUUUUGGCGCCGUCUGUGGGGACCGGAGCAAAAAGCUUCUGUUGAUAGCAAGAAGAGGGGUGAAGCAAGUGAAAAACAAUGGAGACAGGAGGAAGUAGUGCACAAGGGGGUGAUAGGAAGCUUAACGAUUCCGUGACGCUGAGGGAGAUAGUCAGUGAAGCACGGGAAAAAGUCAUGUUCGACCGGAUGGAACGGAUGGAAAAGCAGAUGGAGACCUUGACAACCAUCCUGCAUGAGCUGCGGAGCGAGCGAAGUAUAAUCCAAGAGGGAAGGGUGAGAGGCGGUGGAGUGGCACCAGGUCCCGAUAGUGCGGGGAGAAGUCAAACCACCGGGAGAUUUGGUGGUGAGAGAGGUAACGUACCUCUGCGGGGAGAAUUUCAUAGAGAAAGAGAGCAGUCCCCGGCAAGACAGACUGGCGACGAGGACGACGGGGUGGUGAAUGCAGAGGAAACAGAGUUGAGGCAACACUUGCAUGAUGUAGAGCAAGAGCGGGAUCAAGUUGCAGCACGUGACCCUGGUUGUGCAGUGCAGCUGGAGGAGGAAGUGCGCAGACUAGCACAGAUAAUCGACGACAUGCAAGGAAGGAACAGAGCCCCUGGUUGGAGGAUAAUGCUGGACGGAGAAUCACCGCUCGCAGCAGAGAUCAUGAGGGCAGUUAUUCCGAGAGAUUUCCGCCUCCCAGACCUCAGAUACUCGGGAAGAACUGAUCCGUUGGUGCACAUAGAGCGCUUCAACGACAUAACUGGGGUACAAGGAUUAUCUCAAUCCCAAAGGUGCAGAGUGUUCCCACUAUCCCUUGAGGGACGUGCACGAGAAUGGUACAGGAAACUUCCUCGGGGCAGCAUUAAAACCUUCGAGCAGAUGUGCCAGGAAUUCGCGGAGCAGUUUAGUGGGGCAAUGGCGCCGGAAGAUGACAUGAUGGAGCUGAAAAGCAUGAAACAGGGGGAGCAAGAAACCCUUCGGGAAUUCAUCAAGAGGUUUCAUCGGGCUGUCCUUGACUUGGGAGCCUUCAACCACCCUCAGGCGUUAAGGGGAUUGAAAGAAGGGGUGAAGAUAGGAAGGCUGUGGUACAAUUUGAGAAGCCCAGCUAUUCAAACGUAUGCAGCCGCAUACGAACAGGCUAAGAGAGACAUCGAGAUUGAAGAGGAGAAGGCUGCACGGAUUAAGACAGACCAGUUAGAAGGGUUGGGGAGGAAAGAGAAGAAAGCAUUACCGGGGAAUGGGCCGAUCAGGAGGAGGGACCACCAGGCCUCCGGUAGUGGAGCAGGAGGUCGGGUAGCCGCUUACCAGCCUCAUCAAAGGCCACCACAGUAUCAGCGCAGCAGGGCGCAACCUCCUCGUUCCCCAGCUAGGGAGCCUUGGAGAAGGCAUGAGUCGGCAUCUGGUGGUCUCCAACAACACCCCCACGGUAUCAGAGCGAGCAGACCAGAAGUACUUCCACCGCCCCCAACUCAGAGCGGGGCAAACAGAGAAAGAGCAGUGCACCUGAUCGACCAGAACCCGGACUAUGGGCGGUACACUUCCUUGAAGAUGUCCCUGGAUGAGGUGUACGAGGCCAUAAAGGAUCGAGGGCUGCUGCACCUCCCUACACCAAUAACAAAGCUACCCAACAGGAGGGAUAGAGGACGUUAUUGUAAGUUCCAUGGCACCCAUGGCCAUACCACAGCAGAGUGUAGAGAUCUCAAGACCCAAGUCGAAGAUUUGGUGAGAAAUCGGUACCUGGACGAGUUUAUGGAUGGGACUUUCCCGAUGGGGGCCACAACAGGUGAAGGGGAGCAGAGUGGCGGAAACGUUAGGCGCGAGCAGCCCGCAGUAAGGGUGAUAGCUGGGGGCCCGACAUUGGCCGGAGAUUCCAACAGAUCGAGAAAAAAUUAUGCUAGGUACGCCAUGACCAGUAAAGAGGUACUCCUCAACACCCCAGCAGCCAAACGAGCAAGGGUCAGGCAAGUGCCAAUCAUGUGGACGGAUGAGGAUGAGGAAGGGAUUCUAUACCCCCACGAGGAUGCUUUAGUCAUCAAGGCUACUGUCGCUAGCAAGAAGUUUGACCGGAUACUGAUUGAUACAGGGAGCUCAGUUGAUGUGUUAUUUAAGUCAACCCUGGAAGAGAUGGGAAUAGCCGACCGGAAGUUGGAAUACACCAAUACCUCCUUGAAGGGGUUCGGAGGAGGGAAGCUGGUCCCUCUGGGCGUGGUCGAGCUGCCUAUCACAAUUGGGAGCUCUCCGACAGAAAGAACAAUGAUACUGGACUUUGUCGUAGUGGAUGAGGAAGGUCCUUACCAGAUGAUCCUAGGUCGGCCAUUUUUAAGGAUGAGCAAAGCGGUGUUGUCCAACCAUUAUCUGGCUCUGAAGUACCGGGUGAACGGGGUAGUAGGAGUGGUACGAGGAGACCAGAGGAUCGCAAGAAGCUGCUACUCCUCGGCAGCAAGGGAAGCAAUGCAGAUAACAUCCCUCGAUACCCGAGUGGAAAACAAGAAGGGCAGACAAGAACCUGUAGAGGAUCUGGAAACAGUAAGCCUGGGACCAGAGAACCCGGGAAAGACGAUCAGAAUCGGGUCGAGACUUAAGGGAGAGCAAAAGCAGGAGUUGGUGAAAUGCUUACAGGCUCAUGCUGAUGUGUUUGCUUGGACACAUGAAGACAUGCCAGGAAUUGACCCUGAGGUAGCAUGUCAUAAGCUGGCAAUAAAGAAAAGUGCUCGGGCAGUAAGGCAGAAGAGGAGGUGCUUCAACCAGGAGAGGUAUGAGGCUAUAAAUGGCGAGGUGGAGAAGCUCUUGAGAGCAGGGUUCAUUCGGGAAGUCAGUUACCCUGAGUGGAUAUCGAAUGUGGUGUUGGUAAAGAAGGCAAACGGCAAGUGGAGGAUGUGUGUGGAUUUCACAGACCUCAAUAAGGCGUGCCCAAAAGACAGCUUCCCUUUACCAAAGAUCGAUCAGCUAGUAGAUUCAACGGCUGGACAUGGUCUGCUUAGCUUCAUGGACGCGUUCUCGGGAUACAACCAGAUCCCCAUGUACGAGCAGGAUGAGGAGAGCACGGCUUUCAUCACUAACCAAGGUUUGUUCUGUUACAGGGUAAUGCCAUUCGGUCUCAAAAAUGCCGGGGCCACCUAUCAAAGGCUGGUGAACAAAGUCUUUAAGCCGUUGAUUGGGAAAACCAUGGAGGUGUACGUGGAUGACAUGAUCACCAAGUCCAAAAUCCCGGAGGAACAUGUCAGACACCUCGAGGAGACAUUCGAGCUUUUGAGGAAGUAUAAGAUGAAGCUCAACCCGGAGAAGUGUGCUUUUGGGGUCGAGUCAGGGAAAUUCCUUGGAUUCAUGGUGAGCCAUAGGGGGAUUGAAGCACAUCCCGAGAAAAUCCAGGCGAUUGUGCAAAUGACGUCUCCCCAUAACCUGAAGGAGAUGCAAAGCCUCACGGGGAGGUUGGCGGCGUUGAGCAGAUUCAUAUCCAAGGCUACAGAUAAGUGUAAGCCAUUCUUUCAAGUGAUGAGGAGGGGAAAGAAAACAGAAUGGACCUCAGAAUGCGAGGAAGCCUUCCGGAACUUGAAGCAAUACUUGCAGCAAGCUCCGCUGCUGUCCACACCGAGGGAUGGGGACAAGUUAUAUCUGUAUUUGGCGGUAUCGGAUCGGGCCGUCAGUUCUGUUCUGGUGAGAGAGGAAGAAGGAGUUCAGUAUCCGAUAUAUUACACCAGCAAGGCCCUGCUCGACGCUGAGACCAGAUACCCACCGUUGGAGAAAUGGGCACUUGCCCUUGUGGUUGCUGCUCGGAAGUUGAGGCCAUAUUUUCAAGCAUUCCCGGUCUUGGUAAUAACAAACCAGCCAUUGCGUCAAACUCUGCACAAGCCAGAUGCCUCUGGUCGGCUCGUCAAGUGGGCUGUAGAGCUGAGCGAGUUCGACAUAGACUAUAAACCCCGCGCAGCGAUAAAAGCCCAGGCAAUGGCCGAUUUCGUAGCUGAAUUCACAGAGCCCGAAGUAUGCUUAGAUCAACAAGAUGCAGAUAUAGGCAAUGACGAAACUCAAGUAUGGCAGAUGUCUGUGGAUGGGUCAUCAGGGGAGCGGGGUUCAGGAGCAGGGAUUGUCUUGGAAGGCCCAGAGGGGGAGGAGAUCUCUUAUACUGUAAAAUUGGAAUUUGCAGCCACGAAUAACCAGGCAGAGUAUGAAGCCUUGAUAGCAGGUCUGGAAUUGGCUAAGGCCGUGAAAGCAGACAGAGUUAAGAUCAGAACUGAUUCCCAGCUGGUUGCGAAUCAUGUCAGUGAAAGAUUCCAACCAAGAGAGGAGAAGAUGGGGCAGUACCUGAAGAUAGUCAGGCAGAUGAUGGGGAAGUUCGAAGCAGUGGAGGUGAUACAAAUCCCCAGGGAGCAGAAUAGUCGAGCAGACAUUUUGGCUAGGAUGGCAGCAGUAGCCGACCCAAAAAUGCCAAAGUCGGUCCCUCUGGAGGUGAAGUCCAGCCCAAGUAUCGAUCAGAAUUUGGGGGUGUUGCAGAUAGAACAAAAAUGCUCGUGGAGGGACCCGAUAAUUUCAUACCUUAGAGACGGGGUAUUACCACCAGAUAAGAUGCGAGCUCGCAAGCUUAGAGCCCAGGCCUCGAGAUACACGAUGAUUGAUGGGGUACUGUAUCGGCGAGGAUAUACACUACCGUUCCUUCAGUGUUUGGAUGAGGACGACGCGGAUUACGUACUGAGAGAAGUACACGAAGGAAUUUGCGGAAAUCAUUCUGGCGGGAGGUCCCUGGCCCAUAAGGUUCUAAGGCAGGGAUAUUUCUGGCCGACAAUGCACCAGGAUGCGCAAGAGAAGACCAGGAGUUGUGUAAGCUGCCAGAGUUUUGUAAAUUUCUCUAACCAACCACCAGAGAAGCUCACCUCCAUGACCUCCCCCUGGCCAUUUGCUCAAUGGGGAAUUGAUCUGAUCGGCCCAUUGCCAAAGGCACGGGGAGCAGCAACAUAUGCAAUAGUUGCUAUAGAUUACUUCACGAAGUGGAUAGAGGUAAAAGCCCUUAGCAGGAUCACAGAGAAGAAAACAACAGACUUCGUAUGGAGAAACCUGGUCUGUCGAUACGGGAUCCCUUAUGCCUUGGUAACGGAUAAUGGCAGGCAGUUCGAUAAUCACAGCUUCAGGGAUUUCUGCCAGAACCUCGGGAUAGAGCUGAAGUAUUGCUCGCCUGCUCACCCUCAAUCGAAUGGACAAGUAGAAGCAGCCAACAAGACCAUCAAGAGGCUUUUGAAAACCAGGCUUGGAGCAAAAAAGGGUGCGUGGGUUGACGAGCUGGCAGGUGUGCUAUGGGCAUCCAGAACAACAAAACCGCAACUGGGGAGACACCGUUCGCUUUGGCUUUCGGACAUGAAGCGGUCGUGCCGGCUGAGAUAGGAACGACCACACACCGGACAAAUCAUUUCAAUGAGCAGGAGAACGACGAGCAGAUAUGUUUGAAUCUUGAUCUGCUAACGGAAAGGAGGGAGCAAGCAGCCGAGCGAUCAGUCAUUUACCAAUAGAGGGUUGCUCGGUAUUAUAACCAGAAGGUGAACAUACGGCAAUUCAGGGUCGGAGACUGGGUACUGAGAAGAGUGAAUCAGAGCACCAAAGAUUCGACUCAAGGAGUGCUGGGACCGAAUUGGGAAGGGCCAUAUAGAGUCAAGCAGAUAGCGGGACCCGGAGCUUACAGGCUGGUUCGCACGGACGGCCACGAGGUGAAACGCCCAUGGAACGCAGCACACCUCCGAAAAUACUUCCAGUAAGACUUGUUCACAUGUGAAAACUAUUUUUGCUCAUGUUCAUUACCGUUUAUCUUUCACGCUUAUUGUCCAAACAAUUUCAUGUAAGUCGAAUCCUGCCAUUAAUGGAACGUCGAGGAAUUUCUUUCACUUGAAACCGAGAAAAUUUCCCAAGGCAUGCAAAGGCUCACCAAGUCUCAAAGCCUGUCUUAUGGUGAGACAGAAGCCAAGCAUGCCAGGAUCUGCUCGGCCACGAGAAGGCAAGCAGAAUCCCAAUCCUCGAAGAAUCCAAGGCACGCAAAGGCUCACUAAGUCUCAAAGCCUGUCUUAUGGCGAGACAGAAGCCAAGCAUGCCAGGAUCUGCUCGGCCACGAGAAGGCAAGCAGAAUCCCAAUCCUCGAAGAAUCCAAGGCAUGCAAAGGCUCACCAAGUCUCAAAGCCUGUCUUAUGGCGAGACAGAAGCCAAGCAUGCCAGGAUCUGCUCGGCCACGAGAAGGCAAGCAGAAUCCCAAUCCUCGAAGAAUCCAAGGCACGCAAAGGCUCACCAAGUCUCAAAGCCUGUCUUAUGGCGAGACAGAAGCCAAGCAUGCCAGGAUCUGCUCGGCCACGAGAAGGCAAGCAGAAUCCCAAUCCUCGAAGAAUCCAAGGCAUGCAAAGGCUCACCAAGUCUCAAAGCCUGUCUUAUGGCGAGGCAGAAGCCAAGCAUGCCAGGAUCUGCUCGGCCACGAGAAGGCAAGCAGAAUCCCAAUCCUCGAAGAAUCCAAGGCAUGCAAAGGCUCGACAAAGUCUCAAAGCCUGUUUUAUGGCGAGACAGAAGCCAAGCAUGCCAGGAUCUGCUCGACCACUAGAAGGCGAGCAGACUCCAAAGCAUUCGAAGAAAUGCCCAAGGCAUGCAAAGGCUCGACAAAGUCUCAAAGCCUGUUUUAUGGCAAGGCAGAAGCCAAGCAUACCAGGAUCUGCUCGACCACGAGAAGGCGAGCAGACUCCAAAGCAUUCGAAGAAAUGCCCAAGGCAUGCAAAGGCUCGACAAAGUUUCAAAGCCUGUUUUAUGGCGAGACAGAAGCCAAGCAUGCCAGGAUCUGCUCGACCACGAGAAGGCGAGCAGACUCCAAAGCAUUCGAAGAAAUGCCCAAGGCAUGCAAAGGCUCGACAAAGUCUCAAAGCCUGUUUUAUGGCGAGACAGAAGCCAAGCAUGCCAGGAUCUGCUCGACCACUAGAAGGCGAGCAGACUCCAAAGCAUUCGAAGAAAUGCCCAAGGCAUGCAAAGGCUCGACAAAGUCUCAAAGCCUAUUUUAUGGCGAGGCAGAAGCCAAGCAUGCCAGGAUCUGCUCGACCACUAGAAGGCGAGCAGACUCCAAAGCAUUCGAAGAAAUGCCCAAGGCAUGCAAAGGCUCGACAAAGUCUCAAAGCCUGUUUUAUGGCGAGACAGAAGCCAAGCAUGCCAGGAUCUGCUCGACCACUAGAAGGCGAGCAGACUCCAAAGCAUUCGAAGAAAUGCCCAAGGCAUGCAAAGGCUCGACAAAGUCUCAAAGCCUGUUUUAUGGCGAGGCAGAAGCCAAGCAUGCCAGGAUCUGCUCGACCACUAGAAGGCGAGCAGACUCCAAAGCAUUCGAAGAAAUGCCUAAGGCAUGCAAAGACUCACCAAGUCUCAAAGCCUGUUUUAUGGCGAGACAGAAGCCAAGCGUGCUAGGAUCUGCUCGACCGCGCGAAGGUGAGUCGAAUCCCAGGCAUUGAAGAAUCUCCAAAGGCAUGUGGCAAAACCAUGAGCCAAGCCGGAACCUGCUCGUCUAGACAGAGACAAGCAGAUUCUCAACCGAAAAUUAAUUCAUAAUUACAACACAAGAAAGUAAUCAAAAACCAUUUUUAUUAAUUUGUUAAUAAUUAACAGAGGGGAUAAUCUUUAUGAACAUUGUUCAUUACAAUACAAGAAAUAUAUCAGGAAGAUGGUGGACCAGUAAGCCCGGCAGCAUCGGUUGGCUGGACCUCCUCAGGUGCAGGAGGGGUAUCACCAGUUGCGUCCGGGGGGGUGCUCGCCUCGCCAACAUCAGCAGGGACUGCAUGAGCAGGAGAGUCUUCCUCCUCAAUCACGAUCGGCUCUACCCCAUCGGCAUCUUCCUUGGCCGCCUCCUCGUCCAUAUGUUGAGCAACACCAGCUGCAAGGUCAUCCAUCUUCAGAUCAGGGUGUUGCUUCCCGAGGACGGCCAUGAUGCAACGAUAGGAAUGCCGAAGUCCCUGGUCGUACUGGUUGUCAGCCUCCCUCUCUAAGUUCUCGACCUGAGCUCGGUGGGAGUCGCGGAGAGAUUCGAGCUGAGCCUCAUACAUAGCCUUCUGCCUUUGCAGAUCCUCCUUGACCGUGGUAAGCUCCUCCUCGAGGGAAAUGGCUUUUGCUUGAGCAAGUGAUUCUUGCUCUAUUAGCUUCAGAUUCUCGAGAUUCAGGUCCUUCUUGCUCACGAGUUUAGUUAACUCAUUGAGGUAGGGGACCAGGUGUUCUGCUCGGCUGUCAGGUAAGCGAGAUCGAGGCCCGACAGGAGGAAAAGAGGAAGCAGGAUCUGUGGCUGCUCCACUAGCUUCCCCGACUUUUACAGGAGCAGGAGGUAAAAUCUUCAAGGGUGGGACCUGCUGCAUGAUGUUGGCCCGCUUUGCAGCAGGGGCAUCCUUACUCUGGUCCCUCUUCGUGGUUGGAGGUCGGGAACGUUUUCGGGUCAGAGCCCCAAUCACAGCGUCCUCCAUCCUAUGGCCAGGAAGUAUCAAGCGAGACUCGAGCAAGUUGUAUGUAGUUAGCAGUUCUCGGCUCGAGCAGGAAUUGGCUAGUACAGCCUCGACCCGUUUGAGCUGGUCAGGUUCAAGCGGGAAGUGGACACCCCAAGAAACUACAACACAAACAGACACUUGGUUAGAGACAAGCCAAUAAAGCAAGAACAAUUAUGGAUGCAAGACAUCUAGAGUGAGCAGGCAACCUGGGACCGUGAAACGGGGUGGGACGUGACAAUCCUUCCCGCCUAUUUGUGCAACUUGACCCCAAGGACCCCCAGCAAAAAAGAAUUUCCUCUUCCAAGCCCCACCACCACCGGUUGGAAGAUCGGUUAUGGGUUUCCGGCUCUUGGUGCUAGAUUGGAAGUAGUACCAGCCGGCAUCUUUGGGGCUGCUCUUUAGCUGGUACAAGUGCUUCACCUCAUCAACCGUGGGCUCGCUUUGGCAACAUUUGUCCCACAAUAUGAACAGACCAGAGAGCACUCUCCACCCAUUGGGAUUCAGCUGACCAGGAGCUAGAUUUAGCCCGUUAAGUAUCUGGGCAAAGUAGGGUUGCAAGGGACACCUCAGCCCGUACUUAAAGCUCUCUAGAAACAGGGUAACGUAUCCCCUAGGAGGCCGGCUGGGAGCAUCCUUCUUUCCUGGGACCUUGAGAGGUAUCUCACCAGGAAUGCUAUACCUAAGCCGGAGGUCAUUGAGCUCGUCAAACAAGGUCGUGCACGUCAUGUAAUCAAUGGCAUAAUCGCGCGACAAGGCUCUGCCUCCUACUGUACCCCGUUCCUCUGGUCGUGAUGUUCCAGAUGGAGACACCUCACCAGAGUCACCUUCCCCAUUCUCACUUAAGGUGUCCUCAGAGCCAGAAGGUCUCUCUUCACCAUUGCUUCCACUCGUGGAGGUUGUUUGGGGGGACAUCCUCCUAGCACUAGUCCCGACACUAAACCUAAUGGGUUCUAAGGGGAUCCCGGGGUCAAAAGCAGAAUCAGUGAGCAGACCAGGCAGGAAACUUAGUUCGUCGUCAUCAAUCUCAACGACUUUCUCCUUACCUUUCGACAUUCCCUAAGCCCUAACCACAACACCACCAACUACUACCCAAACAGAAGAGAAGAGAAAUUAUCUACAACUAUCCGAGACCAAGGAGAUAGAAGAAAUACCUGAAGUAAUGGUUCAGUCGGUGAAAGUCAGAGAUGGAGGCCUUUUAUGCCGGAACUUCUUUGCCGGAGAAACAGAGACGGAGACGGAGUGAAUGAUGAAUAUGCCGUUCGAGAGGAUUUGGUUUUCCUAAUGAGGACGGACUCUUGGGUUGCCAGCAUUUAACGGCGCCGAAUCCCGAGGGUCUCAUAACCGUCGGUUUGAAAUUCAAAUGGAGGGGGGGAUUUCUGCCACGUCACCUCGUCCGCAAUUAAAUGCGACAUGACUCUUGGCAGCCUUUUCCAAUCCCACGCGGGCGAGUACUAACGAGUUUCUACUGCUGGUCCACUACAUUACCCAACACCAGAAACUGGGGGACCGGUGUUUGGGAGAAAUACGUCGACGAGACCAGGCAUGGUGAGCAGAUAUCUGAUGGCAGAGUUCUGCGAACCGGUGUGUUCCGUAAAAGCCUGGUGCGCGGGGGAACAGGAGCAGAAGUAUCCUGCUCGUCCACGAGCACGUCAUCCGCGAGGCCAAUUUCCUGUAAGAGGCAUAAGGUCAUUCCGGCUAGAGGUCGAGAGGCGAGGAGACCCGGUCGACGGCAGUUGGCAAGACAUGCUCCCCAGCCCGAGAAUCUAGGCACGACAGCCACGCUUUCCCCAGAACCGUGGCGUAACACGCAAGAUCUCACAGAACCACGACAGCCACGCUUUCCCCAGAACCGUGGCGUAACACGCAAGAUCUCACAGAACCACGACAGCCACGCUUUCCCCAGAACCGUGGCGUAACACGCAAGAUUCCACAUUUGCCCAUAACGCAGCAGUCAGAGUCCCAUACCGUCUCGAAAAAAGUGGAAAACUGGGAUUCAGGGGAAGCCUAUAAAAAGGUAGCCAACGAAGGUAAAAGGGUUAGCAUUUUUGAGAUUAGAAAAGAAAUGAAAAAAGAAGAGAAAACCACGAAAAAGCCAUAAGAUCUGUGGCAAGCGUUCCCCGAACCUUCAUAUCUGACUUGAGCGUCGGAGGGUUUGCGCCGGGAAAACAACCGGCGUACUCUGACUUGUCUGUGUGCGCAGGAACCUCUGGAGAAGAAGCCUCACUUGGAGACCUCCUGGUCGUGAAGAAGUUGAUCGGGCAGAGAUCCUGGUCGUAGAACGAGGAGAACCGGAAUCCCGCAUCAACAGAGGGUUCAAAAGACACGGUGCUUUUGAAGAAUCUUUAUCUUUAUUGUGAUCCUUACAUGCGAGAGCGUAUGAGCAAGCUUGAUAGACCUUCUUUUGUUGAUUCAUUCCAUUCUGGUGAGGUUAGUUCAUCACGACCUCAACUUAGAUUUUGGGAUGGUUUACGAUUCACUCUCAGUUUAUGCAGAAAAACAAUCUAGUUUUAAUUUGGCAGGGUUUUUCCUUCUCUCUCCUUUUCUUCCUUUUCUUCAUUGGUUUCUUCCUCUUUUAUAGCCGCUAUCCCACGUUUUCGUUCAUCCUUCAUCCCCAUUUUUCGGGUAGUGGCAGCCCCUCAUGGGACUCCAACUGCUACAUUAUGGGUAAAUGUGGGACACCGUAUCUCCCUCAAUGGUUUUAGAAAAAGCGCAACUGUCGUGAUUUCGUGAGAUUGUGUUCCCGUUCUUUGGGGAAUGGAUAUCUGCUCGGUAUAUGUCUCUGGUCGGCCUAUAUUUAUAGAAGGCUCAUUAUCAGUAUUCUACUUAUACCAUUCAGCUGAGGUGAUCUACCUCGAAAUGAGAAUGAUAACAUGACUGACCUGAUGCUCUUAUUUACUUAACAGUAAAUUUUCUAUGACCCUACAGGUGACUAAUUAAUGAGAACUUGACAAUGACAAAAGAAAGUGUAUGAGCUUUGCAGGCUGGCAUGCCAAUAUUGACUGUGUGGCACCAUCCACCAUCUGCAAUUGAAUAUCAUUAUUGUUUAAUCAAUGUGGUGGAGUCCACUGGAACCACACCACAUGGUCAGUCUUAUCUCUAUUCCUCAAUUUUCAGUAUUCCAUACAUCAAACCAAUUUCAUGUUUGUUAGCAAUUAUAAUUUCAUUGUUGGUGACGAUUCUGAUUCCUUUUGUUGAGAAUCAAAUAAAACGGCAUUGAAUGAAGCUUUCAAAGACAGAAUCUGCACUUGUCAAAGGGGUAAUCUGCACUUGUCAAAGACAAGAUCCGCGCCGAACGGAUUGACACAUUUCCUUCCGUAUUCACAUAUGUAAUCUUUGAAAAAAUGUAGCCUCUGCAUCUAUAAAUAACUCUCAAUGUAUAAUGCUUUAUUUAAGAAAUGAAAACACGUUUCUUCAUGGUAUCAGAGCCAUGAAUACGCUCAAGUUUCUUCAAGUUCCGCUGCUCUGUUUGUAACAAAAAUAGAGGAAACCAAAUUCCUCCCACAACCAUUUUUCCCACCAUUUUCUUUCUUAAACCCAUUCCUACCAUUACAGAUAUCCAUGCCGAUCAAGAAACAAGCCACCCAUACGUAAAAAACUUGAGUUUACAAAUUUAUCAACAAUCCCAUCAAUUUUCUGAGAGUGUGUUCCUAAAAAACCAAGAACACCAUCAAAUUUCUCAGUUUUCAGUGAGGAAACUGUAAAAAUUUCGCAUUUAAACACAUUCCCACGCGCUCCCACGCGCCACCCGAAGCCACGGCCAGUCAACCACGCGCCUCUGUCAUCAUUCACGCGCUCUCACGCGCUCCAGAGGUUGAAGAAGACGCCAGCCGACAUGUCGUUCUUAUCUCAGAAGUUCAGCAGUCACAAAACGACGUGUCGUUUUUUGUUAUAUUAAAAUCGACAUGUCGUUUUGUAAAUUAGAGAUAAAACGACGUGAUGCUUAGUCUCCAGAAGUGCAGCAGGAUUAAAACGACAUGUCGUUUAUAUUCCACCAUAAUCGACAUGUCGGUUUGGCAAGCAGUGGCCAAACGACCUGGCGUUUUGUUACCUAAAAAGGUUAUUUUUUUUCUUCUUCCAAUCUAGAUGGAAAAAAAAAAAACAAACAAAAAAAAGAAAAAAAAGAAAAAAAAGAAAAAAAAGAGAAAAAAAAAAAAACAAAAAAAAAUGGAGAAAACUCCAACUGAAUCUAGUCCUGUUGUCAUUCAAUCUGUUCAAUCUGAUGGAGUAUUUAAUGCUGGAAUUAUCCUCACUGAGACAAACUACGAUGUUUGGUCUCAAAUAAUGGAGAUGCAUCUUGUAGAAAGAGAAAAACUCUCAUAUAUUCGUAGCAGCACAAAGCCAUUUGAGGAAUCUUCAAAGGAAUAUGAGAAAUGGUAUAGUGAGAACCAAAAAGUAAAAAGAUGGUUACUCAUAUCCAUGUCUCCGGAGAUCAUGAAGCGAUAUUUACGAAUUCCUACAGCCUACGAAAUCUGGGAUGCAUUAUCAAAAGCCUUCUAUGAUGGAAGCGAUGAAUUACAAGUUUUCACUCUAAACCAGAAGGCAUUCUCUACCAAGCAAAAUGGACAACCACUCUCUAAAUUCUAUGGAGAAUUGGUCGAAAUAUUUCGAGAACUUGAUCACCGAGAUAAAGUGGUCAUGAAGGAUCCAGAAGAUAUUGUAAUAUACAGAAGGUCUGUUGAAAGAUUGAGAGUGCACAUUUUUCUUGCUGGGCUAGAUGAAGAAUUUGACCAAGUUCGUGGAGAAAUUCUACGAAAAGACAUUAUCCCAGACUUAGAAGAAUGUUAUUCUUUGAUCCGAAGAGAAGAUAUACGGCAAAGCAAACUAAACAAGAAGGUCGACUCAGAAACGUUUGCAAUGAUAGCACGACAGCAGCCUCAAAGGAAGUUUGUUGACAAGUCAUCACUCCAUUGCACUCAUUGUAGAAAGAAGGGUCAUACGAAAGAACAAUGUUUUGAAAUCAUUGGAUAUCCUGACUGGUGGGAUACUCGAAAGAAGAACACCAAGCAUGGAUCAAAAACUGCAGUAGCUGAAUCCACAUCCACUACAGAUCUUAGAAAAGAAUCUUCAGUGCAAAUCGCAACCUCUGUCAGUCCAGGUAAGGCCCUUAAAACUCUUACACCUGUUAUUAAUAGUACAUGGAUAAUUGAUUCUGGGGCAACUGAUCAUAUGACUUUUGAUUCUCGACAAGUUUCUCAAUUGAAACCAUCUUCACAAAAAUAUAUUUCCACUGCAAAUGGAACCACAACCUCAGUUAUUGGGGAAUGAUCUUUACGACUCACAAAUGAAUUAAAUUUAGACGCUGUGUUAAUUGUUCCAUCUUUAGAUUAUAAUCUUUUAUCUGUGUCUCAAUUAACCACUUACUUAUCAUGUGUUGUAAUUUUUUGGCCUGAUCAUUGUGUGUUUAAGGACAUCCAAACGAAGCAAACGAUUGGUUAUGGUAUUAGACGAGGCAGCUUGUACUACUUGGAGAUGUCAUCAACAAACACUGGAAAGCUAAGCCCCGCACUAGUUGCAGAUAGUUCCAUAAAAAAAGGGAAAUCAGAAAUUUGGUUAUGGCAUAGACGUUUAGGGCAUGUGUCAUUUAGUUACUUAAAAAAAUUAUUUCCUAGUUUGUUUCUGAAAUUUGAUGUUUGUAACUUUAAAUGUGAUGUUUGUGAACUUUCAAAAAGCCAUCGAACUACUUUUCCAUUGUCCUUAAAUAAAAAUCCAGUUCCUUUUAUGGUAGUACAUUCUGAUGUAUGGGGGCCAUCUAAAGUUUCUACAAUUGGAGGUGCUCGUUGGUUUGUUACAUUUAUUGAUGAUUGUAGCAGAAUGACAUGGAUUUUUCUGAUGAAAUCGAAAGACGAAGUAAACUCUUUAUUUCAAAGAUUUCAUAAGAUGGUGACAACUCAAUUUCAGACACAAAUUCGAGUUCUACAUACUGAUAAUGGAGGUGAGUAUAUGAGCACAGCAAUUCAACAGUUUCUGAAAUCACAAGGAUCUGUCCAUCAAACCACUUGUGUGGGGACACCCCAACAAAAUGGCGUUGCUGAACGAAAGAACAGACAUUUACUAGAAGUUGUUCGAGCAUCACUAAUCCAAGCCCACAUGCCAUUAUCUUAUUGGGGAGAAGCAUUGACAUCCGCAGCAUACUUGAUCAAUCGAACACCUUCAAGCUCCCUUGGAUUCCAGACUCCUUUCCAAGUUCUGAAUGAUGCAAUUAUGUCACCAAAUGUGCCGAAUCUGCCCCCACAUGUGUUUGGCUGUGUUGCCUUCGUUCAUUUGCCGCAACAAGACAAAUUAUCUCCUCGAGCACUACGUUGUGUGUUUGUAGGGUAUGCCUUACAUCAAAAGGGAUACCGAUGCUAUCAUCCACCAUCAAGAAAAAUAUACAUCACCAUGGAUGUCGUUUUUCAUGAAGAUAUCAUGUACUACUUGUCAGAGUCUGAAUUUCAGGGGGAGUAUAAUGAAGAGGAAAUUCAUACUCUUACAUAUCUUCCACCUGAAGAAAGUCAAUCUUCCAUUGAGAUAGUAAACCUUCAAGAUACUGGAAAAGCAAAUGGUGAUGAUUCGCAAGCUGAGAUAUGUGAAAACACAUUUGGGGAGCACAAUACUCAGACACAACUGCAAUCGAGAAUGAGUCACAUGAAGAAAUACCUAACCAAUCGUCUGCAGAGGAUGUUCCUACCACAAGUCCAAUCAGAAGAAUUCUUCCCCAGCGUCAAAAUAGAGGUAUCCCUAAACCCACAUAUGAGCCUGACUUCUCUAGUAGAGUCAAAUACCCUAUGAGUCAUUUUGUGUCUAACCAUCGCUUGUCAGAAUCAAAUCAGUCAUUUGUGAAUCAAUUAUCUGCUGUAUCUAUUCCUAACAGUGUGCAGGAAGCUUUAAAAGAUCCAAAGUGGAAAGCGGCUAUGAAUGAUGAAAUGAGAUCUCUUCAGAAAAAUCAAACAUGGGAACUAGUUGAUCUUCCACCAGGAAAGAAACCAAUGGGUUGUCGAUGGAUCUACACUAUAAAAUACAAAGCAGAUGGCUCUAUUGAACGAUACAAAGCAAGACUCGUAGCUAAGGGUUACACCCAAACCUACGGGAUUGAUUAUACUGAUACGUUUGCACCGGUAGCAAAAAUUAAUACUAUUCGUAUCUUAUUAUCAUUAGCAGUCAACUUGGAUUGGCCAGUGCAACAGUUCGAUGUAAAGAAUGCUUUCCUCCAUGGAGACCUGUCUGAAGAAAUUUAUAUGGAUCUGCCACCAGGAUGCAGUGGACCAGAACGACUCAAUCAGAAAGUAUGCAAAUUGAAGAAAUCAUUGUAUGGGUUGAAGCAAUCCCCAAGAGCAUGGUUCGGGAAAUUCACGAAGGCUAUGGUUCGUUUUGGGUAUAACCAAAGCAAUUCAGAUCAUACCUUAUUCAUUAAAAAACGACAAGGUAAAAUCACUGCCCUUAUUGUCUAUGUGGAUGAUAUGGUAGUUACAGGCAACGACGAGGAAGAAACAAAGGCUCUUCAGAAGUACUUGUCAAGAGAGUUUGAGAUGAAGGAUUUAGGUGCCUUAAAAUACUUUCUUGGAAUUGAGGUUUCUCGAUCUAAGGGAGGAAUCUUUCUGUCUCAAAGGAAAUAUGCCUUAGAUCUAUUGCACGAAACGGGAAUGACAGCUUGUCAGCCUAUUGACACCCCAAUAGAAGAAGGACUGAAGUUUUGUAUUACUUCAGACCAAGUUCCAGUAGACAAAGGAAGAUAUCAAAGGCUGAUUGGAAGAUUGAUGUACUUGUCCCACACAAGGCCAGAUCUUGCUUAUGCAUUGAGUGUUGUAAGCCAGUUUAUGCAUAAUCUCGGAGAACAACACAUGAAAGCAGUAAUGCGGAUCCUGAGGUACCUGAAGACAAAUCUAGGAAAAGGAAUCUUAUUUUCCAAAAAUGAAGAUUACAGCAACAUAGAAGUUUAUACUGAUGCAGAUUGGGCCGGGUCAGUUAGUGAUAGACGCUCUACUUCAGGAUACUUUACCUUUGUGGGAGGAAACCUUGUCACAUGGAGAAGCAAGAAACAACAUGUCGUUGCCCGUUCGAGCGCUGAAGCAGAAUAUCGAGGCAUGGCCCUUGGGAUAUGUGAAGGGCUAUGGAUAAGUUUUAUCUUAAACGAUUUGGGCUAUCCAUCACAACAACCAAUACAACUAUACUGUGACAACAAAGCUGCACGAGAUAUUGCUCAUAACCCAGUUCAACACGAUCGAACAAAACAUGUGGAGGUAGAUAGAUUUUUCAUCAAGGAGAAAUUAGAUGAAAAAAUCUUAGAAUUGCCGAAAAUUCGAUCAGAAGAUCAACUUGCAGAUAUUUUAACGAAGGCCAUUUCAAGCAGGGCAUUUACAAAAUUCCUAGACAAGUUGGGUAUGCAAGACAUCUAUGCACCAGCUUGAGGGGGAGUGUUGAGAAUCAAAUAAAACGGCAUUGAAUGAAGCUUUCAAAGACAGAAUCUGCACUUGUCAAAGGGGUAAUCUGCACUUGUCAAAGACAAGAUCCGCGCCGAACGGAUUGACACAUUUCCUUCCGUAUUCACAUAUGUAAUCUUUGAAAAAAUGUAGCUUCUGCAUCUAUAAAUAACUCUCAAUGUAUAAUGCUUUAUUUAAGAAAUGAAAACACGUUUCUUCACCUUUCUUUCUCACAAAACGGAACCAUGGUUGCUAUUGGAGAGAUCUUACUCAACGCCUUCUUUCAGGUGUUGUUUGAUAGGUUGGCUUCUUGUAAUUUUCUCAGCUUUGUGCGUCAACUCCAAGGCGGGGUUGAUUUGGAACUCAAAAAGUGGGAGAAAAAGCUGAAGAUGAUUCAGGCUGUGCUCUACGAUGCAGAGGAGAAGCAACUGAUCGACGAGGCUGUGAAGACGUGGCUGGACGAACUCCAAGACUUGGCUUAUGACGCUGAGGACAUUCUUGAUGAGUUUGCUACUCAAGCUUUGGAAAGCGAGUUGAUGGAGCAAAAUCAGGAUAGCUCUGGCCAGCUUCUUAGUUUCAUCCCAGCUAGUUUGAGUCCGAAUGCUAUUAUGUUCAAUUAUAGCAUGGGGUCCAAGAUUAAAGAUAUUACUAGCCGGUUGGAGCACCUCGGCCAAGAAAGAAUUGAACUUGGUCUGCAACGGAUUACUGGAGGGGCAUCAUCAUCUACUGCUGCCGCACACCAGAGGCCACCCAGUUCGAGUGUCCCAACAGAACGUGAAGUAUUUGGAAGAGAAGAAGAUAAGGCCAAAAUUCUUGAUAUGGUUUUGGCCGAUACCCCAAGUGAUCAUGCCAAAUUUGUUGUAAUACCCAUUGUUGGCAUGGGCGGAAUAGGAAAAACAACUCUUGCUCGGGAGGUCUACAAUGACAAGGCGUUGAAGAUUCCAAGUUUGAUGUAAAAGCAUGGGUUUGUGUCUCUGAUGUCUUUGAUGUUUUGGUCAUCUCAAAGGCACUUCUGGAGUCAAUCACCCGCAGGCCUUGUGUUCUAAGCAAUUUAAAUGAAGUGCAGGUUGAGCUGAAAAUAGUUGUGGAUAAAAAAAGAUUUCUACUGGUCUUAGAUGAUGUUUGGAACGAGGACUACAGCUUGUGGGUAGACUUAAAAGCUCCUUUCAUGGCUGCUGCACCAAACGGUAAAAUGAUCAUCACCACACGCAAUUCAAAUGUUGCAUCAAUAAUGGGACCAAUUGAACAUUACAAUCUCAAGAGUCUGUUAGAUGAUGAUUGCUGGUCCAUUUUCAUACAACAUGCACUUGAAUCUAGAGAUCUUAACGCAAAUCAAAUUUCAGAAUCAUUCCGCAAGAAAGUUGUUGGCAAGUGUGGGGGCUUGCCCCUGGCAGCAAAAACACUAGGGGGCCUUCUGCGUACUACGAGGCAUGAUGCAUGGGACGAUAUAUUAGAUAGCAAAAUAUGGGAUUUACCUCAACAAAGUGGCGUUCUCCCUGUGUUAAGAUUGAGUUACCACCAUCUUCCGUCUCAUUUGAAAAGAUGUUUCGCUUAUUGUGCAAUCUUUCCAAAAGAUUAUGAAUUCAAUGAGAAGGAGCUGACUUUCUUAUGGAUGGCUGGAGGAAUUAUUCGACAGUCAAGAAAGAAUGAGCAGCUGGAAGAUUUGGGCGGCAAGUGCUUUCAUGAUCUAGUGUCAAGGUCAAUUUUUCCACAAACCAGCUCGGGUAGUUCUAAAUUUGUAAUGCAUGACCUUAUCCAUGAUCUUGC